CAGCUGACUAGUUUUUGUAGGCAAUUGCUCAUGCAUAAACUUUAGUCUUUUUUUUUUUUUGUGGCUGCUGAUCUUCACUUCCCUACUGACCUUAAUUUGCUUUCAAUUAGGUGCUGAUAUAGCAGGAGGAAGAGGUUUCUAUCUGAAAGGAGAUGGUGUACGGCUUAAUCAAGCUUUGAUUAAUUUUGGUCUUGAUUUUUUGGAGAAAAAGAGUUAUACAUUGUUACAUACUCCAUUCUUCAUGAGAAAAGAAGUUAUGGCCAAGUGUGCUCAAUUAGCUCAAUUUGAUGAAGAACUGUACAAGGUAACAUUUUUGAAUUUCUAUGUUAAAGCAUUGUAUUAUAUUUUUGUAGAUAAUUUCUUACUACUUUGUCUUUUAGAUUUAGCUUUUAAGUGAGUAAUUAAGUCCUUCCUAUAAAGCUGGUUUCCUUAAGCGUUACUAAUUUGUAGAAAGUUACAUAUUAAUGCUUAGCAAGGAUGCCUUUACCUUUAAUGUGGGUAUGGCUAAUUGGCUGUUCUAAUAGGUCACUGGUGAGGGAGAUGACAAGUAUCUUAUUGCUACAGCUGAACAGCCACUUUGUGCAUAUCAUAUAGAUGAUUGGAUCCAUCCGUCUGAGCUACCCAUUAGGUAAUUAUCUUGUUGAUCUGUCAUGGCUGCUAUAAAAAGAGUUCCUGUUGGUGUUUUUCAUAGACAUUGCAUUUUUUUUUUAUUUUUUUUAUAAACCAGAUAUGCUGGGUAUUCGUCAUGCUUCCGUAAGGAAGCUGGCUCACAUGGUCGAGAUACUCUUGGAAUAUUCCGCGUCCAUCAGUUUGAGAAAGUGGAGCAAUUUUGCAUCACCAGCCCGAAUGGCAAUGACUCAUGGGACAUGCAUGAAGAAAUGAUAAAAAACUCUGAAGAAUUUUAUCAGAUGGUAUGCAUGUUCUUUCACUUUCUCCCUUUUAGCAAUUAUAAAGUAAUUGAGAACCAUGUUUAAGGUUUUGGUUCUCAUUGAAUUUUCUCAAAUGCAGCUAAAAAUUCCCUAUCAAGUCGUGGCUAUUGUCUCUGGUGCUUUAAAUGAUGCAGCUGCGAAGAAGUUAGAUUUGGAAGCCUGGUUUCCUGCAUCGCAAACCUACAGAGAGCUGGUGUCAUGUUCAAACUGUACGGAUUACCAGUCAAGAAGAUUAGAGAUUCGAUAUGGGCAGAAAAAGGUAGGUUCUCUUUAUUUCUUCCUAUGCAAUACAAGCAAAGUGAUUGCCAAUGAGUUUCGAUGGCCCAUCAGUUGUGAAAUAAAGGGUUAAUGUAUGAAACAAAAUAAACUAUCUAUAACACAAUGUAUGAAACAAAAAUAAACUAUCUAUAACACAUAUAAUUUUAAUGAAACAGCAUUCUUCAAAUGAUGUGAAUUAGAAUGUUGUAUGUUAUAGAAGAUGGAAACUUAACUCUGCUGGUAUGAAAUAGAUUUGUUAUGUUAUCAAAUUCAUGAUUUGUCUCCUGUAUUUUGCACUGUUGCAGAGCAAUGAGCAGACAAAACAAUAUGUUCACUUGUUGAACUCAACCCUCACAGCAACCGAGAGGACCAUUUGCUGUAUCCUUGAGAACUACCAGAAGGAAGAUGGUGUCGAAGUACCAGAAGUUCUACAACCUUUCAUGGGUGGAAAGACUUUCCUGCCUUUCAAGGCCAAGCCAGCUCCUGAAGCCAAAGGGAAGAAAUCCAAGGCUUAGUUUAGUUCAUCUAUUAAAUCCCCAGAAACCAGUUGCAGAACUAGUGGGAUCUAGCUUUUAGAUUUGUGAAAUCAAAGAUUUAGUGGAAACAAAUACGAAACCGAUCCUCAAAUUAUUGUGUAAUGCAUUUUCAAGAAAUUUGACAGCCUGAUUUUGUUGUCCACGUCUUGAACUUUUCAAGUUAUGACGUGUCAGGAUUUGUUGCUUAACCAUACAAUUAUGAAAUUUUGCUACUCAAUCUUGUGUUGUUGUACUUCUUUGCUUUCAGUUUUCUUGAUCAGAACAAACAGCAUAAAUAAAUGAUGCUAUAUUAAAAAAAAAAAUUAAAAAUUUCACUCGCCCUUCAUUUGUUAUCAACAAUAUGAUAUUGCCUGGGAUCUUUCGGCUUGAUCUUCCAGUGCCCAUUAGCCAGAUUUGCAUUCUCAGCUAUUCUUCUCCAUUUCUUAAUCCUUUUAUCUAUAUGCUUUGUUAAUGCACAGUACUGUUGCAAUUUCUUAGGCAUUGCAUCAUAAACUUGCCACCAUUCAUUAUGAGCUGAAUCACUGGCAAAUAUAUGGCGACUCACCAUGUCCCAAUUGCAAUCAUAGUCCUUGUAACACAUCCAUGGCUUUAACCCCAGAUAAUGAAUUGCAUAAAGACCAUCACCCACUUGAUGUUCCUUAUCGUCUUGCUUUGAAAACACCUUCAAAUGGUUUAUUUUCUUAGGCAACCUAUGCCACCAUGUGAACACUUCGUUAAGAAAUCCCUGGUCACCUCCAUUGUAUGACGAAACCUUAAAGCUUUUGAGCAUCAUAUCUUCAAACUUGCACAAUGAUGGCUCAAUCACCAUCACCCCAGAAUUGAACAACACUUUGUCAUUACCUGCUGCUGAUAAUUCAGGGUAAAAGAAGAAUUCAUCGAUGUUUUUGAGUACUAAAAGAUCAGAAUCAAUAAAGAUAAUUUUAUCAUAUUCAAUGAGUUGCCAUACUCUAAGCUUGCUGUAAUUCCACUCAUUGUAUGAAUCUUUCUUGGCAAAUGGGCUACGUAUGCGCGAAAUCCACUUGGUUUUCCAUCCGGCAGCUCUCAGGCCACGGAGAGACUUGCCACUUAUUGAUUUAUCAUGAAGGAGAACGAGAUCUCUAGUCGAGUUUUUUUGGAUUAUGCUUUGCGCUAAAGCUAUUGCACCACAUACAUAAGCUUCUGAUGAAUGUAGAACUGUUACAUAAGCUUCUCUUUGAUGGUACGUUGUGUAGUUCAGUUUUGCUAGUCUCGCUUGUGACAUAAAAUAUCUCCAUAUUUCUUUGCCUGUAAAUCAAAAUAAAAACACUCAAAUAUUAAUUUCAGGUUAAUUUUGCAAAAUUAAGAAAAAUGAAUUACAUAUGAAGGUUUUGAAGAAGUCGUGGCGUCCGGAUUAGGUUAUACUUUCACGGAAAUUGAAAGUACAAUUCUCUAAUGCCACAUAAGUCUUAAUUAGGAAAUUGAUUUAUGUUGGCUGAGUUACCAAAUUUUGAUGCCUUGGCAAAUUUUCACACAAUCAGAAUCAUGACUGCUGCCUGUAUACAUUCUGUGUCUGUAGAUUAUUACAACUCUUUAAGGAUAUCAAAAUUGAAGAACCGGUCAGAUUUAAACCAAUUACACCUGUGCAUGAGUUGUGCAUAUUUAAUUUGGAUUUGUCUCAUUUAUUAAUGCUCAACGAAUAAUUUACUAAAAUUUGAAACUAAAGAAAGCAGUAAAUUAAUGACCCACCAUGACCAGAUAAAUCACCCACUAACCUUUUUUUUUUUUUUUUUCCUCAGAACACCUCAAAUUUCCGAAGAAAAAAUAAAUAAAAUCUCCUGCAUCCAUUUCUUGUGAACAUUUUAUAUUUUUUUAUGCAACAAGCUUUCAUUAAAAUUUAAGACUCUAUCCUCUAGAAUAAACUCCAAAACAUAUCGAUUAAAAUCAUAAUAUUUUCGUUCUCAAUAUAGAUUCGCCUAUAUAAGCGACCAUUAAAGUAGGAAAAAAAAAUAACAAUAAGAGCUUAAAUACUACUUCGUAAAUAAUCAAGAAAUAUGACAAGCAACAAGAACAACAACUACAAAUUCAUAAAGAUUUUUACGAAAUUUUAAGUCACAUUUUAAUGCAUAUAACAUUGUAAAAUUCUUGGAACUGAGUACAAACAGUAAGUUAGCAUUUGGUUAGAAAAUUGUACAGGGGAUUUUCUUCUUCAAGUGAUGACCAAAUUUUCUUCAGUUUCCAAACUACUCGCUAUCUAAAACACAACCAAAAUGUUUUCGAGAAACCAGGGAAAAAAGAAGAAGAAGAAGCAAAACUCACCAGUUUGAGCAAAAGCAGAAGCAAUUUGGCAUGACCCAACAGGCAUCAAUACUUUAUGUUUCAAUCUCCUCAAGUCAGGCUUAUAAACCCAAUAAUCCCCUGCAUGCUCCACAAGAUCAUCACACCUGAACAUCUCCACCAUGGCCCCACAAGAACCCACAAAGACAACGUACACCGGCCGAUCAACAUCAGGUUUCAACCACCCACUCUCCACCGCUAGAUUCGCCACCACGAGAUUCACUUGCAACCUAAACACAUCCCUCAUCCCACCACCUGCAUCUCCAUCUCCUCGGCAGGGAACCCUAGCCACUAUCACGUCGAGGUACGGGUAAUCCUGCGCCGGCAUGGGUAUCUCCGGGCACGCCGGUGGGGCCCACUUGUGAUCUUCAUCAAUCCACUCCGGGAAAAAGUCUUCCCACUUUUUAUCCUCACCCACAUGGUCGAAACGUACGUGAACAGUUUCAACAUGCAAGUCACCACGUACGCUAUUAUAAUCAUCAUCGUCGUCGUCGUUUAUAUUUACUAAACCAACUUUAAUUUUGUGACCGUUGAUGUGUUUUUCGACAAUAUCGAGCCAUUUGGGUCUGUGUAAUAAGUGGUUAGUAUUAUAUUUAUCAUUUGGCUCGUAAGCCAAAUGGGGUUGUUGUUUAGGUUUGAACGACAAAACUACAAGGAAAAGCGAGAAGGAGAGGAGAAGAAGAGAGAUUAUGAAGAGCUUUUGACUGAAAUUUGUGGGUUUGUUAGAAGAAGAUGAUGAUGAAGCUGCAGCCAUUUGAUUGAAUUUUGCUUCACGUCUUUGUUGAAAGUUGAAAGAUUUGUUUUGAGUCGACAUUGUGUUUUAAGUUAUAUCCAACGCAUCGAAUUGGAAUGAAAAGAUUGCAUUGCAGCACGUUGAGCGUUGUCAAAUUGUCUUCUUAUGUGUAGGUAUUUUAUUUUCACACGCAUUUGAUGCGCGUGGGUAGGUUUACUAAAUGUAUUUCCUUUUUUAUUAUUAUUAAGAUUAAAAUGUACUUCUAAGUUGUUGAAUUAGGCUUCUGUUAUCUUAUAUAACAAGGCAACAAACAUAAUACACUUGUUAUCCAUUUCCAACCCUCCACAAAUUUUAUUAUUUUUAUCUUAUAUUUCCGUAGCCAUUAGAUUUUUAUCAAACAAUUGUUAUUUACUUAUAUUUGUUACCUUAUUUUGCAAGGUAACAAAACCCGUCAAAUUAUGAAUAAAAUCUUUUACGCUACACAAAAAAAUUAUUUAGUGCACGUAAGAGAAAAGUUAUUUGUAUAAGAUUAGAUAUACAUAACUUGAUGGAAAUGAAAUAAUAUAAUUGUAAAAAUUAACAAAGUAAAAUAAAUUAUACGCAACUAUCUAAAACUUAUAAAUUCUUAUAAAUUCUUACUCUUUGUAUAUGGUAAGGUAAGAAAUUUGAGAUCCAUCUUCAGUUCGAAAAAAAAUUAUGUCCAAACUCAAAGUCUUUCCUUAGUGAAGCAAAGAAAUUCGUACCAACAUUAUGAUCAUAUAAGCAAAUUAUUCGUGACCAACAAUAAGAAAAUUAUGUAUCAUACAUAAGUCAAUAAUGAGAUUUUUUUAAAAAAAAGUUAAUUAUAGUAUAAUUGAAUGGUAACUUAAUUUUCACCUACCCAUGUGAGCUAAGUGGUACAUACGAAUGAGAUUUUUUGAAUAAUAACAAAAAGUGCAAUAAAAUAUACUUAUCUAAACUAAACGCUACAUAAAAAGUUCCUUUUAUAUACUACUCUCUCUCUUUCCCCUCUACAAUCUAGGUAUUUUUUUUAAGUUCAUUUUUUAAAAAUUGGAGAGUGGAUUAAAUAUAAAUCGAUUUUUUUUAGCCUUUACCUCCCUUAAAAUUCAAAAUCUAUUAGCUAGUUAAAUAAAAGUACUUGAAAAUUAUUUGACUAAAUCAUUGAGGGCAUAAUUUAGACACUGAUAAAUAGUUAAAAGUUUUCAAUUAAAUAUGAUCAUCUAAUGGUGUUCUUAAAGUUCCGUAAUCACAGUCAGUACAAUGGUUCUAUCAAAUGAAAUAUUUCUAUACAAAAUCAAUUUCUUUUUUAUCAUAUGGAAUUAAUCGAUUUGGAAUUGUGGAUUUUUAAUAGAUAUAAUAAAUACCCCAAGUAUUUUGAUAAUAUUCUAAAAUUAUCGUUGAGUUAGUGUGUGGCUUCGGGAGUCACUGUCAUGAACUUGGUCAGUCUAACAAAUAUAACGUAACUCAUGGUAUCAUCAAAAUAUGUGCAACCUGCUCAGUAGAAACCAAAUCAGAUUAGGGAAAUUAUCUCUGUUGUCUUGGUCAAUCUUUUGUGACUUCAUCAAUAGACAUAACAUGUAGCCACGCCACAACUUUUAAUUUUAAUUGGAAUGCUUAGAAGUCUAUUAAAAAUUAUAAUGUAACCUAACUAAGAAUAAUAUCAAUUUUUCUAUUUUAAUAUAAUAUUUAAUUAAACUAUUGCCAUUAUUGCACUUAGUCAUGGCUCAUAUGUGGAUCCACUAAUUGUUUCGCACCGUUGAUUGAUUGAGGGACGGUCAAGAUUUGAUUAAAUAUUGGAAUUGGUAUGCGAUCUCAUUAAAGUUGACUUCUAAAAUUGCAUUCUCAAUUAUUCAGAUUUAAAAAACAAGAAUGAUAAUAUGAUAGUUACGUUUUAAUAUUCUACGUUUGAAAUAUUAUGUUUCUUCUCAAAGCUGCAAAUCUCAUUUACAUUACCUGGUCAAAGACUUCUUGACAUAAAUUAUUUAUGCUAUUAAUUCAGUUAGUUAAGGAUAUACUUUAAAUGAUAUGACAUUUAAUCAACCAACGAUACAACAUAUAUCGAUUUAAUAUUAAGAUAUCUAAACAUAAUGAGACGACAAGAUCAAUACUCAACAUACAAUUUAUUUUUAAUACAAUUUCUUUCAUAAAUAUUGAUACAUUAAUAAUAUUGCAUCAAUGUCAUGUCACUUGGUUUACUUUAUUUACUUAUUACUUAACUCUUUUAGUAUCCAUACGUCACUCAUUAAACUCGUAUGUAUUUUGUAUGCAUAGAAUUCAUAGAGUUCAACUCUUGUGCAUGAACUUAGGAUUUCUCUAUUAAGUUUACUUGGAUAUGAUUAUAUUGUUGUUCUAGUUUAUGACCUCUUCUAAUUUUUUUUCGAUUACAUAUGAUUUUCAUUAAAUCACAACUCUAGUUGGCAUUUCACAUCACCCGCAAUUGAUUAGUUGCUUUCUAAUCCAACAAAAUUAAUAUGGAAAGAAAUAAAUGGCAACCGAUAAAUAUUCCAACAUUAUGUAUUACGCUGAAGAUUAAGCCAAUCCCACUACUACAAAACUGAAUUUCUUUGACAGAAUGCUUUUUCACAUGAUCAUGUAUGUGUCAAAGUUUUGUGACAAAUAUAUUAUUUUGCUGAUGUCGCAAACACAAUCCUUUCAAAAUCUUUAGAGGCCUUGAAAUUUUGAUUAUCUAUAAGAGAAUAGUUACAAAAUUCUGUCACUAAUAGUAAGUUAAGUGAUUCUUGAUAGAAUACUAUCAAAACAUUUAUAUAAAAUCUCACAUUUUAAUAUUUUACAAAAAUGUGUUUUAAAUAUUUUCAUUUUUUUGACAUAAUUCUAUCAAUGAACUUUCUUUUUAAAUUUUUAAUUCCACUUAGGCAUUGAAAAUGACAUAGUUUUAAAAGAUUUCAAUGACUUAACUGAUGUGAAUAUAUCUUUAAUAAGUCAACGACAAAAUUCUAUCAAAUAAAAUUUACUAUUUUAUUUAUUUUAUGUUGCCACAUCAAUAAAUUAAAAUGAUGACAUUUCAUACGCUCAAAAAAGAAAAACUUAUGUAGGCUAAAUUCAUCACCUUAUCAGAUAAACAAAGGCCUGCUCAACCAAUAAGAAUUUGCCAUCUAAAAAGUUUAAUGGGUCUUUCAAAAAGCCUGACUUGAGUCUGAGCUUGAGUAUUUCAGGUCUAAUCUAAUAAGCAAGUUUAUAAAUUAUAAAUUUAUGAAAUACAAUGAAAAAGGUUUUAAAAAAAAAAAGAAAAAUGUUUUAAAAAAUUAAAGUAUAAAUAUGAGGUUUUACAAUUAAAAUAUCAAAUAGUGGCAAAAUGAGCGCCCAAAAAGUGCGGCAAAUUAAAAUUAUUCAAAAUUUAUCUCUUCAAUCCCUUUUUUUUUUUUAUUUUAGAGGGAAAUUUUUUUUAUGUACCACUGAAAUAAAAUUAACCCAAAAACAUUCUGUAAUUGAAAGCUUGGAACGAAUUUCACGCCUCUCGCCUUCUCUUUCACGCAUUUCGCAUUCCAUUUUCGCAUUAACACAUAAAAGGAGACACAAAUGGAAUAAUUAGAGAGAGGGAUGAGAUUCCAUUUAUUGUUUGGUUAUAAAGUACUGGAAAUGAAACAUGAGAAAAUAAUUGAGUGUUUUUUUUUUUGUUAACAUAAAAAUACGUAUUUUCUGUAUUUGAUAUUUAACAGAAAAUUCAAAGUAAAAUCAAAUCCAUUUGUAAUAUAAGUUCACUUCAUUCAUAAAAUUAAACAUAUAAAAUAAAAUUUAUAAACGUUACUUAUACAAAUACAUAUUACCAUUCAAAAUAAUAAAAAUUUGGCAUUGGAAACAAUUUUUGAAAAAAAAAAAAUUUUAAUGGAGAAAGGAAUUGUGGAGGGAAAGUUUGAUAGAAGAUGCACACUAGCUAGUUUUGGAAUUAUGUAUACCGUCAGUCAUUUUAUUAAAAAAAAUGAAAAUAAUUUGAUCAGCCACCAGAGUUUUACUUCAGUGAUUUUCUCAAUACGACGUACGGUCCUCAGAACCUUAUCAUGAUGCAUGUGUAUUCUAAGCUUCACGACAUCAUAUUAAAAACGUUUAGCUAUGACUAUAAUUUGAAAUUUGACUCAUUUUUAUGUAAAAUUUAUAGACCCACCGAUUCACCUUUUUUUUUUUAUGUUAUGAUCAUUUAGGCAUGUUAUAUUUUAAUUAUGACUCCAUGUGAAAUCAAAAUUUAAAUUUCACCAUCUUUUAUAGGAUUUGAUUAUGAUAAUCAAAUAAUGGAAUAAACACAUACAAAGGCAAAAAAAUGAAAAAGUGUACAAAUGACAAUAAGCUCUCAGAUGAGCACAAAAAAAAAAAGAAAGAAAAAAAAAAGAAACACCAAUCUCAACACUCAAAAUCAAUCAAUCCCCAGCAGUUUGGCCUCACAAGAGCUCUCUCUGUGUUGUGCUUUCCCUCAUUCAUUCUCUUUACAAAUACAAAGGCUUGCAAAAAAAAAAAAACAAACAAAACGAAUUACUGAAAACAUACAUAACAGAUCAAAAAAGCACGCGCCGCGCCCGUCCCCCAAUUCCUGCUCUGCGACAAAUGAAUCAGUUACACAAAUAUAUCUAAUUUUAAUGGACAUUGUUAAAUUAAUGAAGAAGAGCAGAGAGCAAACGAGAAGGAAAGCGUAUGCAAAUUAUAAUUACUAACCAGAGUUAUUAGCACCAUUAGAUAUAUAUAUAUAUAUCCCUGCUGAAUCCCCUCCUCUGUUCACCAUUCGUUUCUAAAAUGGAUUAAAAAAAUAACCACUAAUUAAUUUUAAUUAAAAUAGAGUGAGACACGCAAUGCAUGCAGGAGAUCUAGAAAGCAAUUACCCGUCGCGGUAGGUAUUGAUGAUUUUGGGAAUGUGGCGUAUCUUAGGCCAGUCCUCUCCUGUCUCCUCGCUGCAACGUUCUCCUAAAAUAUGACAUCCCCCAAUCAACAAUUCCUGCAGUGUUGUCUUCUGAAGCAGGUGAUCGGGCAGUGCUUUUAAUUUAGGGCAUGACACAAUUUCCAAGUAAGAAAGACGUGGCAUGAUUAUGAUUUCUCCCUUUAUUGCAGUCCCGCAAUCCCACUCUUCCAGUUCUUCCAUAUAUUCAAAUUCCAGAUGUUUCAAUUUGGGAAAGGCAAUAACUGAGGAGCCAUCCGUAUCACUUUCUACUCCCAGAAAUUCAUUACCCACUCUUUUCACACUUUUCAUUCCUUCAAUAUGAAGAGAUUCAAGGGAUGGCAAUUUUCCCAAAGGAGGCAAAUGCUCACAAUUUCUGCAAUUGUAGAGAUAUAAGACCCUUAAAUUGGUUAAUGACGUGAUCCAAUUUUUGGGGACAACAUUCCUCCUGCCUCUGUAUUCAGAAAUCUCUAAUUCCUUUAAAUUAGGAGGUGGUCCCAAGGCUUCAAGAAGCCGUUCAUCUUCAUCCUCCUCAUUCUCCCUCCUACCAGCUUGUUCUUCAUCCCCAUCUCUUAAAUGAUCAAAAUGAAGUCCCAAAUGUAAGAGAUAUUUCUUUUUCUCAAGUUCAGCCCUCGCAGCCUCACCCGCUUCUGACACACCACCCAGCCCACGUAUACCACAUUGUUGAAGGAAGUUAAGCUUUUUAAGAGACCCAAGGCUACAUGCUCUGUCAUACCCUCCGCCCACAACAAACUCUCUCACCCUCCGAAGCCUGAUUAAUUCCCCAAUCCCUGCCGGCAAGUAUCUUAAAGAAUCAGUCCCCUCAUUGUGUAAAUACAUCAGCUUUCUUAACUUCCCAAUCCCUCGAGGUAAUUCUCUAAGAUUUUCACAAUCAUCAACGUUUAAACGUUCUAAAUUAUAUAACUCACACAACGUCUCGGGUAAUUUUUCUAUCUUCUUUUGACCUUUCAAAUUAAGGUAUUUCAAAUGUAACAAUUUUUCUAUAUUUGUUGGAAUUUCCUUGAUGAAAUUCUUACACAACCACGGUUCACAUACCUUUAAUUUUAAUGUCCUUAAACAAGUUAAUUUAUCAAAUAAUUGAGGUAAAACUUCACUAGACCAUGAAUAUUCAUCACUUUUAACUAAGAGGCUACGCAAUCCUCGCAAUCCUGUAACAUUACCCCAAAUGGAGAUCGGAACCGAAGCCCCCCUACGUAGAGUUAACAGUAAAUGGAUUUUUUUCUCCCCGAAAGAGCUAAUAGCUAACUCUUCACCACUAUGAAUUUCUACUGUUAAACAUUCAUUACUACAUAAAUAUUGGGCAAAGUCGUGCACGAUAUCGUGCAUUUUGCAAUUAGAGAUUUCACCAUCAUCACCUUUGUCAAAAUCCUGAAAGAAUGAAUGGCUAGCUAAGAUGUUGAAAUACUCUUCACCAAUAUCCUCCAUCUCUUUGGCUCCUUUCUCACUAAGAUAACCUUGUGCCAUCCAUAGUUCAAUUAACUUAUGCUUCUGUAUUUCAUAGUCUUUCGGAAAGACGGCACAAUAUGAGAAACAACGCUUUACCUUGGAGGGUAAUUCUUUGUAACUCAACAAUAGAGGGGCUAAAAGGCCUUUCUCAAUUGCUUCUAGUUCCCAUAUCUCACUCUCUAAGAUAUUUUGCCAUUCUUUUUCAGUGUUUUUAGACCGCAAGAGACUAGCAAUUGUCUUUGCAGCUAAAGGUAAGCCCUUGCACUUUUUUACAAUUUCUCUACCAAUUUUUUCUAAAUUUUCACGUUUUCCUAUGGUCUUACCAGAAAUUGCCAACGACUGAAACACCGACCAGCAUUCCAUUUCAGACAAUACAUUGACAGAGAUAACAUGAGUUGAUCCCAUAAUACGGGCAACUGUUUCUUUACGUGUGGUAAUUAAAAUUUUACUUCCAUGGAGACUAUUCUUUAAACAUUUGUAGAAUGGUUCCCACUUAUAGUAAUCUUCAUUCCACACGUCGUCUAAGACAAGAAGAAAUUUCUUCCCGGCAACACAUUCUUGAAUAUGUUGCAUGAGAGAUUGAAACUCUACAAGGUCUUUGGCAGAACCUGGCUUCAGAGACUCAAUGAUUGCUCUGGCGAUCCUGAACUCAUCAAAUGGCUCUGACACACAGACCCAUGUUCUUUUCUCAAAAUUUCUUUCAACAUCACCGUUGUUGUAGGCAAAUUGAGCAAGAGUAGUUUUGCCUAUUCCCCCCAUCCCAACAAGUGAGAUGAUAGAGGGGCCUUUCUGUUCUUUACUACCCUCACAUAACAACCUAUCAACGAGUUCGUUCUUCUCUUUUUCUCUACCAAAUAUCUCGGACUCAUCAAUUGAGGAGAUACUUGGUACUCGUUGAUCCGCUCUCUCAUUAGUAACAUUCACAACAAAACCAAACAUGUCUUUCUGUUUGGCAAUAUCAUCAAGAGUUUCGUUGAUUUCUUUUAUCUUCAGAGCAAUGUCACGACGUAAGACAAGUGGUUUGCAGGCAAAGCAAGAUGCAGUAGGAAAGAAGGAACAUACCUUCUUCUUAGGCACUCCGUCGAUCUGCAGUUUGAGCCUUGCAGUGUUCCACUCACCCAACACGUCUUCCAUGUCGUAACAUGUGCAUCUGAGUUGAUCGAGCCAGAGUCUGACAGUUUCCUCCUUCACUUGCCUUUUCUCUGCAUCAUGGAGCACAGCUUCAAUGACGCGGAGACUGCUGGUCAGCUUCUUCACUUCCUUUCCGACACCCGUUACUAGCCUCACUUGUUCCUUCGCCUCUUCAACAGCCAUUGAAGUCAGCUGCUCCAAGAUAGGGGAAAGGAUCGCAUCAACCGUGGUGAAAAAGAAAAAGGAGAGAGAGAAGAAAUUGAUGGUGAAUUGUUGCAAAAGUAAGUAGCUAAUGCUGAAAGAAAUGAAGGAGCUGAUAAUGUGGUGAAAAUGUUGCCGUAUUCUUUCAAUUCUUAUAGUACUGCAAGCAAAAUUCUAAUUUAGAAAUAUUUCAUUUCAGCCCCUUGUGAAAGAAGCUACGGUUAUUAUUAUUACUUUUUUUUUUUUAAUAACAGCAAAGAGUGAAAAUGACGUACAGUUGUGGACAGGAAAUAAUAUAUAUGAAACUGACAAAUUUUUCACGCGGCGAUUCACGCGGUAUAUGAAACAGACAAAGUUUUCUAUGAUCUCUUUUUAAAGAAUUGAACAAGUUGUUAGAUAAUAUUUUUGAUCGUGUCGUCAUAUUGAGAUUUGGAAGCAUUUGCUUUACAAUCACCCAUGAACUUUAUAUUUUUUAGAUUGUUUGAUCUGAAUUAUAAGUGUUUUAUUAGCUUAGAAAUACCUUGACCAUCUCUUUCUUAUUUUCUUCUUCUUCUUUUUUUUUUUUUUUUUAAUUUGACUCGUUUGCAUAAUUAGUUGAAAGGAAAGAAUGAACAUACUAAUAAACUAGGAAAACGCUGCCACAUAAUAUUCUAAGAUUCAUAUCGAACCACUUUAUUUAGAUUUUUUCAUUUUAGCAUAUGUCUGAUAGUGGGAGUUUAGAGUUUAAUCUCUAACUUUGCUUGUGAAGUGGGAAAAAUCAAAUAAUCUUUUCAACUCGUUUUUCAACAAAAAUAGAUCACAAUUCAUCAUCAGUUAUUUCUCAUUAUGUAUAAAAUGAUCAAUCUGGAGCUGGAUAUUCACAUAUUUUUCUAUUUCUAAUCAUCUCAAAAUAUAUAAUAUGAACUUUUAAAAAAAAAAUCAAAUUGUAAUAAAGUGACAUAAAUAUUAAAAAAUGAAAAGAAAAAGUCAAAAAUGUAAUGCGGAAAAAAGACAAAACCUUUUUGUUUGUUCUAUUCAUGGCAUCAUCUAAAUAUGAGAAAUGAUGGGUUGAUUGUCAUUGUGAACAACCAUAUAAUUGCAAGACGUGAAUACCAUCAACGUUAUAAUAAUUCAUGGACCCAUGCAUCCUCUGUUUUUCUAAUUAUUCCGUGUAGAAGGCUAAAGUUUAACGUGUGAUUCUCAAAUUCAUUGUCAAGUGAUUUGAACGUUUUAACGGACAGCGCUUACUUUUCUUUUUGAAGGAGCACAAUAACAACUUGAAGAUUCCUGGAAGUUGCCUGCAGUUCAAAUAUUUUCUUCAGACGAAAACCGUCAAUAAUUUCCAAACUUAGAAGAUAUUUAUUUAUUUUUUCCCAUAACCCACCAAAAACUUUUUCAUUUAGUGUAACUUUGUAAUUUUCUUAGAUGAUACUUAAAACUGCUAAUACCUUCUAAUUAUUGUUUUAAAAAUCUAAAUAAUUGCAUGCCCAAUUAACGGAUCAGUAGUGUCAGUUCGACAUAUUUAUUUUUUUAAAAAAAAGAAAUACACAGUUGUUUGAUGACUCUGGAAUUGAACAUCAGGAAAUAAAGAGAAAAAAUAACACACUUUAUGACGAUCAUUGCAGAUGACAUAACAGAUGUAAGUAUUUAUUGCCAAUUAAUUGGCAUUCUUAUUAUCAAGUAAUUGUUUUAGACUCGAAUUCAAAAGCUCUGCUCUGCUCUGCCCUUCGGUAAUCCGCCUGUUCAAAAAAUAAUAUUGUUUUAAAAAUCUCAGUAACAACAUGCCCAAUCGAUCACACAACGACUUUGUUGAAAUUGAAACAUUAUUGGGAAAUUAAUGAAGAGUAGAGAGCAAUUAGAGAGCUUAAUUAAGCUAAACAAUUUGAUUAUUAACUGUCUAGUCUCUCUUGCACCAUUCCAGUUAUCCUCUGAUCGAUCACACAAUCUAAUGCAUAAUCUAUUCUUUAGCGUGCGGCUUUAAACACAGCUGUUAUAAACUUGGUCAGCUUAACAAAUAUAACGUAACAUAUGAUAUUAUUAAAAUAUUCAAUUAUUCUCUUGGAAAGAAGUAAAUUCACUCAAUUUGAAAAAAGGUUGAUAAAGAUAAAAAUAUUUUAUAUUUUAUUACCUAAUAAUAUUAGAAUCUUAAGAUGCAAUUGGCAUUGUUUUUGUUUUGGUGUUCUUUGUUUUUUUAACGAAUCUUAAUAAAUAUUUUAUUAGAAUCUUAAUAAAUAUUUUAUAUUUAUAACAGUAGUAUUAAAAAUAGCCCAAUCUCGCAAACCAUCAAUUAAAUUUAAGAUAAGUAGUGUUUUAUUAUUCAUUGAGUUAUAAUCUCUAGUAGUUAAGAUUUUUUUGUACGUCAUUAACAUACCAAUAAUGAUAUUCAUCAUUAAAUCUUAUUAUUUUUUUGCAUUUUUUAGGGUGAAAUUGUAAUUUUCAUUUUGGGGGUAAAAAUGUCAUUUUAUUAAGUUUCCGUUAGUUUUCUUAACGGAUUCCAAACGGAAGUGGAAAAGUGAAACAAAAUGUAACUUUAGGUGGAUUCCAGCUAAAAAAAGAAAGAAUUGUGUAUUUUUGAAAAAGUUGGAAAAAAUGGGUGGACGGUGGAUAUUUUCCCUUCAAUUAAUUAUAGAUGCAUGAGACUAAGGGUCUAUUUUAUAGUAAGAUGUGGCUUUUUAAUUAUAACUGUUGUAUAAUAACAACUGUAACUACUAAAAAAAAAAUGAAUUAUGGGAAUCGGGUAAACUUUCAUUUGUAAGUAUUAUGAGUAAUUAAUAAUUUGUAGUUUCGAAAGUAGAAGUACACAUUUUUUGACAUGCCUUGAAAAUCUGUAUGUAACCUUAUAUCUAAAUAACUGAUCAAGUAUAUAUCAAGUAAUUCAAAAAUGGGCUGGGACUGAUGGUAAUUGUAGACGUUUUGAGGAUGAGUGAUACUAUGGGCACUACUCUAGAAACUUUAAAACUCCUUUUCUUUAUUUAUUCAAUCGAGCUCCAACCACUUCCUUCGGCGAUCGAGCUCCAGCCACAGCCAUUCGCAAAUUGCAAUCCACAAUCCGCGCCUGAAAUUGCCAUUCACAAUCCACAACUCACAGCCAUGACUUCACAUAGAGAACAACUCCCACAGCCAUCACGCGACAGCGAGAUCGAGCUCUUUUAACAUUCGAAGAGCAGAUCUGGUUGCGAAAGUUGAUUUUUAAUUUGCUUGCGAGCUGAGAUAUUUCGAAUUUUCUCUUUUAUUUAUUUUUUAUUUUUGUAAGUUACUAAGCCAAAAGCUUUGCAUAAGCUUCUGCUUCGGUUUUGCUAGUAUGAGAAGUAAAUUAAGGGACUUUUACUUGUUUAUUUAUAUUUUUGGUAGUUGCUGCAAGUGAUUUUUCUUUUUGAAUUGUUUUCUUUUGACACUUGUGUUGAACAACGAAGUGUAAUUUCGUUAAGAAGAGGAUGACAAAAUUUGAAGAUUGUGAAGCUGCAAAUGUUUUUUUUCCCUUUUCAUAAAUUGCUCAUGGUGCAGUCUCCUUUUGCUUGUUGAAGAAACAGUUAAGGGGGUAUGUAGUUGGGAAGAAAGAGGAAAUGAAAAUGAAAAGAGAAAGCAGAAGUUAAGUCCUCAGGUGGCAUUUUUUCAAUUAAAAAAAUUAAUGACAUCGUUUUCUAAAGCUUCGGGGUUUGACCCGGGGUAAAUAGCCGAACUCUUUUCUUUUUGAUGGAGCACAAUAACAACUUAAAGAUUCCUGGAAGUUGCCUGCAGUUCAAAUAUUUUUCAUUUGAACAAAAACCGUCAAUAAUUUUCAAACUUAGAAGAUAUUUAUUUAUUUUUCCCAUAACCCACCAAAAACUUUUUCAUUUAGUGUAACUUUGUAUUUUCUUAGAUGAUACUUAAAACUGCUAAUAUCUUCUAAUUAUUGUUUUAAAAAUCCCAAUAAUUGCAUGCCCAAUUAACGGAUCAGUAGUCUCAGUUCGAUAUAUUUAUUAAAAAAAAUAAGAAAUACAGAGUUGUUUGAUGACUCUGGAAAUAAAGAGAAAAAAUAACACACUUUAUGACUAUCAUUGCGAAUGACAUAACAGAUGCCAGUAUUUAUUACCAAUUAAUUGACAUUCUUAUCAAGUAAUUGUUUUAGACUUUAAUUCAAAAGCUAAGCUCUGCUCUGCUCUGCCCUUCGGUAAUUCCCCUGUUCAAAAAAUAAUAUUGUUUUAAAAAUCUCAAUAACAACAUGCCCAACAUAUUUUUUUUUAAAAAAAGGAUCGAGCAACACCGUAGCUUUUGUCAUAACGACUUUGUUGUAACUGAAACAAUAUUGGGAAAUUAAUGAAGAGUAGAGAGCAAUGAGAAAGCUUAAUUAAGCCAAACAAUUUUGAUUAUUAACUCUCUAGUCUCUCUUGCACCAUUCCAGUAAUCCUCUGAUCGAUAACACAAUCUAAUGCAUAAUCUAUUCAUUUAAUUAAUCAAUUUGAAUAUAUAUAUAUAUAUAUAUAUAUUUGUUAGAGUGACGCUAUUGGCACCCCUCUAUAUCAAUUAAAGAAAUAUAUUUUAAAGGGAGCUGGUAAGUAAUUUACAACCCUUCAAACUUACGUGAACAGUAAUAGUAAUUAUAAUAAGUGGUGGGAUCUAGAUCUACUGCAUGAAUUUUAAAGGAACUAUAAAUUAUUUAACAAAAUCUUAUUUUAAAACGAUUGUGCGGGACACAGCACAUGCCAACCCGGGCUUUAUCUCUUUUCACUAAUCAUAUAUGUAGUGGCAGACAUCGGUGGCCAAUUAAGGGAUGAACACAACCACUCCACCAAGUAAAUCUUGACGCGUGUGCUUUUAUUUCCAAUUAUUCUACUGUCUUUUUCUAAUUACUUUUAUCGCAGAAGUAAUUAAUUCUGAAGGAAAUGAAGGAGCUAAUAAUGUCGUGAAAGUGCUGCCACAUUCUUCCAAUUCUUAUGCUGCAAGCAAAGCUCCAAUUUACAAAUAUUUCAUUUCAAAAGAAGUUAUUGUUAUUAUUAUCUUUCUUUAUUCUUUUUAAUUUUUUUGACCAGUGUGGACUGGAAAAUAUUGUCAGGUCCUACAUCCGCGAUUCACGCAGUAUAUGACCUGAUAAAUAAUACACGGGUCUUAUUAUGUUACAGUUUUAUGUGUGUAAUAGCCCAUGACCUGAUAAAUAAUUUAUUAAGAGAAGUAAAAAUUUAAUGAUUGCAUAAAUAAUUCGGUAACAGAAUUCUUUUCACCCGUUAUUAAUCGCUUGCAGAUGACUUACUGAAAUUGUAAAUAUGUUGAACAGUGUUUGACUGUGAAGUGUGAAAAAUUAAAUAAUCUUUACUAUUAGUUUUGCAAUAAUAAUAAACAACAAAUCAUUGUUAAUUAUUUCUUAUUUAUUAUGUAUAAAUUGAUCUAUCCAGAGCUGGAUAUUUACAUAUUCUUCUAUUUUUGAUCAUUUUGAAAUUUAAUAGAAUUUUUUUUUAAAAAAAAUCAAUUUGUAAUAAAGUGUCAUAGAUAUUAAAAAAUGAAUGUUAAGGUCAUUAUUUAUAGAGUUGGCAUUUUAUGACAAGUCUAGUUAAAUUGGAAGUUUAUUUAUUGCAUAUCUUGUAAUAGAGAUUAAUUUAUUAAUUCCCUAAUUUAGUCAGAUUCUAAUUUAUUAGGAAUAUUUGUUUCCUAAUUUAAUUAGAUGUCUAUUUUAGCAAGUCAAUUAAUGGUGGGAUUCUAUAAUUGGCGCAUGAGAUUUAUUUAGAGCAAAAAGUUGGUUCAAAUAGGAAGUCUUAAGUUUGGUAAAUCCAUAGGUUGUAACAUCUCAACUUAGUGAAUUGUUUUUCAUCUGAGUGUGGCCUCGUGGAUGUAGGAUUGAUUAAUCUGAACCACGUAAAAAUCUCCGUAUCAUUUAUUUUCUACAUUUUAUUGUGUUUUUUGAAAAAUUAAUAUUUUUUAUGCGGAUGAACACUAACCGUAAACAGUAAAUGUGAACAGCAACCGUGAAUAAUUGCUGUGAACAGUAUCCAUAAACAAUACUUUUGAAAAAAUUAAUCUAUUUUUGAUACAUCUAAAUUCCUUUCAAUGAAAAUAGAAAGUCAAAAUUGUAAUGCUCAAAAAAGACAUUAAUUGUUGUAACUUAAAAGAUAUAUUCAUAUAAUUUUUCAGUUGUAUAAUAAAUUUUUUUUAUAUUUUUAAUAAUUUUAUUAAAAUUAUUAUUUAAAAUUUAUAUUCAUUAUAUUAUUAAGUUUUAUUUUAUAAUUACAGGUUAUGGGAUGUAAAGGAGUUUGGGAGCUGUAGCCUUUAGUUGGCUUAGGGAGAUGUUAAAGUUUUGAGAAAUGCUUAGAAAUUUAUUUUAUAUAACACGUUCUCAAUUUUAUUACUAUAAACUUACGCUGUAUUGUCUAGUCUUAGUAAGUAACGACUCAAUUGGAUGUGGGAGGAUCCCUUCCGCUUUGACCAAAAAAACUGUUUCGAGGACAGUUUUCUAACUCAACUCAAUUGCGGAACAAACAAAGAAACGCUAAGAACAUUAAUUAAAGUUAACAUACAGAGCAAACAAGUCAAGAGCACACACAAGAGGAGACAGACACUUGGCCAAGAAAAUAAUUGACCAGGGAAUUUACAAGGAAACUCUCUUUUCCAGAAGUUACAAGAGCCCUGACACUAUUCCUCUCGAGGUCUAGUUCAAGUCGCCCAAGCCUCUCAAGCUCCCUUAAGAACUCUGCUUUCUUGCUGUUCAAGAAAGCGCCUGAUUGGAAUCACAUGCUCCACGUGACAUCUGGCAUAACUAAAUCUGCUGCCGUACCCAGCCAAUUUAUGGUGCCACUUAUGAUACCCUGUCUCGUCAGCUUCCGUACCCUGCGUCAUCAUAGGACCUUACAUCUUGGAACCUCCAUGAAAGCUGAAUCUCUAACAGCCCAUCAUAAAGAUAUUAGUUCUAAAAUAGGGAAAUUACCAAAAAUACCUGCGCAUUUUGAAAUUUGUCAAAAAAUGAAGAGUAGAAAGCAAUGGGAAAACGUAAUUAAACAACCAAUUUGAUUCCUCGGAUCGCUUUCAUCUCAGGACUCUUUGUCUUCCCGUGCGUCUUCGAUUCCACAGGACAAUCUUGGAUUGAAUUUAUACAUCAGAAGAAAAUAUCAGUAUGCCCAAAAUAAAAAGUUGCUUCCAGUGCAGAAAUAAGAGAAAUUGACACACCUUUUUCCACCACAGAAGAUGGUGUCAUAUAGAAGUAUUCUGUCGCAGACUUAACAUACCUAUCAAGUAAUUAAUAAUUCCUACUUUAAAAAGUAGAGCAAUUGGAUAUCUAAUCCGAAAAUUCAAGAUAUAAUAACUCUUGAAAAUUAUAUAUUCAUAUACAUGUUAGUAGCGUGAUGCUACCAAUAUUCGCACCUUUAGCAUUCAAACACUUGAUCAUUGAAAGAAUUUAAGAAAAAUGUUGAUUGGUUACUGACAUUAACAUAACAUAAAAUUUGAUCCACAAUUUACUCAAUUUCUGAGUUGGCUUACCAAAAGUAUUGUAGCAGAAAUAACCAAAUCAACCCAGGUCCUUAUAUGGAGCCCCUGCGCGUCAAUUAAAGUAAAAGCUCGAUCCUCUGUUAUCCGAAAUGGUCAAACAAAUAUUAAACCAAAAUGUUGAAGUCUCUUUCUUUUGCAAUUCUAGCUCUAACUGAUGAGAUUGAUGGAAAAGAAUAACCAACAUUAAGAUUAAUUUUUAUUUCAAUUACUAGGAAAUAGAGAAUUAAAUGGAAUUCUCUCAGUAAAGCUCACCAAUAUCUGUCUCCGUCAUCACAUAGAUAUAUCAGACUAGCUAUCUAAUCCUUUUAUUUUAUUUUUUUCCUUUUUCAUUCAACAGCUUCAGCAUAUAACAAGAAAGCUUGGGCUCCUACAAUGCUUAGGCCUCUUCACGAUUAAGUACUCGUACGGUAGCGCAAGUAGCAGGCCUGGCACCUCUCUGGAUCUGCCAGAGAAUAAAUCUUUACACAUGCCCCCUGAAAAUCUGUUACAUAAAUUAUGUCCUAAUAAUCAGCAAUAAUUCAAAGAUGCGGAUAAAAAAGCACUAUAAUGUACAAACAUACACCUCGUUCAUAUUUUUUGUAUCACAUGAGGCAUAAACUCCUCAAGAGUCAAGUCCGACAUUUAAUUCAACCCAUAAACUUGUGCUUGUAGCCCGCAUAAAUGGUUAAACAAAUAUUAUAUUUUCGACUUGAAGAUUGGAUUACAAAUAUAUAAUAGGAAAGUAAAAUGGAGGAGGAGAAAGAAAUUACCUGUAGUAGUUGAGAAAUUACUGCCAAAAAUAGAAUUACCCGUAGGAAUUUUAUUUGGUUAGUAAUUGAGAAAGAAAUUACCUUAGGUGAUGGCUGAAAGGAAUUUAGAUCUAUCAUAAAUAGAUGUAAGCAAUUAAAAACUAAAAAUUAAUUACUUAAUUAAUUUUUUUGGAAAUACUGUUCACUGUUACUGUUUACGGUUCUGUUCACCACAACUGUUUACCGUUACUGUUCAUCCGCAUAAAAAAUAUUAAUUUUCCAAAAACACAAUAAAAUGCAGAAAAUAAAUGACACAGAGAUAUUUACGUGGUUCAGAUUAAUCAAUCCUACAUCCACGAGGCCACGCCAAGAUGAAAAGUAAUUCACUAAGUUGAGAUGUUACAACCUAUGGAUUUACCAAACUUAAGACUCUCACUUAUAGUUUAUCACCAUACAGUUUACUCAACCUUGGACUGAAUCUGCUUCUCUUAAAUAAUUGCUACCCCUCUUGAUCCACGAUUCUCAAGGCACUUCGCAAAGUGAUCAAUAGCAAUUCUUCAAUUCUUCAACGUCUAGUGAUCCAAGAUCCACAUAGAGUCUCAACAGAGAUGAAAAGAAGAUAAUAAAACAAAUCAACACAACAUGGUGCGCCAAAUUCGGAUUCUCUGGGGAGGAGGCCGAAUUAUUGCUUCUCUGCUUUAUGCUUUGCAUUGUGCCUGUCUUCAAUUGUGAAAUACCUCUAUUUAUAUAGGCACUAGGGUUUCACCAAAAUAGAAAGUUUGAAAAGACUUAGAUACUUUCCAAAUAAGAGUUUCUUUCCUCUUAUAAUUCCUAUGAAUCUGAAUAGGAAUAAAUAUGAUCUUCUUGCAUUACUUGUCUCCUAAGAAAUAUCUAGAGCAUUUAAUGACUUCUUGUUUGAACUAACUUCUUGCUCUAAAUAAAUCUCAUGCGCCAAUAAUAAAACACCACCAUUAAUUGACUUGCUAAAAUACACAUUUAAUUAAAUUAGGAAACAAAUAUUCCUAAUAAAUUGGAAUCUCACUAAAUUAGAGAAUUAAUAAAUUAAUCCCUAUUACAAGAUAUGCAAUAAAUAAACUUCCAAUUUAAGUAGACUUGUCAUAAAAUGUCAACUCUAUAAAUAAUGGAAUUAACAAUGGCUAUGGUACUUGCGGUACUCGUUUUAAAAAUCCUCAAGGUUCGAAUUUGACAUAUUGGUGAUUGAUUAGGAUGCUGGGAAUGUGGCAUAUCUUGGGGCAGUCCUCUCUUGUUUCCUUUCCAUGAUGUUCUUCUAAAACAGAACAUGAACUAAUAUCCGAAUCCUGUAGUGUUGUUUGUUGUGCGCGGAAUGCGGAAUCAAGCGCACCAAAAAAUCACAGAAAAAUAAAGGACACAAAAUUUAACUCAGAUACUAUCUAUGAAUAAUAUAACACAGUACCUCACUUCAUGCAAGCUUUGAUAUAUUAUUCCUUCUAUCUAUUUAUCCACUGCUAAUUGUUUUAUAAAAAAUUUGGUGCACUGUAGUGAACCCAAUAACUCCUAGCUAGAAGCAACAAUGUCCAAUUAAGCCGCUGAUACAAUCAAUCAAACAAUAAGGAAAGGAUCAACAACACAAAAAGCACACGCAAGGCACAAAGAUUUACAUGAUAUAUCCACAGGUGGUGAUGCUGGUAUCCACUGUACGUGUGAUGAAAACAAGUGUAUAUAUAUAAAGAACACUACCUGUCUCCUCACAAUAACCCCCUAGAACACAAGCGCAAAUAAAAAUGAGCCAAUUCCUGCUCUGCUGUGCCCUCAUGUACGUAACUCCUCUGCUAAGAAAUAUUGCCUUAAAAUAUCGGUAGCAUAUGCAUGCAUGACCAGCAAAUCAAUUAGACAUAUAAAAUUAUCAACCACACAGGAAAUCAGCAAAUCAGUGGUUUCAUGAAUUUGUAAUAUUUGAACAUCAGAAUAUGAAGAGUACAGGGCAAUGGGAAAAAGUAAUUAACCAUCCAAAUAAAUUUAAAUCCAAAUAAGAUAAGUAACGUAUGAANNNNNNNNNNNNNNNNNNNNNNNNNNNNNNNNNNNNNNNNNNNNNNNNNNNNNNNNNNNNNNNNNNNNNNNNNNNNNNNNNNNNNNNNNNNNNNNNNNNNGUAUUAUUAUGGUCACUGUCUUCAACCUGCUAACCAAAUCCAAAAAAUUGGUCUUCCCGACUGAGUAAGUGAGCCCUGAAAAGACAUUACCCAGCUUAAAAGCCAAAUGAAUGUAGACUUGUGAUUGGUGCAAUUGGUUUUAAAGAAAUUAGUAUGCAUCCCCACUGAAAGCCAGUAAAUAGAGUUGAAGAAGAUGCUAAUGUGCCACAGCUAACAUAAGCAUAAUUUGAUCAGCCGAAUGACUACCAAAUGAAAAAGCGACAUAAACUUAACAGAACUGUUAGGAUUAAUCGAAGACACAUAUAUUUGUGCCAAUUUUCACACCUUUAGCAUUCAAACCUUGCUCUAGAACAACUGCUGUGGUCCGAUGCUGCAGGCAAAAAAUUUGACCUACGAAGCAGCCUCACUCACCAACCCAGCCCCAAAUAAAUUUUUUGAAAUGCCUUGAAAACCUUAACAUUAUAUCCAAAUAAACAUAACUUGUGUUUGUGACGUAAUGAGAUUGCAGUGCAUUCGUAGAGUGUACACUUAUCUGCCAUUUCGUCGGAACAAAUUUUUUUACUUCUCUUAAAAUUUGCAUAAUAAAUUGCAAUAUGGACAAGUACCUACUUGGAUAUGAUUAUAUUUUUGUUCUAGUUUAUAACCUGUUUUCAAUUUUUUAGAUAUCUAUGAUUUUCAUUAAAUCACUACUCUAGUUGGCAUUUCGCACCACCCGCAAUUGAUUAGUUGCUCUCUAAUCCAACAAAAUUAAUAUGGAAAGAAAUGAAUGGCCAGCGAUAAAUAUUCCAACAUUAUGCAUUAAGCCAUUCCACUCCUACAAAACUGAAUCUCUUUGACAGAAUGCUUUUUCACGUGAUCAUGUAUGUGUCAAAGUUUUGUGACAGAUAUAUUAUUUUGCAGAUGUGGCAAACACAAUCGUUUCAAAAUCUUAGAGGCCUUGAAAUUUUGAUUAUUACAAAAUCUAAGAGGAUAGUUACAAAAUUCUGUCACAAAUAGUAAAAGUUAAGUGAUUCUUGACAUAAUACUAUCAAAAGGUUUAAAUAAAAUCUCACAUUUUAAUAUUUUACAAAAAUGUGUUUUAAAUUUUUUUUUUGACAUAAUUCUAUCCAUGAAUUUUCUUUUAAAAUUUUUAAUUCCACGUAGGCAUUGAAAAAUGACAGCUUUAAAAGAUUCCAAUGAUUUAACUGAUGUGAAUAUAUCUUCAAUAAGUCAACAACAAAAUUCUAUGAAACAAAAUUUACUAUUUUAAUUAUUUUAUAUUGCCACAUCAAUAAACUAAAACGAUGACAUUUCAUAUGCUCAAAAAAGAAAAACUUAUGUAGGCCGAGAUCGCCAUCUCAUCAUUAUUAAAGAGGCGUGUUCAACCAAUAAGAAUUUGCCAUCUAAAAAGUUCAAUCAGUCUUUUGAAAAGCCUGGCUCGAGUCUGAGCCUGAGUGUUUCAGGUCGGACUCAGCCUAAGCUUGGGCAUAAAACAGUAAAACACAAUAAAUGCUCAAAAAAUAAAAGAAUAAAUAUUUUAUUUUUAAUUAAAAUACACUUUUUAAUAUAUGUUUAACGUAUCCGGAACAUAUAUUUAAAGUUUUAAUUCUUUAACAGAACUUUUAAUACCUAAUCUAAUAAGAAAGUUUAUAAAUUAUAAAUUUAUAGAAUACAAUGAAAAAGGUUUAAAAAAAUUAAAGUAUAAAUAUGAGGUUUUACAAUUAAAAUAUCAAAUGGUGGCAAAAUGAGCAGCCAAAAAGUGCGCCAAAUCAAAAUUAUCCAAAAUUCCUCUCUUCGAUUCCCUUUUUAUUUUAUGUACCGCUGAUAUAAAAUUAACACAAAAACAUUCUGAAAUCGAAAGCUUGGAACGAAUCUCACGCCUCUCGCCUUCUCUUUCUCGCAUUUCUCAUUCCUCUUUGCCUCUCUCUCUCUCUCUCUCAAAGGAUUACGUUUAUGGAUUUGCCAUUGNNNNNNNNNNNNNNNNNNNNNNNNNNNNNNNNNNNNNNNNNNNNNNNNNNNNNNNNNNNNNNNNNNNNNNNNNNNNNNNNNNNNNNNNNNNNNNNNNNNNNNNNNNAGAGAGAAAUGUUCAAGUCAGGAAUUUUAAAGUGCAGGAAAGUACGGGAAACCUUUAAAACCGCAUGGUUUUAAAGGCUUAAAACUGUAAGCCUUUAAAGCCGUGUGAUUUUAAAGUUUUUCUGGACUUUCCCGUACUUUAAAUUCCCUGACCAGAAAACUACUAUAUAUAUAUAUAUAUAUAUAUUUGUAUAAUUUCAGCAAAGGUCCAGAUCGCUCAAGGCCUAAUUUCAUCUCAAGGUUUGUCAUUUUCCUCUUGAUUGCCUUUCGUCAUUGGUUUCUCAUGUGACAUUACUUUACUUUGUUCUUUGCUUAUUGUAAAUUUAUUCACGGUUUCUACAUUAUAAGUUACGGUCUUUGUUUACUUUUAUUAAAAAUUAUGGUAUAUGAAUAAUAAUAAUAAUAAUAAUAAUAUUGGCUUGUUUGCGUAAUUGUCUUCGAUAUUGACUGUAUUUACAAGAUUCUCUGUGACAUAUUUCUUAUUGUGAUUGUUUAAUUAGUCUCGAUUGCAAUUUUUACAAGAUUUGAUGAAUGUUAAAAUUUAAGUACCAAUUUAAAUUUGUACACCAAGUGUUUGUUAUAAUGCCAUGUGUUAUCUUCAAUAGAUUUUUUUUUUCUUUAACACGUAGUAUAAGCCUGAUAAUAUUUUUCAAUUUCUUUCCAAGAUGCAGUUUUUGAUAAAGAAUAAAACAAAUGAUUGAGACUGUUUCGAUGCUAAUUUUUCAAAUUAGCGCAUAUUAUGCUACUUCAUCUCAAGCAACCUAUGAUGAUAGCUAAUAUUGAUGCAAUAUUCUGUCAUGCCUGCGGAUUCAACUUGCUAAGAUUUUGGUUAUGCCUUCAGGUUCAAGCAUUGUUGCUGAUUAUGUGAGCUGUUGAGAUUUUAGUAUUGAGCAUGGCUGCUUUAGAUUCAAUUUGAGCAAAUGUAAUUGUUUCCUUUUAAAAAAAAAUUACAUUUUCAGAAACUGUUAUAAAGAUUGUCAGCAGUAUUAUUUCGUAUUAAUGUCAACUUCUCAUUUACAUAUCUUAACUAAAGCUUUAAUUUCUUUUAAUUUCUCCAUCCUUCAGGGGAGGAUUUGAUGAUUUGCUAUUGUGUGAGAAGAAAGCCAAGAAGCAGAUGUAGAGGGUUGUUAUUGUUUGGGAAUUAUUUUUCAGUGGGGACAAUUUCAUAAAAGUAAUUUAAUAAUGGAUCAAUUUUAUAAAUUUUCUUUUGUAGUCAGGGCGAACUAAUAUGUUACAAUUCAAAAUAUUAGCGAAACGAUUUUCUUCUCUCUCUCAAAUCAUGCUCACCACUCUCAAUCGAAAAAACAUAGUCCUCUGCUCUGACUUCUCAGUUCUCACCCUUAAUAACACAGUUCUUUUUUUGUACUCCAUCGAAAAUUCAUAAAAUAAUGAUAAUGAGACUAUUAUUGAAUAUUUUUAAAAUAUGAAAAAGCAUUGAGAACAAGUGUAAGAAUAUUUUUACUGAUAUCAAUGAGUAUUAAACUUUAAACAAUUAUUUUCACUAAUUCUUUUAUUAUAAUAUUGUCCCCAAUGAAUUAAUUUCCUGGAUCACCUCUAUUUGAAUUUUAUUUUUUUACUAUUUUUUUCUCAUUGUUAAAUUUUCACAUAUGUAUCUUUCAAGUACAAAAUCCCUUUUUUUCUCUUUUUUUUUUCUUAAUCUUGUUUAAUAAGAACUGAAGUUAAUCUUAAAUGUUAAUUGUUCGUUUUGACAAACAUAGUUCUAUGUGUAUGUGACUUUUAAUUUCUGUUAUUCCCUUUUUUCAGAUGUAACCUUGAACAUUAUUAUAACAUAGUGUGGUUUUUUCUUAUAUUAAAAGUUUGGAGGUGGUCAAAUGGGUAAAUUUUCCAAUAAUUUUCCAACGUGUCUAUGAAUCUUGUGUCGGCUCUUCAUAAUCUUUAUCAAAUUCUCAAUAAUUUUUAUCUUAUCUGAUAUAAUAUUAAAAGCUUGAACUCCUAUAGAACUCUCGAUGAAUUUCUUUCUAUUUCUUGGAGUUCACUUAUACGUGACAGAUGUAAAAUUUAAACCCUAAUAUCAAUGAAAAUACGUAUUAUCCCAAGUAAUUAAAUGGGACCGUUUUGCUAGGAAACAGACAAGAAACGACAGUGAAUACAUUUUACACCAAAUUUCUUAAAAAGAAAUUGAUAAAAUAGGAUGCCUGCGUUCCAAGAGUGCUUUCUUAAAAAUAGAUACACAAAAAUAUUUUAAAGUGUUUUUAUAAGGGGAAAAAAAACUUAUUAAUAUGAUGCAUGCAUUUCAAGAGUGUGCUUUCUUAUAAAUUGUUGUUAUGAAAAUAAUAAUAAUAAUAAUAAAUUAAGAUUUGAAUUUGAAUGACUAAUUAAUUAAUUAAACUAGUAGUAGGUAAACCCAUGUUAUUAAUUUUUUUUAAUUUUAUAUUAUAAGUUCUGAUUACAUUCCUCAAAUCUGUUGAAAGUUAUGCACUUAACACAUCUGAAGAAAAAUUGAGUUUGAUAUAUUGAUUGAUUGCACAAAUAUGGUCUAUAUAGAGUAGACGGACCCCGUUGGGAGACAUUUUGAUAUGAGGGUCUGAGGAUGGGUUUGUGUUUUCCAAUUGAGUUUGAUUAUAUUGAUUCACAAAUAUUCAUGUCUUGUUUUUGGUUGGUGCAUACUUUUAAUUAGGGAUGGCAAUGGAUUGGAUCUGAUCCAAGAUUCAUGUGAUCCAAAUCCAAUCGGAUCGGAUUUGAAUCGGUUUAAAAUGGAUUUGGAUCGGAUUUGGAUAUCCAUGUGCGGAUCUAAGACGGAUCUAGAGCAGAUCUAAAUCUAUCUUAAUAUCUAAAUCCAUAUCCAUAUCCACUCAUCUUUUAAUUUUAUUUUAUUUUAAAUGUUUCUUAACAAUUGUGAAAUUAUAAUGAUAAUAAAUUUUAUUCAUAACAUAUUAGUAGUAUUUACUAUCCAUUUAAACUCUCAAAACUUAAAUGUUAGUUUUGUAAAUUUAAAGGUCAGCCAGCCCCAAAGCAUGUACAUGCAAUAUUCAAAUUGCAAGUCAAGUAAUAUAACCUGGCAAUUUAUUUUAUUAUAUUGGCCAAAUAAUUUUUAAGAAAUAUAGUUAUUCAUAUAUUUAAUCAAAUAUGGUCAUAAUAAAAAUAAUAAAGGACUGAAUAUAAAUCAUAUUUAAUUUAUAUGUCAUUAUCUAAUGUUGUAGGAAUGAUGGUAGGUGUAUCGUGGAUAUUAGAAUGAUGAAGGAGACAAUAGAAUAUUAGAUUGGUCUUACUCCUGCAAUUACUUCGGAAUGAUAUUUUAUUAUCUUUCUUAUUUGUUGUUUUGGUGUAAAAGUAUAAGCUACAAUAUUUAUUAUAUUUUUGAGAAAAUUAUAUAAUUUAUUUGUUAUCAAUACAUUUUAGCCUUCAAUUUUCAAUCUAAAAAAUUAUUACUUUUUUAUUACUGAAUUUUAGAAUUCAUGACGGAUCUAGAGCAGAUUUGGAUUUUAAUUUUUUUUUUCGGAUUUGGAGCAGAUAUAGAUAUUUAUUUCUUUUUUGGAUCUGGAUAUGAAGCGAAAAAUAUGGAUUCAUGACGGAUCUGGAGCAGAUACGGAUCUUAAUUUUUAUUAUGGAUUUGGAUUUGGAGCAAAGUAGAUCCAAUCCAUAUCUAUACCAUUGCCAUCCCUACUUUUAAUGACUUUGUUUUGCGGUUCUUGUGUUGUAUGUACAUAUUGUUUCCUUUUCUGUCACUAUAUUCUUACAAGGACUUUUUUGAUAGAAUAAAAUUAUGUCAGUAACAUGGUCUGUGACAAAAAUUAUUCUGUAAAAAAAAAAAAACUCAAUUUUGUAGUGGUUCCAAAUAAUGGUUUAGUUUCUUUCCUCCUCGUUUUGUCAAUAAUUGAUUCUAUUCCUGGUUAAAACAAGUUCUUUACUUCUCUAAAAAUGUGCAUAAUUUCCCCACUUAUAGAAGUGUCAAGAUAUUUUUGACUUUCUUUUUUUUUAAGGACUAAUACUAAUUUAUUGUUUGGUUGUAAGUACUAGAAAUCAAACAGGAGAAAAUAAUUGAGUUUUUUUUGUUAACUUAAAAAUACGUAUUAUAAAUGUUACUUAUACAAAUGCAUAUUACUAUUCAAAAUAAUAAAAAUUUUGCAUUGGAAACAAUUUUGAAAAAAAAAUAAAAGUUUUUAAUGGAGAAAGGAAUUGUGGAGGGAAAGUUUGAUAGAAGAUGCACACUAGCUAGUUUUGGAAUUAUACCGUCAGGCGUCAAUCAUUUUAUAAAAAAAAAUGGAAAUAAUUUGAUCAGCCACCAGAGUUUUACUUCAGUGAUUUUCUCAAUACGACGUACGGUCCUCAAAACCUUAUCAUGAUGCUUGUAUAUUCUAAGCUUCAUGACAUCAUAUUAAAAACGUAUUGCUAAGGUAAUUUGAAAUUCGUUUUAUCCAAUGAAUGUUACAUUUACUGGUAUGUUUAAUAUUUUGUUUUGGUUAAAAAUUUUGCUAUCUAACAGCUAAUAACUGAAUUUGACUCAUUUUUAUGUAAAUUUUAUAGACCCACCGAUUCACCAUUUUUUUUAAUGUUAUGAUCAUUGUAGGCAUGUUAUAUUUUAAAUUAUGACUCCAUGCGAAAUCAAAAUUUAAAUUUCACCAUCUUUUAUAGGAUUAGAUUAUGAUAAUCAAAUAACACAAUAAACAAACACAAGGUAAAAAAAUUUACAUGGUUCGACAUAUUAAUUAAUAUGCCUACAUCCACGGAUGAUGAUAUUAAUUAAUGAAAAAGUGUAUAAAUAACAAUAAGCUCUCAUGUGCGCCAAAAAGAAAAAAAAAAGAAACACCAAAAUCAACACUCAAAAUCAAUCAAUCCCCAGCAGUUUGGCCUCACAAGAGCUCUCUCUGUGUUGUGCUUUCCCUCAUUCAUUCUCUUUACAAAUACAAGGCUCGCAAAAAAACAAACCGAAUUACUAAAAACAUACAUAACAGAUUAAAAAAGCACGCGCCGCGCCCGUCCCCCAAUUCCUGAUUUGCGACGCUGAAAAAUAUCGCUUUCCCCAAAAAAAAAAACAAAUGAAUCAGUUACACAAAUAUAUCUAAUUUUAAAUUAAUGAAGAAGAGUAGAGAGAGAGCAAACGAGAAGGAAAGCGUAUACAAAUUAUAAUUACUAACCAGAGUUAUUAGCACCAUUACAUAUAUAUAUCCCUGCUGAAUUCCCCCUCCUCUGUUCACCAUUCGUUUCUAAAAUGGAUUAAAAAAUAACUACUAAUUAAUUUUAAUUAAAAUAGAGUGAGACACGCAAUGCAUGCAGGAGAUCUAGAAAUAAAUUACCCGUCGCGGUGGCCGUGGGUGAUUGUAAUUGACUAAUUGCAGCCGCGCGCUUUCAGGCAAUGGAGAUUUUGGGAAUGUGGCGUAUCUUAGGCCAGUCGUCUCCUGUCUCCUCUCUGUAACGUUCUUGUAAAAUAGGACAUUCCCCAAAAAUCUCCAAAUUCUGGAGCGUUGACUUCUGAAGAAGGUGAUCGGGCAGUGCUUUUAAUUUAGGGCAUCUCAAAAUAGUCAACCUAGAAAGACGCGGCAUGAUUAUGAUUUCUCCCUUCAUUGCAGUCCCGAAAUCCCACUCUUCCAAUUCUUUUAUAAAACGAAAUUCCAGCUCUUUCAAUUUGGGAAAGGCAAUAACUGAGGAGCCAUCCGUAUCACUUUCUACCCCCAGAAAUUCGUUACCCACUCUUUUCACACCCAACAUUCCGCCAAUAAGAAGACCUUCAAGGGAUGGCAAUUUUCCCAAAGGAGGCAAAUGCUCGCAAUUUCUCCACCAGAAGAGAGAUAAAUCCUUUAAGUUGGUUAACGACAUGAACCAAUUUAUGGGGACAACAUUCCUCCUCCCUCUGUAUCCAUUUAUCCGUAAUUUCUUUAAAUUAGGAGGUGGUCCCAAGGCUUCAAGAAGCCGUUCAUCUUCAUCCUCCUCAUUCUCCCUCCUCCCAGCUAGUUCUUCAUCUCCAUCUCUUAAAUGAUCAAAAUAAAGUUCCAACUCAACGAGAUAUUUCUUUUUCUCAAGUUCAGCCCUUCUAGCCUCCCCCGCAUCUGACACACCACCCAGCCCACGUAUACUACAUUGUCGAAGGAGGUUAAGCUUUUUAAGAGACCCAAGGCUACAUGCUCUAUCAUACCCUCCCCCCACAACAAACUUUGUCACAUCCCGAAGACUGAUUAAUUCCCCAAUCCCUACCGGCAAGUAUCUUAAACAAUCAGUGUCUUCAUUGUGUAAAUACAUCAGCUUUCUUAACUUCCCAAUCCCUCGAGGUAAUUCUCUAAGAUUUUCACAUUCAUCAACAUUUAAACGUUCUAAAUUAUAUAACUCACACAACGUCUCGGGUAAUUUUUCUAUCUUCUUUUGACCUUUCAAAUUAAGGUAUUUCAAAUGUAACAAUUUUUCUAUAUUUGUUGGAAUUUCCUUGAUGUCAUUCACACUUGACUGCCUAUCACCCGCCUUUAAUUUUAAUGCCCUUAAACAAGUUAAUUUAUCAAAUAAUUGAGGCAGGACUUCACUAGACCAUGAAUAUUCAUCACUUUUAACUAAGAGGCUACGCAAUCCUCGCAAUCCUUUAACAUUACCCCAAAUGGAGAUCGGAACCGAAGCCCCCCUACGUAGAGUUAACAGUAAAUGAAGGAUUUUUUUCUCCCCAAAAGAGCUAAUAGCUAACUCUUCACCACUAUGAAUUUCUACUGUUAAACAUUUAUUACUACAUAAAUAUUGGGCAAAGUCGUGCACGAUAUCGUGCAUUUUGCAAUUAGAGAUUUCACCAUCAUCACCUUUGUCAAAAUCCUGAAAGAAUGAACGGUUAGCUAAGAUGUUGAAAUACUCAUCACCAAUAUCCUCCAUCUCGUUGCCUCCUUUCUCACUAAGAUAACCUUGUGCCAUCCAUAGUUCAAUUAACUUAUGCUUCCGUAUUUCAUAGUCUUUCGGAAAGACGGCACAAUAUGAGAAACAACACUUUACCUUGGAGGGUAAUUCUUUGUAACUCAACAAUAGAGGGGCUAAAAGGCCUUUCUCAAUUGCUUCUAGUUCCCAUAUCUCACUCUCUAAGAUAUUUUGCCAUUCUUUUUCAGUGUUUUUAGACCGCAAGAGACUAGCAAUUGUCUUUGCAGCUAAAGGUAAGCCCUUGCACUUUUUUACAAUUUCUCUACCAAUUUUUUCUAAAUUUUCACAUUUUCCUAUGGUCUUACCAGAAAUUGCCAACGACUGAAACACCGACCAGCAUUCCAUUUCAGACAAUACAUUGACAGAGAUAACAUGAGUUGAUCCCAUAAUACGGGCAACUGUUUCUUUACGUGUGGUAAUUAAAAUUUUACUUCCAUGGAGACCAUUCUUUAAACAUUUGUAGAAUGGUUCCCAGUUAUAGUAAUCUUCAUUCCACACGUCGUCUAAGACAAGAAGAAAUUUCUUCCCGGCAACACAUUCUUGAAUAUGUUGCAUGAGAGAUUGAAACUCUACAAGGUCUUUGGCAGAACCUGGCUUUAGAGACUCAAUGAUUGCUCUGGCGAUCCUGAACUCAUCAAAUGGCUCUGACACACAGACCCAUGUUCUUUUGUCAAAAUUUCUUUCAACAUCACCGUUGUUGUAGGCAAAUUGAGCAAGAGUUGUUUUGCCUAUGCCCCCCAUCCCAACAAGUGAGAUGAUAGAGGGGCCUUUCUGUUCUUUACUACUCUCACAUAACAACCUAUUAACGAGUUCGUUCUUCUCUUUUUCUCUACCAAAUAUCUCGGACUCAUCAAUUGAGGAGAUGCUUGGCACUCGUUGAUCCGCUCUCUCAUUAGUAACAUUCACAACAAAACCAAAUAUGUCUUUCUGUUUGGCAAUAUCAUCAAGAGUUUCGUUGAUUUCUUUUAUCUUCAGAGCAAUGUCACGACGUAAGACAAGUGGUUUGCAGGCAAAGCAAGAUGCAGUAGGAAAGAAGGAACAUACCUUCUUGUUAGGAACGAGAGCAUCAUUCUCGUGAUCAUCCACUCCGUCGAUUUGCAGUUUGAGCCUUGCAGUGUUCCACUCACCCAACACGUCUUCCAUGUCGUAACAUGCGUCUCUGAGUUGAUCGAGCCAGAGUCUGACAGUUUCCUCCUUCACUUGCCUUUUCUCAGCAUCAUGGAGCACAGCUCGAAUGGCUCGGAGAUUGCUGGUCAGCUUCUUCGCUUCCUUUCCGACACCCGUUACUAGCCUCACUUGUUCCUUCGCCUCUUCAACAGCCAUUGAAGUCAGCUGCUCCAAGAUAGGGGAAAGGAUCGCAUCAACCAUGGUGAAAAAGAAAAAAGAGAGAGAGAAGAAAUUGAUGGUGAAUUGUUGCAAAAGUAAGUAGCUAAUGCUGAAAGAAAUGAAGGAGCUGAUAAAGUGGUGAAAAUGUUGCCGUAUUCUUUCAAUUCUUAUAGUACUGCAAGCAAAAUUCUAAUUUAGAAAUAUUUCAUUUCAGCCCCUUGUGAAAGAAGCUACUGUUAUUAUUAUUACUUUUUUUUUUUUUAAUACCAGCAAAGAGUGAAAAUGACGUACAGUUAUGGACAGGAAAUAAUAUAUUGUUAGGUCCUACAUCGGCGAUUCACGCGAUAUAUGAAACUGACAAAGUUUUCCCUGAUCACUUUUUAAAUAAUUGAACAAGUUGUUGGAUAAUAUUUGUGAUCGUGUCGUCAUAUUGAGAUUUGGAAAUAUUUGCUUUAUAUGUGUAUUAUUAGCUUAGAAAUACCUUGACCAUCUCUUUCUUAUUUCCUUCUUCUUCUUUUUUUUUUUAAAUUUGACUCGUUUGCAUAAUUAGUUGAAAGGAAAGAAUGAACAUACUAAUAAACUAGGAAAACGCUGCCACAUAAUAUUUUAAGAUUCAUAUCAAACCACUUUAUUUUAGUUUUGUCAUUUUAGCAGAUGUCUGAUAGUGGGAGUUUAGAGUUUAAUCUCUAACUUUGCUUGUGAAGUGUGAAAAAUCAAAUAAUCUGUUCAACUUGUUUUUCAACAAAAAUAGAUAACAAUUCAUCAUCACUUAUUUCUCAUUAUGUAUAAAAUGAUCAAUCUAGAGCUGGAUAUUCGCAUAUUUUUCUAUUUCUAAUCAUUUCAAAAUAUAAUAUGAACUUUAAAAAAAAAUCAAAUUGUAAUAAAGUGACAUAAAUAUUAAAAAAUGAAAAUAAAAAGUCAAAAAUGUAAUGCGGAAAAAAGACAAAACCUUUUGUUUGCUCUAUUCAUGGCAUCUAAAUAUGAGAAAUGAUGGGUUGAUUGUCAUUGUGAACAACCAUAUAAUUGCAACACGUGAAUACCAUCAAAGUUAUAAUAAUUCAUGGACCCAUGCAUCUGUAUUUCUAAUUAUUCCGUGUAGAAGGCUAAAGUUUAAACAAUAAUAUUGUUUUAAAUAUCUCAAUAACAACAUGUCCAACAAAUCAGUUUGACAUGACAUAAUUUUAGUCAUAACGACUUUGUUAUAACUGAAACAUUAUUGGGAAAUUAAUGAAGAGUACUAAAUGAAACAACGAUGAGAAAGCUUAAUUAAGCCAAACAAUUUUGAUUAUUAACUCUCUAGUCUCUCUUGCACCAUUCCAGUAAUCCUCUGAUCGAUCACACAAUCUAAUGCAUAAUCUAUUCAUUUAAUUAAUCAAUUUGAAUAUAUAUAUAUAAGUGGUGGGAUCUAGAUCUACUGCAUGAAUUUUAAAGGAACUAUAAAUUAUUUAACAAAAUCUUAUUUUAAAACGAUUGUGCGGGACACAGCACAUGGCAACCCGGGCUUUAUCUCUUUUCACUAUUCAUAUACGUAGUGGCAGACAUCGGUGGCCAAUUAAGGGAUGAACACAACCAACCACUCCACCAAGUAAAUCUUGACGCGUGUGCUUUUAUGUCCAAUUAUUCUACUGUCUUUUUCUAAUGACUUUUAUCGCAGAAGUAAUUAAUUCUGAAAGAAAUGAAGGAGCUAAUAAUGUCGUGAAAGUGCUGCCACAUUCUUCCAAUUCUUAUGCUGCAAGCAAAGCUCCAAUUUACAAAUAUUUCAUUUCAAAAUAAGUUAUUGUUAUUAUUAUCUUUCUAAAUACUUACUGGUCAAAUCCAAUCAUAGUUAUUAAUUUAUUAAGCCCACGACCUGAUAAAUAAUUUAUUAAAAGAACACCAUGUGUAAAAAUUUAAUGAUUGUAUAAAUAAUUCGGUAACAGAAUUCUUUUCACCCGUUAUUAAUUGCUUGCAGAUGACUUACUGAAAUUACAAAUACGUUAAACAUUGUUUGACUGUGAAGUGAUGAAAAAUCAAAUAAUCUUUACUAUUAGUUUUGCAAUAAUAAUAAACAACAAAUCAUAGUUACUUAUUUCUUAUUUAUUAUGCAUAAAUUGAUCUAUCCAGAGAUGGAUAUUUACAUAUUCUUCUAUUUCUAAUCAUUUUGAAAUUUAAUAGAAUUUUUUUUAAAAAAAAUCAAUUUGUAAUAACGUGUCAUAGAUAUUAAAAAAUGAAAAGAGAAAGUCAAAAUUGUAAUGCUCAAAAAAGACAACUUUUUUUUUUCUUUUUCACGGCAUAUAAAUAUGUUGUUACAGGUAAUGGAAAUUUAGGCAGCGCUUAUGUUACAUUUGCUGCAAGUAACGGCCCGACAAAAUGGAUAGUUGGAUUUGUCAAUUUUUAGAUCCAACGGCUGUAAAGAAAUUUAACACAAAAUCAGUUACAGGUAUAGGUGGUAAAAUGAUUAUUAUAAUAAAGGAUGGGCAACCUGCCAAUACGGUUUUGGAAUUAUGUACUUAAGGGGUUAUUCGAUAAUGAAAUUAUAGAGGGAAAAGAAGAAUUAUGAGCGGAUGCUCUGGGUACGCAAAAAAUUCAAGAGGCAAAAAGUACAGUAAUUAAGUUUUCAAAGAGGGGAAAAUAAGAGUAGCACCAAACGAUGUUAUCAAUUUCCUUGUUCAAUUUUGCAGAUUCACAAAUUGAUUGCGAGAUUACUACUUAAAUAUUUAACUUGUCUUGUUUCACUGGAUGGUGAGGCUUCUGCCACUGAUGAGGCAAAGAAGAGAAACCAUGUCUUGAGAAAGCUUGAGAAGCGUAAAAAAGAUCGCACGCUUGACCCACAUAUUGAAGAGCAGUUUGCUAGUGGUCGUUUGUUAGCUUGCCUCUCAUCUCCGCCUAGCCACUGUGGACGUGCUGAUGGGUAUGUGACCCCUUUUAUUGCUUUUUAGUUUUCAAGAUUUGCUGUAAGGCCCUAAAAAUGGAAGUAUUCAACAUACACCAUCAUACCUGGACUUUCAUGUUGUUGAGGCUGGAUAUAUAUAUCCGUUCCUUUCCCUUGCCUCGUAAUGGGUAUUGGACAAUUGGUAGAAGUCCUUUUUUUUUUUAUGGCAUUAAACACCUUAAGAUUUGCUUUGGAGACCAUCAAAGUUGUUCCUUGUUUUUGUUUAUUUCCAUGGUAGUUAUUGGAUAGAUACAGGAGAACAAGACAGUAUAAUGGUAAUAUUUGCUUUCUUUUUUCUUGCAUUGAUGGGCUUUUUCAUUUCCGACAGAUACAUCUUGGAGAAAGAGCUGGAAUUCUACAUAAAGAAGAUACAGGGGUGCUGGUGCUGCUUAAAUUUUUGUUUAUUGAAACUCCAUACUGGAAUUUCUAGUCUUGCCUUGUGUUCUUAUUUUUAGUCUUAAUUAAGUUAAGAGAGUUGAGAUGAUAUCAGCAGUUGAACCUGGAUUUCUCACUUGUGUUAUUGUUACAUUUUGUUUUUGAAUGUUACCAGUGCCUGUCUUAGAAUUUCUUCCGUUCCUCUACGUUUUUCAUGAUUCUGUCUGCGUGAUCAAUGAAUUUGGUAGUUAAUGCCUUAAUGGUUAUUGCUUAAGGUUGAUAUAUUAAUUCCAUACCGAAAAUGAACCUGGUAUAUCUACGCAUGUGCAAUACAAUAACACAACCAUUUUAGGCACUAGUUAUGGGCAAGGCCAUCCCUAAAUAUACAAAUAACUGGGUUAAUGUAUUUUGUUUGGAAUUAGUUUCAUGUAAAAAUUAUUUUCUAACAUCUUUUCUAUAACAUUAUUUUUGUUGGCCUGAAGUUUGUGUGAGAGGAUUCUCUCUACAUGGAAUCUAGUUUCUCGACCUUUUCCCAUUUGUGCACCAUAUGUUGUGGUAAUAGAUGAGCAAAAAUCACGAUCCGUGAAUUUGCUAUCACAAGAACAAUCAAAGUAUGUAUCGAGGAACCAAUAAAGUGUUGGCUCCACUGGCAAUGGAGUCCUCCUUAAGUGGCUUGACUGAGUUUGCUCCUCAGUUUGAGUCGCAAGAAAAUCGCCUUUGUUAGGAGAACCUGUGCCUCCCGGUUCGAGCGGAGACUUCUAAUUUGAGCUGUGGUACGGACUUAAAGGUGCCUUCCACAGUUGGGGCCCUCCCCAGAAUACCUCGUGGUUAAGACAAAAAAAAAAGUAUGUAUUGAGGAAGCUCAUGGGGAUGAACGAAAAGCAAGCCGUUGCAGCUUAUUGAAAUAACAAGCAACAGUAAUUGGUUACUGAAACAAGAACAUGUAUUUCAUAAUUAAUACACCAUUUCUCUCUUAGGGAAAGCACGAUACCAUUUCUCUCUUAAGGAAGCGCAAUUGCAAUUGCGAUCAUAUUUCGGUAACAAAAACCAAACCAUGCAUGAUAAGCAUAUGAUAAAAAGUAGAGAAACAGGGGCAGCUGCUAUGUCUAAGAGUCAUUUCAUCAUACAUAUGGAAGGCGAUUUAACUGCAACCUGAGGUAUCCGGUACAGUCAAGAAAUCAAACAUGGGUAAUCAAGUUUUAUAUCACAUAUAUACACUACCCUCACAUAAAUUACAUUUCUUUACUCUAAUAAUAAUAAUAAAAAAAAAAUCGAAUAACGAAACAAAUUAUAAAAUUUUCGAAACACUCCCUCACAUCUGAAACCGUAGCUCCCCGUCAUUUCUCUAUGUAGUAAUAGUAGGCAGAACUCUGAAAUAAUUUGUUUUUUCCCCCAUUUUUUCAGCUUUUAUUCAAUAAUUUCCGUUAUAAAAUUGUUUGAAUAUUUCACAGAUUAAGUUUCAGAGGGGAGCUAUUGCUUCCUUCAAUAAACGGAUAAUGAGAUUAUGGAUUCUAAAGUGUUGAAAGCCAUAUAAUUUUUUUUUUAAUUUCAAAUUUUCUUUUUCUUUUCGAAAUUUUCAGUGAUAUGCUUAUCUAAUCUUCAACCGGCUAUUAUCAGGAAUGGAUAGGAUUGACUCUACCGUUGACACAUUUUGCAACUGGUUUCAACAUGUUUUUCAUACUGCCCCUUACUGACACGUGCUUCUCUUAUGUGAGUCAAUUGAUCACCUCACUUAUGUUACUUACACCAAAUGUAACAUAAGCUUACCCUGGAAUUUAUACCCCACAAAGGGAAUUUUCUUCCACAAAUGAUAUGAGAAUGUCGGGUGAAACAUGUGAAUGGGAAACUGCCUUACGAUUGCAGCAUGUGAACACUUGAAUUUCUUUUUGACAGAGCACAAUGAUAACUUACAGGUACUGCAAUAUUGCAUGAAGAUUCCUGGAAGUAGCCUGCAGCUCAAAUUAAUAAUUUUCUUUUGAACAAAACCAACCAACAAUAAUUUUCAAACCUGGAAGAUACUCAUUAAAAGAUGGAUCUUCAUCAUUUUUUUCCUCCCCACAACCCACCCACUAAAAACUUUAUUCAUUUAGUGUAACUUUUUAGUUUUGUUAGAAGAUACUUAGAACUGCCGAUAUCUUCCAAUUAUUGUUUUAAAAAUCUCAGUUGGCAUGCCCAAUUAACAAAUCAAUAGUCUUUGUUCGACAUAUUUAAAACAAAAAACAAAAAAAUCACACAUUGGUUUGAUGAGAGAUGAAAAGAAAAAGGAACACACUUACGAUCAUCAUUGCAGACGAUAUACACCAAGUAAAUCUUGAGACGUGCUUUUUCUAAUUAGCCAACUUUUUUUUUUAGGGAUAAAAAGAGACCGUCUCUUUUUCUUUUUCUUUUUUUCAUUAUUCAUAGUGGGAGACAAUGGUGGGGGCCUAGGGAUGAAAGUAAAAUUAAAAAUUAAACGUGAAUUAUGUGGUAAAAGUAUUUAAAUUAGAUAGUUGUAAGUUAAAAGUUAUAAUAUUAAAGUGUUUGGUUAACAUUAGUUGUUGUAACUUAAAAUAUAUAUUUAUAUAAUUUUUCAGCUGUAUAAUAAAAAAUUUAUUAUAUUUUUAAUAAUUUUAUUAAAAUUAUUAUUUAAAAUUUAUAUUCAUUAUAUUAUGAAGUUUUAUUUUAUAAUUACAUAUUAUGGGAUGUAAAGGAGUUUGGGAGCUGUAGCCUUUAGUUGGCUUAGGGAGAUGUUAAAGUUUUGAGAAAUGCUUAGAAAUUUAUUUUAUAAUUUGUUUUAAAGUUUAUUUUAUAAUUUAUUUAUAACGUAUAUAAUACGCUCUCAAUUUUAUUACUAUAAAGUUGAAUCUAUUUUAUUUACUUUAUAAUUUUUUUAUUCGGGUUCACUGACCGUGUACUCCAGCUAGAUUCUAAAAACAAAAAAUGAAAAUAUAGUCUAGAGAAAUAACAUCGAACAGACUCUUAACUUAUCAUCUUCACAUCAUCAUUUUGAAUUUCUUUAAUUAAUUCUUUUCAUUUUACUCUUCAAUAAUAAAUGUCACUUCAACUCGUGUGUGUACAUAAUAUAGGAUAGAAAAAUAAUGUCGAACAAACUCUAACAUAUCAUCUUCGAAUCAUCUUUUUGAAUUUCUUUAAUUAAUUCUUUUCAUUUUACUCUUCAUUAAUAAAUGUCACUUCAACUCGUGUGUGUAUAUAUUCAUACUAUAGAAAUUAAAAGUUUGAGUUUACUAUUGUAGAUGAAGUUAUGUUUUAAUUAUUAUUACUAUUACUAUUAAUUAAUUUAUAUUAUUAUUAUUUUUUGUUAAGUUAUUAUCAUUAACUAUUACCUCUGAUUUAUUAUUGUAUUAUUAACCACAACAAAUAAAUAAUAAUAAUAAUUUAUUUGAGGACAAAAGUAAAAUUAUGAAAUUUAUAAGGUGGUAAAAUAGAGAGUUCAAGGAAUAGAAACUUAAUUUCCUAUCCCCUCAUAGAAAUCAAGUUUAUGUUCUUUAAUUCCCAAAAACACGAGCCCUAUAUGUUUCAUUCCCAUUUCUAUCUAUAUUUAAGUAAGUAAACAUCAUCAAUCAUUUUCGUUUUGAAUUAUGAUUUUUCAAUCCAAAAAGUAGAUGCCAGUAAAAGAGAGAGUUAAACUUGACUCACCCGCUUUUCUAAUUGUUCUGAUUUGUUGUAUAAUUUAUUCUAAAGUUAUUUUAUAAUUUAUCUAAAACGUAUAUAACACGUUCUCAAUUUUAUUACUAUAAACUUACGCUGUAUUGUCUAGUCUUAGUAAGUAACGACUCAAUUGGAUGUGGGAGGAUCCCUUCCGCUUUGACCAAAAAAACUGUUUCGAGGACAGUAUUCUAACUCAACUCAAGUGCGGAACAAAGAAAGAAACGCUAAGAACGUUAAUGAAAGUUAACAUACAGAGCAAACUAGUCAAGAGCACACACAAGAGGAGAAAUAAUUAACACUAUUAUUUUACAUGGUUGAGUUUCUCUAAGCCCACGUCCACGAAGACAGACACUUGGCUACAUGCAUGCAUGCUUUAUUAAUUGACCAAGGAAUUUACAAGGAAACUCUCUUUUCCAGAAGUUACAAGAGCCCUGACACUAUUCCUCUCGAGGUCUAGUUCAAGUCGCCCAAGCCUCUCAAGCUCCCUUAAGAACUCUGCUUUCUUGCUGUUCAAGAAAGCGCCUGAUUGGAAUCACAUGCUCCACGUGACAUCUGGCAUAACAAAAUCUGCUGCCGUACCCGGCCAAUUUAUGAUGCCACUUAUGAUACCCUUUCACGUCAGCUUCCCUUGCCCUGCGUCAUCAUAGGACCUUACAUCUUGGAACCUACAUGAAACCUGAAUCUCUAACAGCCCAUCAUAAAAGAUAUUAGUUUUAAAAUAUGGAAAUUACCAAAAAUACCUGCGCAUUUUGAAAUUUGUCAAAAAAUGAAGAGUAGAAAGCAAUAGGAAAACGUAAUUAACCAACCAAUUUGAUUCCUCUGAUCGCUUUCAUCUCAGGACUCUUUGUCUUCCCGUGCGUCUUCGAUUCCACAGGACAAUCUUGGAUUGAAUUUAUACAUCAGAAGAAAAUAUCAGUAUGCCCAAAAUAAAAAAAGGUGUCAUAUAGAAGUAUUCUGUCGCAGACUUAACAUAUCUAUCAAGUAAGUAAUUAAUAAUUCCUAGUUUUAAAAGUAGAGCAAUUGGAUAUCAAGUCCGUAAAUUCAAGAUAUAAUAACUCUUGACAAUUAUAUAUUCAUAUGCAUGUUAGUAGCAUGAUGCUACCAAUAUUCGCACCUUUAGCAUUCAAACACUUGAUCAUUGAAAGAAUUUAAGAAAAAUGUUGUUUGGUUACUGAGAAAAUAUCUCAACAAAAUUUUCAGAGAACUUUCCGGAAUUCUUGCCUUUAUUUCACUUAAUGAAAAAUGUUACAAUUACAUUCAAUUUAUAUUCGAUGCUUUAGCAUUACUAUAACUAACUCAGAACAUACUACACAUGCUUAACUACAGCUCAAUAGAUACAGAGUAAGUCAUAACAAACUUUUAACUACUUAUGCUGAGGUGGCAACUGAGCUGUUAUUCCGCUUAAUCAUCUGACGUCACCAACUUGUUGGUUUUCCUCAGCUCGAGCGUCUUCUUCCUUUCUGUACAAUGAGCUUCUUUAACAACCACUGAAGCAGCCUUUCUCACCAACCUAGCUCCGACAUUAAUCUAUAGAGUUAUCAAGACCGACAUUCGAUGACGUAAUCACAUAAAGUUGCGCUUAUGCCUACAAAAUGGCUGAAUAACUAACCAAUUCGAUUCCUUAUUGCACCAUUCCUGAAUCCUGUCCUCUGAUACUGUAGGCCUCUUCCCGUCUUCCAUAUCGCAAGACACUUCACCUAGCCCAAAACAUACCGUUCUUGGCUUGAAAAUGGAAAGUCUCGUGCAGUGCAGAAAUCAGAGGAAUUAACCCACUUAUGACCAUCGUGUGUGUAUAUAGUAGACGAUGUAAUUAGAUAUCUAAUGAGUGUUUAAGAUAUUACAGAUUAAAAUGUUGCAUACUCUGGACAUUAACAUAACAUAAAAUUUGAUCCACAAUUUACUCAAUUUCUGAGUUAGCUUACCAAAAGUAUUGUAGCAGAAAUAACCAAAUCAACCCAGGUCCUUAUAUGGAGCCCCUGCGCGUCAAUUAAAGUAAAAGCUCGAUCCUCUGUUAUCCGAAAUGGUCAAACAAACAUUAAACCAAAAUGUUGAAGUCUCUUUCUUUUGCAAUUCUAGCUCUAACUGAUGAGAUUGAUCGAAAAGAAUAACCAACAUUAAGAUUAAUUUUUAUUUCCAUUUCUAGGAAAUGGAGAAUUAAAUGGAAUUCUCUCAGUAAAGCUCACCAAUAUCUGUCUCCGUCAUCACAUAGAUAUAUCAGACUAGCUAUCUAAUCCUUUUAUUUUAUUUUUUUCCUUUUUCAUUCAACAGCUUCAGCAUAUAACAAGAAAGCUUGGGCUCCUACAAUGUUUAGGCCUCAUCACGAUUAAGUACUCGUACGGUGGCGCAAGUAGCAGGCCUGGCGCCACUCUGGAUCUGCUAGAGAAAAAAAUUUUACACAUGCGCCCUGAAAAUCUGUUACAUAAAUUAUGUCCUAAUAAUCAGCAAUAAUUCAAAGAUGCGGAUAAAAAAAACACUAUAAUGUACAAACAUACACCUUGUUUAUAUUUUUUGUAUCACAUGAGACAUAAACUCCUCAAGAGUCAAGUCCGACAUUUAAUUCAACCCAUAAACUUGUGCUUGUAGCCCGCAUAAAUGGUUAAACAAAUAUUAUAUUUUCGACUUGAAGAUUGGAUUACAAAUAUAUAAUAGGAAAGUAAAAUGGAGGAGGAGAAAGAAAUUACCUGUAGUAGUUGAGAAAUUACUGCCAAAAAUAAACUUACCCGUAGGAAUUUUAUUUGGUUAGUAAUUGAGAAAGAAAUUACCUUAGGUGAUGACUGAAAGGAAUUUAGAUCUAUCAAAAAUAGAUGUAAGCAAUUAAAAACUAAAAAUUAAUUACUUAAUUAAUUUUUUCAGAAGUGCUGUUCAUUGUUACUGUUUACGGUUCUGUUCACCACAACUGUUUACAGUUACUUUACAAUUAUUGUUUAUCCACAUAAAAAAUAUUAAUUUUCCAAAAACACAAUAAAAUGCCGAAAAUAAAUUAUACAGAAAUUUUUACGUGGUUCGUAUUAAUCAAUCCUACAUCCACGUGGGCACGCCAAGAUGAAAAACAAUCACUAAGUUGAGAUGUUACAACUUAUGGAUUUACCAAACUUAAGACUCUCACUUACAGUUUAUCACCAUACAGUUUACUCAACCUUAGACUGAAUCUGCUUCUCUUAAAUAAUUGCUACCCCUCUUGAUCCACGAUCCUCAAGGCACUUUGCAAAGUGAUCAAUAGCAAUUCUUCAAUUCUUCAACGUCUAGUGAUCCAAGAUUGACAUAGAGUCUCAACAGAGAUAAAAAGAAGAUAAUAAAACAAAUCAACACAACAUGGUGCGCCAAAUUCGGAUUCUCUGGGGAGGAGGCCGAAUUUUGUUUCUCUACUUUAUACUUUGUGUUGUGCCUGUCUUCAAUUGUGAAAUACCUCUAUUUAUAUAGGCAAUAGGGUUUCACCAAAAUAGCAAGUUUGAAAAAACUUAGAUACUUUCCAAAUAAGAGUUUGUUUCCUCUUAUAAUUCCUAUGAAUCUGAAUAGGAAUAAAUAUGAUCUUCUUGCAUUACUUGUCUCCGAAGAAAUAUCUAGAGCAUUUAAUGACUUCUUGUUUGAACCAACUUCUUGCUCUAAAUAGAUCUCAUGCACUAAUAAUAGAAUCCCACCAUUAAUUGACUUGCUAAAAUAGACAUUUAAUUAAAUUAGGAAACAAAUAUUCCUAAUAAAUUGGAAUCUCACUAAAUUAGGAAAUUAAUAAAUUAAUCCCUAUUACAAGAUAUGCAAUAAAUAAACUUCCAAUUUAACUAGAACUUAACAAUGGUGACGGUACUCGUUUUAAAAAUCCUCAAGGUUCGAAUUUGACAUAUUGGUGAUUGAUUAGGAUGCUGGGAAUGUGGCAUAUCUUGGGGCAGUCCUCUCCUGUUUCCUUUAUGUGAUGCUCUUCUAAAACAGAACACGAACUAAUACCUGAAUCCUGCAGUGUUGUUUGUUGUGCGCAGAAUGCGAAAUCAAACGCACCAAAUAAUCAUAGAAAAAUAAAGGACACAAAAUUUAACUCAGAUACUAUCUAUGAAUAAUAUAACUCAGUACCUCACUUCAUGCAAGCUUUGAUAUAUUAUUCCUUCUAUCUAUUUAUCCACUGCUAAUUGUUUUAUAAAAAAUUUGGUGCACUGAAGUGAACCCAAUAACUCCUAGCUAGAAGCAACAAUGUCCAAUUAAGCCGCUGAUACAAUCAAUCAAACAAUAAGGAAAGGAUCAACAACACAAAAAGCACACGCAAGGCACAAAGAUUUACAUGAUAUAUCCACAGGUGGCGAUGCUGGUAUCCACUAUACGUGUGAUGAAAACAAGUGUAUAUAUAUAAAGAACACCACCUGUCUCCUCACAAUAAGCCCCUAGAAUACAAGCGCAAAUAAAAAUAAGCCCAUUCCUGCUCUGCUCUGCCCUCAUGUACGUAACUCCUCUGCUAAGAAAUAUUGCCUUAAAAUAUCCGUAGCAUAUGCAUGGAUGACCAGCAAAUCAGUUAAGACAUAUAAAAUUACCAUCCACACAGGAAAUCAGCAAAUCAGUGGUUUCAGGAAUUUGUAAUUGAACAUCAGAAUAUGAAGGGUACAGAGCAAUGGGAAAAAGUAAUUAACUAACCAAAGAAUUUAAAAUCCAAAUAAGAUAAUUAACGUAUGAAAGCUGGGUUGAAGCCCACCUUAGAGCCCCUGUCUAUGAAGGCCAAUAAAUCUCCUGUUAUCUGUUUGCUUAGAUCUUUAUGUAUUCCUAUACACUUUUUACUCUACUCUGUUGUUCAACCUUCCUUGGCUUUAUGUAUCUAUUUUAUGUGUAUUGAGAAGGCUAGUUACUAGGUGUCAACUCUUCUCUUUAAAAGAUAAAGUUUUGAGAAAAGGAAAGAAAGACACCCACUGCCAGCUACCUUGUCAUAUGUUGCAUACCAAAAUUGGAUAUUAAUUAUGGUCACUGUAUUCAACCUGCUAACCAAAUUCAAAAAAAUUAGUCUUCCCGAUUGAGUAAGUGAGCCCUGAAAAGACAUUACCCAGCUUAAAAGCCAAAUGAAUGUAGACUUGUGAUUGGUGUAAUUGGUUUUAAAGAAAUUAGUAUGCAUCCCCACUGAAAGCCAGUAAAUAGAGUUGAAGAAGAUGCUAAUGUGCCACAGCUAACAUAAGCAUAAUUUGAUCAGCCGAAUGACUACCAAAUGAAAAAGCAACAUAAACUUAACAGAACUGUUAGGAUUAAUCGAAGACACAUAUAUUUGUGCCAAUUUUCACACCUUUAGCAUUCAAACCUUGCUCUAGAACAACUGCUGUGGUCCGAUGCUGCAGGCAAAAAAUUUGACCUACGAAGCAGCCUCACUCACCAACCUAGCCCCAAAUAAAUUUUUUGAAAUGCCUUGAAAACCUUAACAUUAUAUCCAAAUAAACAUAACUUGUGUUUGUGACGUAAUGAGAUUGCAGUGCAUUCGUAGAGUGUACACUUAUCUGCCAUUUCGGAACAAUUUUUUUUUACUUCUCUUAAAAUUUGCAUAAGAAAUAGCAAUAUGGACAAGUACCUACUUAUGAAAGUGUUAAGAUAUUUUUACAUUUCUUCUUUUUCUUUCAAGGAGUAAAAGUAAUUAUUCAUUUUGUUGAUGCCCAUUUACUCUAUAAAUGCCAUCAUGACCACUGAGAUAUGUUCAUGAAUAAGCAUCUACCAUCAGAUCGAUUCGAAAACGGAAAGGAAUAGAGAAAUAAAAGGUGAAACAAAUGAAAUAAUUAAGGAGAGGAACGAGAUUCUGUUGUCUGGUUAUAACUGGAAAUCAAGCAUGAAAAAGGAAUUGAUUUUUCUUUUUUGGUUGACAGAAUACACUUUCAACUAUAAGAAAAAAAAGAAAAUUUGAAUUUGAUAUUUAACAGAAAAUUCAAAUAAAAUCAAAUUCAUUUGUAAUUUAAGUUCAUUUCAUUCUUAAAAUUUGACAUAUAGAAUAAAAUUUAUAACUGUUUCAAAUACAAAAACAUAUUAAUAUUCAAAAUAAUAAAAUUUUCAUGGCAAAAAGUUAAAAAUAAAAAAUAAAACGGUUUGAUGGAGAAUGGAAUUGAGCAGGGAAAGUUUGAUGGAAGAUGCACACACCAGUUGUGGAAUUAUACUGUUAGUCAUUUUAUUAAAAAAAUAAAAUAAAAAUAAAAAUCACCUCGUUGAAAGAUUAUUUGCUACGAUUAAAAAUUUUAUUUGGUGAGCAAAACGACGUACGGUCCUCAAAAACCUCAUGAUGAUGCAUGUAUAUUCUAAGCUUCAUGACAUCAUAAUAAAAAUGUUUUGCGAAGGUAACUGGAAAUUUGUUUUAUUCAAUGAAUGGUACAUUUACUGGUAUGUUUAAUAGUUUGUGGGUAAUUGUUUAUUUUCUUUUGGUUGAAAAUUUUGCCAUCUCACAAACUAACAACUAAAUUUGACUCCUUUUUAUAUAAAUUUUAUAGGCCCGCCGAUUCACCAAUUUUAUUUUAUAAUCCUUGUAUGUUUGUUAUCUUUAAAUUAUGACCCCAAGUACCAAAAUUCCAAUAUCACGGUCUUUUAUAAGGUUUGGUUAUGAUAAUUAAUUAAUACGAUAAAUACAAACAAGGCACAAAUUAAAAUUUAUAUGGUUCGGCAUAUUAAUUAAUAUGCCUACAUCCACGGAUGGUGAUACCGAAAAUCCACCACAUGAUGAAAAAGUGUACAAACAAUAAUGAAAAUAUUGCUUUCCCAACAAAUUAAUCAGUUAGACGAAUAUAUCCUAAUUAUAAUGGUUUUAUGACAUACAUACAUAUCAAAUUCAUGACUUGUAUUUUGCACUGUUGCAGAGCAAUGAGCAGGCUACAAUACGUUCACUUGUUGAACUCGACCCUCAGAGCGACGGAGAGGACCAUUUGCUGUAUCCUCGAAGACUACCAGAAGGAGGAUGGUGUGUGUGGAAGUACCAGAAGUUCUACAAUAUUGGAAAUGGUUCAGCCGUGAUCAUUGGGAAAAUUAAAAAACCGAAUAAGUAAUAUAAUAAUUAUAAAACCAGUCGGUUCGAUUUUUUAUUUUAAAAAAAUUAAAAAACUGAACCGAUUAUCAAAUAAACCGAAUAACAACCGGAAUCCCUAAAGUGAAUAAAGUCUAAACACUCUAAACUAAAUUGUGACCACUUCUUCUGAGUUCUGAUCAUCAACCUAAAUCGUGACCACUUCUGAGUUCUGAUCUUCAGCUGAAACUGAAAUCGUGACCUUCAGCCGCUGAAGUCUCGUCCCCGUUGCUCGUCGCCGCCACUGCUCGUCGCUGCUGCUUAUCGCUGCUGCUCGUCGCUGCUGCCCAUCGUUGUUGCUCGUCGCCGAGUCUCCGCCACUGUUACCACGUGCUGCAGCCGCUGUCAGCUGCUGCUGCUGCCACUGUCACCAACAACUCUCAGCAGAACAAGGUUUUAUGAAUUUAAAAAGCUAUAGCUAUAAUAUUUUGUUAUCAUUGGGGCCAUAUAAAUUCGUGAGAAUCCCAGAAAUUGCAUUGAAUUUUUACUGAAUCUGAUAAGCCCGGCAUAUCUUAAUCCCAGCUAUUUUGGCUAUAGCGUACCAUUCAUUCGUUAGCUCCAAGGGCCCAUCAACAGGCGUUUUCGGGAAUCGGCUGCGGGGCGAAUUUGGGGUAAAUGCAAGAGGAUAAAAAAAAGCUAUAGCCAAAAUAGCCAAGAGGAUCCCAAGGGCCCCGUCAAUAAGAAUUUGCAGACUUGCAUAAAUAAAUUAUGUAUGAUGCUAUAAAUGAUGCCCAUUAGCCAGACUUGCAUUCUCAGCAAUUCUUCUCCAUUUCUUAAUCCUUUUAUCCAUAUGCUUUGUUAAUGCACAAUACUGUUGAAUAAACUUUGUAUUCCUUUUAUCAGUUUGUUUGAGAUUAAAAUUGGAGGUAAUAAAAUGUUGUUUUGAUUUCAAUUGAGAUGUAUUUAGCUUGAAACAUUGACUUCAUGAAACUAAUUUUGACACUUGAUUUUCUGAUCGAAUUUAUGAUUAUAAUUGGUGAGGAUGAUUUGAAUUUAAUUGCAUGCCAUCAGCCAGGCCAGUGUUGGAAUGUCAUAAUAUUUUUUAUUUGUAAUCCCCAAGAUUUUUUAUUUGUUGCUUCUGUUGUAUUGAUUUGUUGUUGUAGAAUGGAAAACUAUGAUGAGGAGGAAGUGCAAGAGGUGGAGGUUGAUGAUGUGAAAAAAAGAAAAAUACUUUGAGACAUAUUGUGAUUUUUUGUUUGUUAACUUUUUAUGUUUGUGGUAGAUUUAUUAAUUUAAGGUUUUAAAUUUAAAAAAAUCCAAAAUAGGCCCAAUAGGCCUAUAAUCGAAAUAAUCGAACCGAACCGAAUCGAAUUAUUUCAAUUAAUCGAGUAUUUGAUUAUUUCGAUAAUUCGAUUAAUCGCGAUUAUAAUUUUAAAAUAAUUGUAAUCAAACGAUAAUGAAAAGUUUAGUAAAAACCCGAACCGAACCGCGCCCAUCCCUAGCCACCAGAGCUUUAGUUCAGUGAUUUUCUCAAUACGACGUACGGUCCUCAGAACCUUAUCAUGAUGCUUGUAUAGUCUAAGCUUCAUGACAUCAUAUUAAACAGUGUUGGCUUUAACCAAUUGGGGGCCUUAGCCGAAAUUUCAUUUUAGGCAUUCUAAUGUUAAAAUAUCAACUAUCACAAGAAUAUUAAAUAGCUAAAAAAACUCUCACAACAACAUCAAGUAGCUCAAAAUUCAACAAUAUCUUGAAUUACAACAAUUAUUAACAAGAUCUAAAAAAAACAAAAAAUAAUAGUUGGAAAGAUAUCUAUUUCUUUCCACAUGAAUAUUAACUAACUUUGUCUUCCACAAAAUCCAGCUCCUUAAGAUGCUCUAAAACUUCUUCAGCCAUAACCAUAAUCAUCUCGUGAACUUUAUAUCAUUGCUCCUACCUAAUAUGAUCCUAAUCCAUAUUUUCUAGUUGACAUGCUUUUCAAAUUAAAAAAAAAAUAAACAAACAAUUUUUUUUUCUAGAUUAUUCAAGCCAAAAUCAAUACAAAAAAUAAAAAAAUAAAUUAAAUUUAAAAAGGAUAAGAACAGUAAUAAAAAAAUGGAAAAAAAUAGAAUGAUAGCACCUAUAAUUGAGUCAAUUGACUAGUUGAGAUGAGGAUGAUGAUGGCAAUGAAUUUUGUAGAGAAAGAGAAGAGAGCACAAAAACUUUUUGUUGAAAGUAGCUUUGAUUCAAUGUGUAUCGGUUUAUAGAUAAUGAGUUUUUAAAUAUAUUUUAAUAGAAUACUAAAAGUUAGCUCUAAAAAUCCAACGUUACUAAUUUUAAUAAGAGCUCUUUUUGGAAAGGGAAAGCAUUCAUUUGUUUUUUGGGAAAAUAGUAAAAGAAAAUAAAGAAGUAAUGUUAAAAAUAAUUAUUAUACCAUACAAAUAUAUUUUAUAUUUAAGGUAAAGAUUAUUAAAUAGGAGAGACAAUUAUGAAUGAGAGUAAUGAUAGGGUAAAGACUAAAAAUUAGUUUUUUUUAAUUGUAUAAAAAAAAUAUACGUAACUUAAUUUUUUAAUCUUAAAAAAAUUAAUUAUAUUGAUUAAUAAAUAGAUACCAAAAAAUUAAGGUCUUCCUAAAUACGAGGCCCUAGGCAACUGCCUAGUUUGCCUAGUCCUAAAGCCGUCACUGAUAUUAAAAUCAUAUUGCUAAGGUAAUUAGAAAUUUGUUUUAUCCAAUGAAUGUUACAUUUACUGGCAUGUUUAAUAUUUUGCUUUGGUUAAAAAUUUUGCUAUCUAACAGCUAAUAACUGAAUUUGACUCAUUUUUAUGUAAAUUUUAUAGACCCACCAAUUCACCAUUUUUUAUGUUAUGAUCAUUGUAGGCAUGUUAUUUUUUAAAUUAUGAUUCCAUGUGAAAUCAAAAUUUAAAUUUCACCAUCUUUUAUAAGAUUUGAUUAUAAUAAUCAAAUAACACAAUAAACAAACACAAGGCAAAAAAAUUUACGCGAGUUGACAUAUUAAUUAAUAUGCCUACAUCCACGGGUGGUGAUACUAAUAAGCCACUAUAUAAUGAAAAAGUGUACAAAUAACAAUAAGCUCUCAGAUGAGCACAAAAAAAGAAAAAGAAAAAGAAAAAAGAAACACCAAUCUCAACACUCAAAAACAAUCAAUCCCCAGCAGUUUGGCCUCACAAGAGCUCUCUCUGCGUUGUGCUUUCCCUCGUUCAUUCUCUUUACAAAUACAAGGCUCGCAAAAAUACAAAACGAAUUACUGAAAACAUACAUAACAGAUUAAAAAAGCACGCGCCGCGCCCGUCCCCCAAUUCCUGCUCUGCGACGCCAUUUCGUAAUUCCUUUUUGGCUGAAAAAUUAAUAUCGCUUUCCCCAACAAAAAAACAAAUGAAUCAGUUAGACAAAUAUAUCUAAUUUUAAUGGACAUUGUUAAAUUAAUGAAGAAGAGUAGAGAGAGAGCAAACGAGAAGGAAAGCGUAUACAAAUUAUAAUUACUAACCAGAGUUAUUAGCACCAUUACAUAUAUAUAUCCCUGCUGAAUCCCCUCCUCUGUUCACCAUUAGUUUCUAAAAUGGAUUAAAAAAUAACUACUAAUUAAUUUUAAUUAAAAUAGAGUGAGACACGCAAUGCAUGCAGGAGAUCUAGAAAUAAAUUACCCGUGGCGGUGGCCGUGGGUGAUUGUAAUUGACUAAUUGCAGCCGCGCACUUCACUCAAUCUCGAUGUUGGGAAUGUGGCGUAUCUUAGGCCAGUCCUCUCCUGUCUCCUCUCUGUAACGUUCUUCUAAAAUAUAACACCGCCUAAUAUACAAUUCCUGGAGCGUUGUCUUCUGAAGAAGGUGAUCGGGCAGUGCUUUUAAUUUAGGGCAACUCGAAAUAGUCAAGGAAGAAAGACGUGGCAUGAUUAUGAUUUCUUCCUUUAUUGCAGUCCCGAGAUCCCACUCUUCCAGUUCUUCCAUAUAACGAAAUCUGAGCAGUUUCAAUUUGGGAAAGGCAAUAACUGAGCAGCCAUCCGUAUCACCUUCUACUCCCAGAAAUUCAUUACCCACUCUUUUCACAUUUUCCAUUCCUAAAAUAUGAAGAGAUUCAAGGGAUGGCAAUUUUCCCAAAGGAGGCAAAUGCUCACAAUUUCUCCACCCGAAGAGAAAUAAAACCGUUAAAUUGGUUAACGACAUGAACCAAUUUAUGGGGACAACAUUCCUCCUCCCUCUGUAUUCGUCUAUCCGUAAUUUCUUUAAAUUAGGAGAUGGUCCCAAGGCUUCAAGAAGCCGUUCAUCUUCAUCCUCCUCAUUCUCCCUCCUCCCAGCUCGUUCUUCAUCUCCAUCUCUUGAAUGACCAAAAUGAAGUCCCAAUUUUAAGAGAUUUUUCUUUUUCUCAAGUUCAGCCCUUCUAGCCUCCCCCGCAUCUGACACAUCACCCAGCCCACGUAUCCUGCAGUCUCGAAGGAGGUUAAGCUUUUUAAGAGACCCAAGGCUACAUGCUCUGUCAUACCCUCCACCCACAACAAAAUCUCUCACCCUCCGAAGCCUGAUUAAUUCCCCAAUCCCUGCCGGCAAGUAUCUUAAAGAAUCAGUCCCCUCAUUGUGUAAAUACAUCAGCUUUCUUAACUUCCCUAUCCCUCGAGGUAAUUCUCUAAGUUUUACACAACAACUAACAUCUAAACGUUCUAACUUAUAUAACUCACACAUGGUCUCAGGUAAUUUUUCUAUCUUCUUUAUACCUUUCAAAUUAAGGUAUUUCAAAUGUAACAAUUUUUCUAUAUUUGUUGGAAUUUCCUUGAUGUAAUUCACACAUGACCACCUAUCACGAUUUAAUUUUAAUGCCCUUAAACAAGUUAAUUUAUCAAAUAAUUGAGGUAGGACUUUGCUAGACCAUGAAUGUUCAUCACUUUCAACUAAGAGGCUACGCAAUCGUCGCAAUCGUUUAACAUUACCCCAAAUGGAGAUCGGAACCGAAGCCCCUCUAUAUAAAGUUAACAUUAAAUGAAGGAUUUUUUUCUCCCCAAAAGAGCUCAUAGCUGACUCUUCACCACCAUGAAUUUCUAUUGUUGAACACUCAUUACUACAUAAGUAUUGAGCAAAGUCAUGCACUAUAUCGUGCAUUUUGCAAGUAGAGAUUUCACCAUCAUCAUCUUUUUUAAAAUCCUGAAAGAAUGAAUGGCUAGCUAAGAUGUUGAAAUACUCUUCACCAAUAUCCUCCAUCUCUUUGGCCCCUUUCUCACUAAGAUAACCUUGUGCCAUCCAUAGGUUAAUUAACUCUUUUUUUUGUAUGCCGUAGUCUUUUGGAAAGACGGCACAAUAAGUGAAACAUUGUUUAACCUUAGAGGGCAAUUCAUUGUAACUCAACAAUAGAGGGGUCAAAAGGCCUCUCUCAACCUCUUCUAGUUCCCAUAUCUCACUCUCUAAGAUAUUUUGCCAUUCUUUUUCAGUGUUUCUAGACUGCAGGAGACUAGCAAUCGUCUUUGCAGCUAAAGGUAAGCCCUUGCACUUGCUUACAAUUUGUCGGCCAAUAUUUUCUAAUUUUUCACAUUCCUCCUUGGACCUGUCGAAAAAUGCUAACUGCUCAAACACUGACCAGCAUUCUAUUUCAGACAAUACAUUGACAGAGGUAACAUUGGUUGAUCUGAUACAACGGGCAACUCUAUCCUUACGCGUGGUAAUCAAAAUUUUACUUCCAUGGAGACCAUUCUUUAAACAUUUGUAGAAUGGUUCCCACUUAUAGUAAUCUUCGUUCCACACGUCGUCUAAGACAAGAAGAAAUUUCUUCCCUUCAACCCAUUCUUGAAUGUGUUGCAUGAGAGAUUGAAACUCUACAAGGUCUUUGGCGGAACCUGGUUUCAGAGCCUCAAUGAGUGCUCUAGCGAUUCUGAACUCAUCAAAAGGAUCUGACACACAGACCCAUAUUCUUUCAUCAAAAUGUUUUUUAACAUCACCGUUGUUGUAGGCAAAUUGAGCAAGAGUUGUUUUGCCUAUGCCCCCCAUCCCAACAAGUGAGAUGAUACAAGGGCCUUUCUGUUCCUUACUGUUAAGGAAGCACACAUCAGUAGCAUAGACUGUAAAGCAGAGGAUAGCAGCAGCUCCAGCUUACAGUUAAGAGUUGAUGACAUGGCAUGCCAGCUGGCACCUGGUGGUUAUGUAAUCACUUGUUCACGUGAUAAUUAGUUGAAGUUGUUAUAGCUAGCUAGAAUUAGUUUUGUAAUGAGUUAACUAAUUGAGCUUAGCAUCAGUUGUGUAUAUAAGCAUCUCUGUGUACAGUUUCAUAAGUAAGUUUUAGAUGAAUAAAAUCGUGUGAGCAAAAAGCUUUCAGUUCUUAAAUUUUCUCAGCUUCCAAACAUCCUUUUUCUGAUUUCUUACUUGGUAUCAGAGCUUUAAUGGCAUCUGUGAAUCUUGCCUCUUCCUUAAAUCAAGUUCAUAAUACCGCUGCACAUUCAACAACAGUCAAUUUCACUUUCAAUACUCCCGUUAAACUUGAUCAAUCAAACUAUUUGAUCUGGAGAUCUCAAGUGCUUGCUUCAAUUUGAGGAAAUAGACUUGAGAAAUUUAUCGAUGAGUCAAUCACUCCACCUCCUUCUCAUAUUGCUCAUAGAUAUGAUGAUGAGCUUAGAUCUGUGGAGAAUCCAGAAUUUGCAACCUGGAGAGCACAAGAUCAAAUACUUCUCGGUUGGCUUCUUUCAUCCAUGAGUGAAGGUAUCAUCAGUUUGGUGUUCAAUCUUGAGACUUCAUUGGAGGUAUGGAAAGCUGUUGAAACUCAAUUUGGAUCUCAAUCAAAGUCUAGGUUAUUACAUUUGAGAUAUUUGAUGAAUUCCACUAGAAAGGAUGAUCUUAAAAUGACUGAAUACUUCAUUAAAAUGAAAUCUAUUGCUGAUAACAUGGCUGCAGCAGGAAGUGCAUUAAGCAAUGAUGAUUUGAUUUUACAUGUACUCUCUGGUCUAGGUCCUGAUUAUAAUUCUGUUGCUACUUACAUCACUGGACAAGUAGGAACUGGAAAAAUGAAUGUUAAUGAGGCUUAUGCUAUGCUGUUAACUCAAGAGGCUAGGAUUGAUCAACAAACUCAUAUGCUUGCUAAUAUGGAUGUUAAACACAAUUUAGAAGCUAACUUUGCACAAAAUAGAGGACCUAAGAGAGGAAACUUCUCAGGAGGAAAAGGUUUUGGUAGUCUUGGAUAUAAUACAGGCUACAGUAAUGCUGGAAAUUCUGGAAAUAGUGGUUACAGAGGAAAUUAUGGAUCAUCUGGUUUUGCUGUUGGAAGUGCUGGAAAUAAUGGUUACAGAGGAAACUAUGGAGGAGGAGGAGGAGGAAACUGGAAUAAUAAUAAUGCUGUCAAUAAUGGCAAAACACCUGGAAAUCCUAAAUCUCAGUGGAAUCCUUCUAAGCCUACAUGUCAAGUUUGUCUCAAAAUAGGUCACACAGCUAAUGUAUGCUGGAAGCUGGAAGAAUUUAUUGCUUCAGGAGCUUAUAGACCACCUCCAAACAGGAAUCCGAAAUCUGCAUAUCUGGCAAACAUGGAAGGAUCAUCUGAUACAAAUUGGUACCUUGACAGUGGUGCCACUCACCAUCUCACAAAUGACAUGAACAAUAUGCAGAUUUCUGAAUCAUUUACAGGUACAUCUAAACUCAUUAUUGGUAAUGGUACUGGCUUGAAUAUUACACAUAUUGGAAAAGCUGUUCUGAGAUUGCACAACUGCACUGAUUCCACUGUGAUUAAACUAAACAAUAUACUUUUAGUUCCACAAAUAACCAAGAACCUUAUAAGCAUUUCUCAGCUAACCAAAGACAACAAUAUCACAGUUGAGUUUGCUGACAAAUCUUGUUUUGUGAAGGACAAGGUGAAGAAUUUGAUCAUACUGCAGGGCAAGGCUGAAAAAGGCUUGUACAGAUUGCUAUUAGUGUCCUCAAAUAAAACUUCUGCUCAGUCUUCCUUUCAAGGUCAUGUUGCCAAUAUUGAGUCUUCUUUUCAGUCUUUUGUUCCUUUGUCAAUGCUAUCAACUGUCAAUCUCAGUCAGUCAAAUAAUCACUGCUUGUAAAAUGUGGCAGCAGAACCUUGUAUGAACUCUAAGUGUCUUUUAAGCACUUCUGUAUUACAUCAGAGGCUAGGUCAUCCUAACUCUAAGAUCUUAAACCAUGUAAUACAAUCUUGUUCCUCUUUCAAACCUAUCAAUGGAAAUAAAGAGUUUGAUUCAUGUGAUGCUUGUAAAUUUGGGAAAAUGCAUAGAUUACACUUUCCAGCAACUGAAACAAAAACAAAACAACCUUUAGCCAUUUUACAUACUGAUUUAUGGGGACCAGCUCCAGUGGUUUCCACACAAGGUUAUAAAUAUUAUGUGAGCUUUGUGGAUGAUUUUACCAGAUUCACUUGGAUAUUUCCCCUGAAAACCAAAGAUGAAACUCUUCAUGUGUUCAAAAUUUUCAAAGCUCAAGUUGAAAAACAAUUAGAACAGCCCAUUAAAUGUCUUCAAUCUGACUGGGGAGGGGAAUUCAGAUCCUUUAGCAAAUAUCUUCAAGAAGAAGGGAUAGAAUUUAGACACUCUUGUCCUUAUACACAUAACCAAAAUGGUUUGGUAGAAAGGAAACACAGACACAUCACUGAAUCAGGACUUACUCUUCUUGCACAAGCUAAAUUACCUAUCAAAUUCUGGUGGGAUUCCUUUCAUACAGCAGCCUAUCUCAUUAACAGAUUACCAACACCUAUUCUAGCAAUGAAAACUCCAUAUGAAUCAAUCUUUCAUCAUCAACCAGACUAUAACUUUCUAAGAACAUUUGGAUGUUCUUGUUUUCCUUUUCUCAGAGAAUACAAUAACCAUAAAUUUCAUUUCCAUACUUCAAAGUGUGUCUUCUUAGGAUAUAGUCCUUCACAUAAGGGCUAUAAGUGUCUACAUUCAUCAGGCAAAAUUUAUAUUGCCAGUCAUGUAUUGUUUGAUGAAACCACUUUCCCUUACAUUUCAGAUCCAAAUUUUUCUUCCUCUUCUAAACACACUUCCUCUGAUUUUCAAUAUAAUCUUUUUCAAAGGUUUACUCUGUCAGUUCCUAAUAGCAUUCUGAACAGUCUUGAAGCUACUGCAGCAGAUCAAUUCCCUGUCAAUCAUUCUUUAUCAUCAAAUUCACCUCAAUCUCAGUCACCCACAAAUCAGACCUCUACAUCUUUGCCUUCACCUGCACCCCAGUCACCAGCACCACAAAUACCCUGCACAACACAAACAUCUCAGCCUAAACCUUCUACUUCCACCCAUCAUAUGAUAACCAGAGCUAGAGCUGGUAUUUUCAAACCAAAGACCUUUCUAACAACUCACAACAGCUUAGAACCAUCCACUGUCCCUGAGGCAUUAUCAGAUCCUAAAUGGAAAGAUGCAAUGCAAACUGAGUAUGAUGCUCUUAUUCACAACAACACUUGGACUCUUGUGCCAAUGUCUUCAACAUACAAGCUAGUUGGUUGUAAGUGGGUAUUCAGAACAAAGUAUAACACAGAUGGAACUGUCAGCAAGUAUAAAGCUAGAUUGGUUGCAAAGGGAUUUCACCAAACAGCAGGGGUAGAUUAUUCAGAAACUUUCAGUCCAGUGGUGAAGUCUUCAACAGUUAGAGUUAUACUCAGCUUGGCAGUUAUAAAAGGGUGGAAAGUCAGACAAAUUGAUGUAAAUAAUGCAUUCCUUAAUGGAGAUCUUUCUGAAAACGUAUAUAUGACACAACCAGAAGGCUUUGUAACUAAGGAAGGGUACAUCUGCAAACUCAAUAAAGCUCUCUAUGGUCUAAAACAAGCUCCACGAGCCUGGUAUGAAAAAUUGAAGGGUUGUCUAACUACUUGGCAAUUUCUUAAUUCAAAGGCUGAUACAUCUCUAUUCAUUAAACAUGAUACAAGGGGCUUAAUCAUAGUAUUGAUCUAUGUGGAUGAUAUUCUAGUCACUGGACCAGAUUCUGCUUUACUAGAGGAUUUUAUUGUUAAACUCAGUCAGACAUUUGCCUUGAAAGAUCUGGGAUUAGUUGCUUACUUCCUAGGUGUUGAAGUUAGUUACUUUGAUGAAGGUAUGCAUCUAUCUCAAACAAAGUAUAUUAAAGACUUGCUGAGUAAAGCAUCUAUGGAGAAUUGCAAAGGGUCUGAUACUCCUCUUAGUACUGGUUUGAAGCUAGAAAGAAAUGUCAGGGGUCCUUUGGGUCAGGAGUUCGAAAAUCCAACACAAUACAGAAGCAUAGUUGGAGGGUUACAAUAUCUAAUUCUCACCAGGCCGGAUAUAGCUUAUUCAGUUCAUAAGCUCAGUCAAUACCUCAGUUCUCCUACUGUUCAGCACUGGUUAGCCUGCAAAAGAGUUCUUCGAUAUCUCCAGUCAACCAUCACCUAUGGUCUCUAUCUCAGAAAGGAAGCAACUCUGGAAAUUGGAAUAACAGGCUAUACAGAUGCUGACUGGGCUUGUGAUCUUGACGACAGAAAAUCAAUUGGAGCCUAUUGUAUAUACUUGGGUAACAAUCUGAUUUCAUGGUCUUCCAAAAAGCAAGCUAUUAUAGCAAAGUCAAGCACAGAAAGUGAAUAUCGAGCCCUGUCAGCAGCAUGCUCAGAAAUUUCUUGGUUGCAGUCUUUAUUUUCAGAACUCAACAUUGCUAAACUACCUACUCCAGUUCUUUGGUGUGAUAACCAAAGUGCAGGGGAGCUAGCUCGCAACCCUGUGUUUCACUCAAAAUCUAAGCACAUAGAGUUGGAUGUUCAUUAUGUUAGAGACAAAGUGCUUGGAAAAGAAUUGGAGGUUAGAUACAUUCCUACUGAAGAACAAGUAGCUGAUGUUCUGACUAAGCCCUUAUCUUUUUCUAAAUUCAGCUUUUUUAGAUCCAAGCUCAAUGUCGUUAGUAGACCUUUGAGCUUGAGAGGGGAUGUUAAGGAAGCACACAUCAGUAGCAUAGACUGUAAAGCAGAGGAUAGCAGUAGCUCCAGCUUACAGUUAAGAGUUGAUGACAUGGCAUGCCAGCUGGCACCUGGUGGUUAUGUAAUCACUUGUUCACGUGAUAAUUAGUUGAAGUUGUUAUAGCUAGCUAGAAUUAGUUUUGUAAUGAGUUAACUAAUUGAGCUGAGCAUCAGUUGUGUAUAUAAGCAUCUCUGUGUACAGUUUCAUAAGUAAGUUUUAGAUGAAUAAAAUCGUGUGAGCCAAAAGCUUUCAGUUCUUAAAUUUUCUCAGCUUCCAAACAUCCUUUUUCUGAUUUCUUACUCUUACUACUCUCAUAUAACAACCUAUUAACGAGUUCGUUCUUCUCUUUUUGUCUACCAAAUAUCUCGGACUCAUCAAUUGAGGAGAUACUUGCCGGCCCUCGUUGAUCCGCUCUCUCAUUACUCUUGGUAACAUUCACAGCAAAACCAAACAUGGCUUUUUGUUUGUCAAUAUCAUCAAGAGUUUCAUUGAUGUCUUUCAUCUUGAGAGCAAUGCGACGACGUAAAAAAAUAGGUUUGCAGCCAAAGCAAGAGGCAGCAGGAAAGAAGGAACCUACCUUCUUCUUAGGAACGAGAGCAUCAUUCUCAUGAUCAUCCACCCCAUCGAUCUGCAGUUUGAGCCUUGCAGUGUUCCACUCACCCAACACAUCUUCCAUGUCGUAACAUGCGCAUCUGAGUCGAUCGAGCCAGAGUCUGACAGUUUCCUCCUUUACUUGCCUUUUCUCUGCAUCAUGGAGCACAGCUCGAAUGGCUUGGAGAUUGCUGGUCAGCUUCUUCGAUUCCUUUCCGACACCCGUUACAAGCCUCAAUUGUUCCUUCGCCUCUUCAACAGCCAUUGAGGUCAGCAGCUCCAAGAGAGGGGAAAUGAUCGCAUCAACCAUGGUGAAAAAGAAAAAUGAGAGAGAGAAGAAAUUGAUGGUGAGUUGUAGCAAAAGUAAGUAGCUAAUGCUGAAAGAAAUGAAGGAGCUGAUAAUGUGGUGAAAAUGUUGCCGUAUUCUUUCAAUUCUUAUAGUACUGCAAGCAAAAUUCUAAUUUAGAAAUAUUUCAUUUCAGCCCCUUGUGAAAGAAGCUACUGUUAUUAUUAUUACUUUUUUUUUUUUUUAAUACCAGCAAAGAGUGAAAAUGACGUACAGUUGUGGACAGGAAAUAAUAUAUUGUUAGGUCCUACAUCGGCGAUUCACGCGGUAUAUAAAGAAACUGACAAAGUUUUCUAUGAUCUCUUUUUAAAUAAUUGAACAAGUUGUUAGAUAAUAUGUAUGAUCGUGUCGUCAUAUUGAGAUUUGGAAGCAUUUAGUUGAAAUACCUUGACCAUCUCUUUCUUAUUUUCUUCUUCUUCUUUUCUUUUUUUUUAAAAAAAUUUGACUCGUUUGCAUAAUUAGUUGAAAGGAAAGAAUGAACAUACUAAUAAACUAGGAAAACGCUGCCACAUAAUAUUUUAAGAUUCAUAUCGAACCACUUUAUUUAGAUUUUGUCAUUUUAGCAGAUGUCUGAUAGUGGGAGUUUAGAGUUUAAUCUCUAACUUUGCUUGUGAAGUGUGAAAAAUCAAAUAAUCUUUUCAACUCGUUUUUCAACAAAAAUAGAUAACAAUUCAUCAUCAGUUAUUUCUCUUUAUGUAUAAAAUGAUCAAUCUAGAGCUGGAUAUUCACAUGUUUUUCUAUUUCUAAUCAUUUCAAAAUAUAAUAUGAACUUUUAAAAAAAAAUCAAAUUGUAAUAAAGUGACAUAAAUAUUAAAAAAUAAAAAUAAAAAGUCAAAAACGUAAUGCCGAAAAAAGACAAAACCUUUUUGUUUGUUCUAUUCAUGGCAUCUAAAUAUGAGAAAUGAUGGGUUGAUUGUCAUUGUGAACAACCAUAUUAAUUGCAACACGUGAAUACCAUCAAAGUUAUAAUAAUUUAUGGACCCAUGCACCUGUAUUUCUAAUUAUUCCGCGUAGAAGGCUAAAGUUUAAUGUGUGAUUCUCAAAUUCAUUGUCAAGUGAUUUGAAUGUUUUAACGAACAGUGCUUACUUUUCUUUUUGAAGGAGCACAAUAACAACUUGAAGAUUCCUGGAAAUUGCCUACAGCACAAAUAUUUUUCAAUUGAACAAAAACCAUCAAUAAUUUUCAAACUUAGAAGAUAUUUAUUUUUUUCCCCAUAACCCACCAAAAACUUUUUCAUUUAGUGUAACUUUGUAAUUUUCUUAGAUGAUACUUAAAACUGCUAAUAUCUUCUAAUUAUUGUUUUAAAAAUCUCAAUGAUUGCAUGCCCAAUUAACGGAUCAGUAAUCUCAGUUUGACAUAUUUAUUUAAAAAAAAGAAAUAUACAGAUUGUUUGAUGACUCUAGAAUAGAACAUCAGGAAAUGAAGAGAAAAAGUAACAUACUUUAUGACGAUCAUUGCCGAUGACAUAACAGAUGUAAGUAUUUAUUGCCAAUUAAUUGACAUUCUUAUCAAGUAAUUGUUUUAGACUUGAAUUCAAAAGCUCUACUCCGCUCUGCCCUUCGGUAAUUCCCCUGUUCAAAAAAUAAUAUUGUUUUAAAAAUCUCAAUAACAACAUGCCCAACAUAACAGGAAGAUUCGACUUUCUCAGAAGAACUACUUGAAAAAAAUCUUGCAACGCUUCAACAUGCAAGAUUGUAAGUCAAUUUCCACCCCACUUUCUGUCAAUUUCAAGUUAUCCUCAAGUAUGUGUCCUAGUAAUGAAGCAGAGAGGAAGGAGAUGUCUCGAGUACCAUAUGCAUCAGCAGUGGAAAGUUUAAUGUUCGCUAUGAUAUAUACUAGACCAGACAUUGCACAAGCAGUGGGAGCAGUCAGUCGAUACAUGGCGAAUCCUGGUGGAGAGCAUUGGAUAGUUGCGAAGAGGAUUCUAAGAUACAUCAGAGGAACCUCAGAUGUUGCAUUAUGUUAUGGAGGAUCAGAGUUUACUGUCAGGAACUAUGUGGAUUCAGAUUUUGUAGGAGAUCUUGAUAAAAGAAAAUCCACUACUGGCUAUGUGUUUACACUUGCGGGAGCAGCUGUAAGCUGAGUUUCUAAACUGCAGACCGUUGUGGCUCUAUCUACAACAGAAGCAGAGUACAUGGCAGCUACACAAGCUUGCAAGGAAGCUAUCUGUAUACAAAGGUUAUUAGAGGAGCUCGGGCAUAAACAAGAGAAAAUUUAUGUGUUUUGUGACAGUUAGAGUGCCUUGCACAUUGCAAGGAAUCCAGUCUUUCAUUCCAGGACAAAGCACAUAGGAGUUCAGUAUCACUUUUUUCGAGAAGUAGUGGAAGACGAAAGUGUGGAUUUACAAAAAAAAAUCCAUACGAAUGAGAACCUAGCAGAUAUUUUGACCAAGCCGAUCAAUGCUGGCAAGUUUAUCUAGAGUAAAUUAGGGAUGGCAAAAACCGGGUCCGGGUCCGGGUUUGGCCUUUCCGGUUCCGGACCCGGAUGCCAAUUCUCCUUCCCGGAUCCGGAUAUAAACCCGCAUUUUCUUUCUCCGGGUUCGGUACGGGUUCAACCCGGAAAAAUCUGGGUUUCCGGAUUACGGGUUUUGAACCCGAAAAGUUGGAGUCUGGAACAAUAAAGCCUUUGUGCAUGCCCCUUUUGACUCUGGACGAGUGGAUUAGCGGUUUAUUUGAGGUGUCGGUUGAGACACCGGCGAGUCCAGGAAGCAGCAGCCAUGAAAGCAGUGAGCAAGGUUUGAGAUCCAGCAUCCACGAACAAGAGAGAGAUGAGAUCGAGCGCCAACAAGAGUGGAUUAGCAGUUUCUUUAAGGUGUCGGUUGAGGCACCAGCAAGUCGAGGAGGUGGCAGCCAUGAGAGUAGCGAGCAAGGUUUGAGAUCCAGCAUCCAAGAACAAGAGAAAAAUGAGAUCGAAUUUGAUGAGAGAUGAGAGAUAAGGUUGAAUUUGAUGAUGCCAAAGAUUGUUUGUUGCUUUUGAUGAUGAUUGAUGAUGAAUUGACAAUUAUUUAAAUUGAUGUUGAGGAUGAUAUUGAUUGUUAUUAUUGUUGAUAAUGAAUUGACGAUGGGUGGAUGAUGAUGAAUUGAAUUGAUGUUGGGGAAGAGGAAAAUAAAGGUGGCGGCUAAGGUGGGGAUUUAGGGUUUCUUUUCGUUUCUUUCCUUUUUUUUUUUUUUACUUUUGGCUUUUAUAUUUAUAUUUAAUAAUAAAAAUUAAUUAAUUAAUAAAUUAUUAAUAUUUUAGUGCAGGUCCGGGUUCCUGGAAUCCGGGUUUGGUUGAACCCGCAACCGGACCCGCAUGUAUCCGGGUUUGAAAAAAUGCUACCCGGAUCCGCAUUUUUAUGCACCCGGGAUGGGUUUAACCCGGACCGGAUCGUCCGGGUUUAUCCGGGUUCGGGCCGGGUCCGGAAAAAUUUGCCAUCCCUAGAGUAAAUCCUCUUGUGGCCUAGCAGAAACGUAGGCAACAUGAUUAUGUCGAAUCAGAAAGGAUGGUGUGGAGAUUGAUUGAUUCUCAAUCUAAUCUCCAAGUGGGAGAAUGUUAAAGUCAUGGUUGGGAGGUGUCACCCAAAGAAAGAAACAAAAGAGAAAGAAGAAAAAGAAGAAAAAAUGGGUACCGGGCUAUAAAGGGCAAAGAAAAAAAAUUAAUAAAAUAAUAAAAAUAAUAUAUGAUUGAUGAAUAGUGCCAAAACUUUCUCUAUAAAUAGAAACGAAGAGAAUGAGCAAAUUCAUUUCAUCGAGAGAGAAGCAUUUCCUUCCUUUAGAGAGGUGAGAGUAUCAAGAGUUUAAUAAACUCUUGAGUGAUUAGUGUUUUGAGAGUUUGGGUGUAUUGGGAUUUUAGGUAGUGAGGUAAAAUACCACAAUACUUGUAACUCCUUUUCACUAGUAAAAUAUUUUUCUUCUUUUUCGCCCGUGGACGUAGGCUAAAAGUCGAACCACGUAAUUUCUUGUGUCCACUUUUUGUGCUUGUUCUUUGUUUUCUUACAAUUUCAUUUUAGCUGCGUGUUUGCUUCACUCAUCAAGUAAACAUCAUCAAUCAUUUUCGUUUUGAAUUAUGAUUUUUCAAUCCAAAAAGUAGAUGCCAGUAAAAGAGAGAGUUAAACUUGACUCACCCGCUUUUCUAAUUGUUCUGAUUUGUUGUAUAAUUUAUUCUAAAGUUAUUUUAUAAUUUAUCUAAAACGUAUAUAACACGUUCUCAAUUUUAUUACUAUAAACUUACGCUGUAUUGUCUAGUCUUAGUAAGUAACGACUCAAUUGGAUGUGGGAGGAUCCCUUCCGCUUUGACCAAAAAAACUGUUUCGAGGACAGUAUUCUAACUCAACUCAAGUGCUGAACAAAGAAAGAAACGCUGAGAACAUUAAUGAAAGUUAUCAUACAGAGCAAACAAGUCAAGAGUACACACAAGAGGAGAAAUAAUUAACACAAUUAUUUUACAUGGUUGAGUUUCUCUAAGCCCACGUCCACGAAGACAGACACUUGGCCAAGGAAAUAAUUGACCAAGGAAUUUACAAGGAAACUCUCUUUUCCAGAAGUUACAAGAGCCCUGACACUAUUCCUCUCGAGGUCUAGUUCAAGUCGCCCAAGCCUCUCAAGCUCCCUUAAGAACUCUGCUUUCUUGCUGUUCAAGAAAGCGCCUGAUUGGAAUCACAUGCUCCACGUGACAUCUGGCAUAACUAAAUCUGCUGCCGUACCCGGCCAAUUUAUGAUGCCACUUAUGAUACCCUGUCUCGUCAGCUUCCUUGCCCUGCGUCAUCAUAGGACCUUACAUCUUGGAACCUCCAUGAAAGCUGAAUCUCUAACAGCCCAUCAUAAAAGAUAGUAGUUUUAAAAUAUGGAAAUUACCAAAAAUACCUGCACAUUUUGAAAUUUGUCAAAAAAUGAAGAGUUGAAAGCAAUAGGAAGACGUAAUUAACCAACCAAUUUGAUUCCUCUGAUCGCUUUCAUCUCAGGACUCUUUGUCUUCCCGUGCGUCUUCGAUUCCACAGGACAAUCUUGGAUUGAAUUUAUACAUCAGAAGAAAAUAUCAAUAUGCCCAAAAUAAAAAGUUGCUUCCAGUGCAGAAAUAAGAGAAAUUGACACACCUUUUUCCACCACAGAAGAUGGUGUCAUAUAGAAGUAUUCUGUCGCAGACUUAACAUACCUAUCAAGUAAUUAAUAAUUCAAGAUAUAAUAACUCUUGACAAUUAUAUAUUCAUAUACAUGUUAGUAGCAUGAUGCUACCAAUAUUCGCACCUUUAGCAUUCAAACACUUGAUCAUUGAAAGAAUUUAAGAAAAAUGUUGUUUGGUUACUGAGAAAAUAUCUCAACAAAAUUUUCAGAGAACUUUCCGGAAUUCUUGCCUGUAUUUCACUUAAUGAAAAAUGUUAAAAUUACAUUCAAUUUAUAUUCGAUGCUUUAGCAUUACUAUAACUAACUCAGAACAUACUACACAUGCUUAACUACAGCUCAAUAUAUACAGAGUAAGUCAUAACAAACUUUUAACUACUUAUGCUGAGGUGGCAACUGAGCUGUUAUUCUGCUUAAUCAUCUGACGUCAACAACUUGCUGGUUUUCCUCAGCUUGAGCGUCUUCUUCCUUUCUGGACAAUGAGCUUCUUUAACAAUCAUUGAAGCAGCCUUUCUCACCAACCUAGCUCCGACAUUAAUCUAUAGAGUUAUCAAGACCGACAUUCGAUGACGUAAUUACACUUUAAUUGGAUUACAAAUAACAAACGAAUAAAACGGAGCAGCAGAAGAAAUUACCAUUGGCUGAUGGUUGUUGCAGGCGUUAUGAGAAUUCCUCAAGGGCUUCCUUUGAUCAACUUCCCAUUGGUCUCGAUGUUGGAAACGUGGGAUAUCUUAGGCCCUGUAUCCUUCUUGCAACGCUCUUCUGAAAUAGAACAUCUCCCACCUUGCCCCUGCCGAAGUUAUGAGUCACCCCUCAAUUUCAAUCGAAAUACUGCUCUGCCAUGCCCUUACACCGUAACGUAAUUACUCUGUUCAAAAAUCUUGCUUUGAAAAUCUCAGUAAUUGAACAUGCUCAAGAAAUCAGUCUCAGUUUGAUGCAUUACAAAAAUAAUCAACCACACAAUGGGCUGAUGAUUAUCUACAAUUGAAAAUUAGCAAAUGAAGAGGAGAGAGCAACUACAAAAGCAACAAUGUCCGAUUAAGCCGCUGAUACAAUCAAUCAAACAAUAAGAAAAGGAUCAACAACACAAAAAGCACACGCAAGGCACAAAGAUUUACAUGAUAUAUCCACAGGUGGUGAGCUGGUAUCCACUAUACGUGUGAUGAAAACAAGUGUAUAUAUAUAAAGAACACCACCACCUGUCUCCUCACAAUAAACCCCUAGAACACAAGCGCAAAUAAAAAUGAGCCAAUUCCUGCUCUGCUCUGCCGUCAUGUACGUAACUCCUCUGCUAAGAAAUAUUGCCUUAAAAUAUCGGUAGCAUUUGCAUGCAUGACCAGCAAAUCAGUUAGACAUAUAAAAUUAUCAACCACACAGGAAAUCAGCAAAUCAGUGGUUUCAUGAAUUUGUAAUAUUUGAACAUCAGAAUAUGAAGAGUACAGGGCAAUGGGAAAAAGUAAUUAACCAACCAAAUAAAUUUAAAUCCAAAUAAGAUAAGUAACGUAUGAAAGGAGGGUUGAAGCCCACCUUAGAAACUCCUGUCUAUGAAGGCCAAUAAAUCUCCUGCUAUCUGUUUGCUUAGAUCUUUAUGUAUUUCUAUACACUUUUUACUCUACUCUGUUGUUCAACCUUCUUUGGUUUUAUGUAUCUAUUUUAUGUGUAUUGAGAAGGCUAGUUACUAGGUGUCAACUCUUCUCUUUAAAAGAUAAAGUUUUGAGAAAAGGAAAGAAAAGACACCCACGGCCAACUACCUUGUCAUAUUUUGCAUACCAAAAUUGGAUAUUAAUUAUGGUCACUGUCUUCAACCUGCUAACCAAAUCCAAAAAAUUGGUCCUCCCGAUUGAGUAAGUGAGCCCUGAAAAGACAUUACCCAGCUUAAAAGCCAAAUGAAUGUAGACUUGUGAUUGGUGUAAUUGGUUUUAAAGAAACUAGUAUGCAUCCCCACUGAAAACCAGUAAAUGGAGUUGAAGAAGAUGCUAAUGUACCACAGCUAACAUAAACAUAAUUUGAUCAGCCGAAUGACUACCAAAUGAAAAAGCAACAUAAACUUAACAGAACUGUUAAGGAUUAAUCGAAGACACAUAUAUAUUUGUGCCAAUUUUCACACCUUUAGCAUUCAAACCUUGCUCUAGAACAACUGCUGUGGUCCGAUGCUGCAGGCAAAAAAUUUGACCUACGAAGCAGCCUCACUCACCAACCUAGCCCCAAAUAAAUUUUUUGAAAUGCCUUGAAAACCUUAACAUUAUAUCCAAAUAAACAUAACUUGUGUUUGUGGCGUAAUGAGAUUGCAGUGCAUUCGUAGAGUGUACACUUAUCUGCCAUUUCGUCGGAACAAAUUUUUUUUACUUCUCUUAAAAUUUGCAUAAUAAAUAGCAAUAUGGACAAGUACCUACUUAUGAAAAUGUUAAGAUAUUUUUACAUUUCUUCUUUUUUUUUUAAGGAGUAAAAGUGAUUAUUCAUUUUGUUGAUGCCCAUUUACUCUAUAAAUGCCACCAUGAUCACUGAGAUAUGUUCAUGAAUAAGCAUCUACCAUCAGAUCGAUUCGAAAACGGAAAGGAAUAGAGAAAUAAAAGGUGAAACAAAUGAAAUCAUUUAAGGAGAGGAACGAGAUUCCAUUGUCUGGUUAUAACUGGAAAUCAAGCAUGAAAAAGGAAUUGAUUUUUUUUUUUUUUGGUUGACAGAAUACACUUUCAACUAGAAAAAAAAAAAGAAAAUUUGAAUCUGAUAUUUAACAGAAAAUUCAAAUAAAAUCAAAUUCAUUUGUAAUUUAAGUUCAUUUCAUUCUUAAAAUUUGACAUAUAGAAUAAAAUUUAUAACUGUUUCAAAUACAAAAACAUAUUAUUAUUCAAAAUAAUAAAAAUUUUCAUGGCAAAAAGUUAAAAAAAUAAAAUAAAACUGUUUGACGUAGAAUGGAAUUGAGCAGGGAAAGUUUGAUGGAAGAUGCACACACUAGUUGUGGAAUUAUACCGUUAGUCAUUUUAUUAAAAAAAAUAAAAUAAGAAUAAAAAUCACCUCGUUGAAAGAUUAUUUGCUACGAUUAAAAAUUUUAUUUGGUGAGCAAAACGACGUAGGGUCCUCAAAAACCUCAUGAUGGUGCAUGUAUAUUCAAAGCUUCAUGACAUCAUAAUAAAAAUGUUUUGUAUUAUGAUGAGUCAUACGUUCACUUGUUGAACUCGACCCUCACAGCGACGGAGAGGACCAUUUGCUGUAUCCUCGAAGACUACCAGAAGGAGGAUGGUGUGUGUGGAAGUACCAGAAGAUCUGCAAUAUUGGAAAUGGUUCAGCCGUGAUCAUUGGCAAUCAGACAAGAUUAUUGGCAAUAUUGUAGGCUUGUGUCUUUUACCCGUUAGAAGGAUAACUUGUGCACUUAAAUUUGGCACAUCACUUGUUUGACAAAAUUACAAAGCAAAUGUGUAACUCGUGUACUCUUCCUUUUUUAUCAUAAUUUUUGUACUAUAAAUAUGUACCUGCAAAUAGUGAAAUAUACACACAAAAUCAAUAAUUUCAUGAAUUAUUCUUCUUCUAAUUUUUACAACCUUUCAUGGGUGGAAAGACUUUCCUGCCUUUCAAGGCCUUGCCAGCUGCUGAAGCCGAAGGGAAGAAAUCCAAGGCUUUUUUUAGUUCAUCUAUUAAAUCCCCAGAAACCAGUUGCAGAACUAGUGGGAAAUCAAAUAUUUUUUAGUGGAAACAAAUACGAAACUAGUCCUCAAAUUAUUGUGUAAUGCAUUUUGCAAGAAAUUUGAUAGCCUGAUUAUGUUAUCCACAUCUUGAACUUUUCAAGUUAUGACGUGUCGGGAUUUGUUGCUAAACCAUACAAUUAUGAAAUUUUGCAACUCAAUCUUGUAUUGUUGUAUUUCCUUGCUUUCAGUUUUCUUGAUCAGAACAAACAACAUAAAUAAUGAUGCUAUAUUAAAAAAAUUAAAAGAAUUUCACUCGCCCUUCAUUUGUUAUCAACAAUAUGAUAUUGCCUGGGAUCUUUCGGCUUAAUCUUCCAGUGCCCAUUAGCCAAACUUGCAUUCUCAGCGAUUCUUCUCCAUUUCUUAAUCCUUUUAUCCAUAUGCUUUGUUAAUGCACAGUACUGUUGCAAUUUCUUAGGCAUCGCGUCAUAAACUUGCCACCAUUUCUUAUGAGCUGAAUCACUGGCAAAUACAUGGAGACUCACCAUGUCCCAAUUGCAAUCAUAGUCCUUGUAACACAUCCAUGGCUUUAACCCCAGAUAAUGAAUUGCAUAAAGGCCAUCACCCACUUGAUGUUCCUUAUCGUCUUGCUUUGAAAACACCUUCAAAUUGUUGAUUCUCUUAGGCAACCUAUGCCACCAUGUGAACACUUUAUUAAGAAAUCCCUGGUCACCCCCAUUGUAUGACGAAACCUUAAAGCUUUUGAGCAUCAUAUCUUCAAACUUGCACAAUGAUGGCUCAAUCACCAUCACCCCAGAAUUGAACAACACUUUGUCAUUACCUGCUGCUGAUAAUUCAGGGUAAAAGAAGAACUCAUCGGUGUUUUUGAGUAUUAAAAGAUCAGAAUCAAUGAAGAUAACUUUAUCAUAUUCAAUGAGUUGCCAUACUCUAAGCUUGCUAUAAUUCCACUCAUUGUACGAAUCUUUCUUGGCAAAGGGGCUACGUAUGCGCGAAAUCCACUUGGUUUUCCAUCCGGCAGCUCUCAGGCCACGGAGAGACUUGCCACUUAUUGAUUUAUCAUGAAGGAGAACGAGAUCUCUAGUCGAGUUUUUUUGGAUUAUGCUUUGCGCUAAAGCUAUUGCACCACAUACAUAAGCUUCUGAUGAAUGUAGAACUGUUACAUAAGCUUCUCUUUGAUGGUACGUUGUGUAGUUCAGUUUUGCUAGUCUUGCUUGUGACAUAAAAUAUCUCCAUAUUUCUUUGCCUGUAAAUCAAAAUAAAAGCACUCAAAUAUUAAUUUUAGGUUAAUUUUGCAAAAUUAAGAAAAAUGAAUUACGUAUGAAGGUUUGAAGAAGUCGUGGUGUCCGGAUUAGGUAAUACUUUCACGGAAAUUGAAAGUGCAAUUGUCUAAUGCCACAUAAGUCUUAAUUAGGAAAUUGAUUUAUGUUGGCUGAGUUACCAAAUUUUCACACAAUCAGAAUCAUGACUGCUGACUGUAUACAUUCUGUGUCCGUAGAUUAUUACAACUCUUUAAGGAUAUCAAAAUUGAAGAACCCGUCAAAUUUAAACCAAUUACACAUGUGCACGAGUUGUGCAUAUUUAAUUUGGAUGUCUCAUUUAUUAAUGCUGAACGAAUAAUUUACUAAAAUUUGAAACUAAAGAAAGCAGUAAAUUAAUGACCCACCAUGACCAAAUAAAUCACGCACUAACCUUUUCUUUUUUUCUUUUUUUUUUUCCUGAGAACACCUCAAAUUUCCGAAGAAAAAUUAAAUAAAAUCUCCUGCAUCCAUCUCUUGUGAACAUUUUAUAUUUUUUUAUAUGCAACAAGCUUUCAUUAAAAUUUAAGAUUCUAUCUCUAGAAUAAACUCCAAAACAUAUCGAUUAAAAUAACAAUAAGAGCUUAAAUACUACUUCGUAAAUAAUCAAGAAAUAUGACAAGCAACAAGAACAACAACUACCAAUUCAUAAAGAUUUUUACGAAAUUUUAAGUCAAAUUUUAAUGCAUAAUAACAUUGUAAAAUUCUUGGAACUGAGUACAAACAGUAAGUUAGCAUUUGGUUAGAAAAUUGUACAGAUUUUCUUCUUCAAGUGAUAUGACCAAAUUUUCUUCAGUUUCCAAACUACUCGCCAAACAAACAAAAUGUUUUCGAGAAACCAGGGAAAAAAAAAAAAGAAGCAAAACUCACCAGUUUGAGCAAAAGUAGGAGCAAUUUGGCAUGACCCAACAGGCAUCAAUACUUUAUGUUUCAAUCUCCUCAAGUCAGGUUUAUAAACCCAAUAAUCCCCUGCAUGCUCCACAAGAUCAUCGCACCUGAACAUCUCCACCAUGGCCCCACAAGAACCCACAAAGACAACGUACACCGCCCGAUCAACAUCAGGUUUCAACCACCCACUCUCCACCGCUAGAUUCGCCACCACGAGAUUCACUUGCAACCUAAACACAUCCCUCAUCCCACCACCUCCUUCUCCGUCCCCUCCGCAGGGAAUCCUAGCCACUAUCACGUCGAGGUACCGGUAAUCCUGCGCCGGCAUGGGUAUAUCCGGGCACGCCGGUGGGGCCCACUUGUGAUCUUCAUCAAUCCACUCCGGGAAAAAGUCUUCCCAUUUUUUAUCCUCACCCACAUGGUCGAAACGUACGUGAACAGUUUCAACAUGCAUGUCACCACGUACGCUAUUAUAAUCAUCAUCGUCGUCGUCGUUUAUAUUUACUAAACCAACUUUAAUUUUGUGACCGUUGAUAUGUUUUUCGACAAUAUCGAGCCAUUUGGGUCUGUGUAAUAAGUGGUUAGUAUUAUAUUUAUUAUUUGGCUCGUAAGCGAAAUGGGGUUGUUGUUUAGGUUUGAACGACAAAACGACAAGGAAAAGCGAGAAGGAGAGGAGAAGAAGAGAGAUUAUGAAGAGCUUUUGACUGAAAUUUGUGGGUUUGUUAGAAGAAGAUGGUGAUGAAGCUGCAGCCAUUUGAUUGAAUUUUGCUUCACGUCUUUGUUGAAAGUUGAAAGAUUUGUUUUGAGUCGACGUUUUGUUUUAAGUUAUAUCCAACGCAUCGAAUUGGAAUGAAAAGAAUCAAAGAUUGCAUUGCAGCAUGUUGAGCUUUGUCAAAUUGUCUUCUUAUGUGUAGGUAUUUUAUUUUCACACGCAUUUGAUGCGCGUGGGUAGGUUUACUAAAUGUAUUUCUUUUAUUAUUAUUAUUAUUAAGAUUAAAAUAUACUUCUAAGUUGUCAAAUUAGGCUUCUGAUAUCCUAUAUAACAAGGCAACAAACAUAAUAAACUUGUUACUUGUUAGAGUGCAAUUUAUGCACUAGUUUUGCAUUGUUUACUUCCCUUAAUAUCGAUGUUUUGCACUUAAUAAUAAUGUUUUACUUGUGUUUUACUUUUGUAGGUGCAAUUCUAUUGAUUGAUGAUAAAGUUGAGCUAAAAGAUGAUGUUUAAGGAGGAUUGUUCUCUUGGAGAAAUUAUGAGCGUCAGAAGAACUUUGUUGAUAAGGCGUGGACACGUGCUGUCAACUGCGGACCUGCAGUUUUUAGUUUAACGUGUUUUGUAUUUUUGGUUAUUUUUGUAAUUACGAAUUUAAUAUUUCAGAUAUUAGUAUUUUAUUUUAAAUAGAAUUCUAAAAGAGAAGAGAGAGAGAGUAUUUAAGGGAGGAAUCUAUUGUGAAAAAGGGGGAUUUGGAUUGGAGAAAAAGAAAGAAACCCUAGAUCUAAAUUUUUCUCUUCUCUCUAUGAAGAACUAAACCUAUUUUUCUGGUUGAAGGAUAAUGAAGCUUUGAUUCAUCACUACUGUGAGAUCUUUCUUAUGCUUUAAUUGUUUUAUUGCUUUUUGGGUAUUUGUUUAUUCUCUGAAUUAUUUUCAUGAUUAUGUUUGUUAAUUAGGUAAUUGGCCACUAUUUAAUUAUCAACUUAAUCUAUUGUCAAUUAAAGGAUUCAUCAUAUGAAGAAUUUAAUGUUUGUGACAAAUAACAUAGCAGAGAGUUGUGUUGUGAGAAUAAACAAUCUAAUUUAAAUGAAUCAUCAUAUGUGUUGAUUAGGAUUUGGGUCUCUCUGGUUUUUUAGGCUGUCAAUUGAUUAAAUCCUAUGAUCGUAUCUAGGGUUGUCUAUUGAUUAGGGAAAUAAUCAACGGUCGUACCUUGGUUAUCGACUAGUUAAGGAGAGAUUGGCUAUUAGAGGGUCUCAAUAGCUAUAACCGGUCUAUUCAUAAGUAAUAAUAAUCUAUAUUUGAAUUAAUGAUCAGUAGUCGAAUCAAGCUGAGUUAAUUCCUUCAACCAGAGCUUUCUCCAAUUUGAAUUACAACUUUAAUUUGCAUUCUUGUUAUUUUUAAUUUGAUUUUUAUUAUUGUCAACAAUUCCCCCAUUUUACGUUUUACGUUUCAAAAGGAUUUAAAUAAUUACCGAUCUCUGUGGACACGACCCUGCUCAAUCACUAUAUACAAUUUAUUUAGAGUAGGAAUUUAUUUUUGUUGGCUUCGACAAACAUCAAAUUUUGGCGCCGCUGCCGGGGAUUGGUGUCAUUUAUUUAAUCAUUUUUACGUUUUACUUGGUGUAUGGUUCGUUCUUCUCGUACAGGUACACUUUCAUUUGAUCCUGAAAUUGAGAAGAUAGCUCGCCAGCUGAGACAGCAGACGAAGCGAGCUAAGCAACGAUCAUCGUCGUCUUUGCUUUCUGAAAUAGAUACAGUACCUGAUUUAGUUGAAUCAUCUAGCGAUUCAGAAGAACAAGUGAUGGAUAGACCUGCACCUGUAGAAAGAACUCUUAGAGAGUUAGCUAAACCAGACUUGAAUCAACAACCACUCUGCAUUCAAUAUGUAGAUUUGGAGGUAAAUUUUGAAUUAAAGUCUGGUCUUAUUCAUUUAUUACCCAAGUUUCAUGGUUUUGCAGGUGAAGAUCCUCAUAAACAUCUUAAGGAGUUUCAUGUUGUGUGCUCAAGUAUGAGGCCACAAGGCGUGACUGAAGAGCAGAUUAAGCUGCGUGCUUUUCCGUUCUCUGUAGAUGGGCUAGCUAAAGAUUGGUUAUACUACUUGCCUCUUGGAUCGAUUACAACGUGGAAUGGUUUGAAGAAGCAGUUCCUUGAGAAGUACUUUCUCAACUUCCUGGGGAGACUUUGUAUGAGUAUUGGGAGCGAUUCAAACAAUUGUGUGCCAGCUGUCCUCAGCAUCAGAUUUCUGAUCAACUUCUUAUUCAAUUUUUUUACGAAGGACUGUCAUUGAUGGAUAGGAGUAUGAUAGAUGCUGCUAGUGGAGGCGUGUUGGUGAACAAGACCCCUACUCAAGCAAGGGAGUUGAUAUCAAAUAUGGCUGCCAACGCACAACAAUUUGGCAGCAGGCAAGAUCUCACUUCAAGGAAGGUGAAUGAGGUAAAUAUUUCUUCUGUUGAACAACGUUUAGAUAAACUUACUUCUCUUGUGGAAAAGUUUGUUGUAGGUAAUGUGCAACAGGUGAAGACUUGUGGCAUUUGUUACAAUAUGGGUCAUUCAACUGAUAUGUGUCCUACACUACAAGAAGAACCCGUUCAACAAGCCAAUGCAGUUGGAGGAUUUCCAGGCAUGCCUCAGAGGAGGUAUGAUCCUUAUGCACAAACAUACAAUCCGGGAUGGAAGGAUCAUCCCAACUUCAGCUAUGGAGUUAGGCAAUCAAGAUUCUCACAACAAUAUCCACCAAGACAACCAGCACCUCCACAGUCAAACUCCAAGUCAGGUAUAUCUCUUGAAGAAAUUGUUAAAUCACUUGCGACUAACACUCAACAAUUUCAGCAGGCAACUACAGCAAGCAUUCAGAACUUGGAGAACCAAAUGAGUCAAUUGGCAACUACAGUGAGCCGUCUGGAGUCUCAAGUAUUAGGGAGAUUGCCUUCACAAUCUGAGGUGAAUCCAAAGCAAAACGUUAGUGCUAUCAUCCUUAGAAGUGGGAAGGAGUUGCAAGAGCCUAGUAAGAAAGUGACAGAGCAUGUAGAAGAUGAGCUUGAGAAGAAUGAAUUGAUGCCUCAAUCUCAAGAUGAACAACCCACCAAAGCGAAACCCCUACCUAUUGUGAUACCUCCUCCUUUUCCAAGCCGGUUUGCAAAAUCCAAGAAGGAGGAACAAGAUAAAGACGUCCUUGAGACUUUUCGCAAAGUUGAGGUAAAUAUUCCUUUAUUAGAUGCUAUAAAACAAAUACCUCGAUAUGCUAAAGUCCUUAAGGAACUGUGCACCUCUAAGAGAAAAUUAAGAGGAGAUGAAAAAGUUCACAUGGGGGAGAAUGUUUCAGCAGUUCUCCAAAAGAAACUACCUCCUAAGUGCAAGGAUCCAGGUAUGUUUACUAUCCCUUGUAAAAUUGGUAGUGUUAGAAUUGAAAAGGCUUUGUUAGAUCUAGGAGCUUCUAUUAAUGUCAUGCCUCGUUCCAUUUAUUCAUCUUUGAAUAUUGGUCCAUUAAAAGAAACUGGCGUGAUAAUUCAACUAGCUGAUAGGUCUAAUGCAUACCCUGAUGGGGUAUUAGAAGAUGUCUUAGUACAAGUUAAUGAGUUGGUUUUUCCUGCUGAUUUUUAUGUACUUGAUAUGGAAGAGGAUAACUCCUCUAAUUUUGUCCCAAUUUUGCUAGGAAGACCUUUUCUUAAGACUGCUAGGACUAAAAUGGAUGUACAUAAAGGGACUCUCACUAUGGAGUUUGAUGGAGAGGUUAUAGAAUUCAAUAUGAAUGAUGCCAUGAAAUAUCCGAGUGAGGAACAUUCGGUAUUUUCUGUGGAUGUUAUUAACUCUAUAGUACAGGAAGUUUUUUACAAGGAAAAAACGAAGACAUUUCAUGAUAGAAUGAUUUUAAGAAAAGAGUUAUCUAUUGGUCAAAAAGUUCUUCUUUUUCAUUCUAAGCUUAAACUUUUUCCGGGUAAAUUACGUUCUUGCUGGGUUGGACCUUUUAUUGUUACUAAUAUUUUUCCUCAUGGUGCAGUUGAGAUUCGGAGUCCGACUUCUGACAAAGUUUUUAAGGUUAAUGGUCAUCGCUUAAAAACUUUUUAUGAAGGUUUUUCGGUGAAUAUUGUAGAGGAUGUGGCUCUCGAGAGUCCCAAUUAUGGAGAUUGAUGCAUAAAUGUGUCUAGCCAAAGACAUAAAACAAAGGCGCUUUUUGGGAGGCAACCCAAAUGAUUUAUUUAUUUUGGUUUUUGUUAUAUCUUCUUUUAAUUUUGAUUCAUAUUUUUUUUAAAUAAUGUGUUUGCUUAUUUUGGUCAGAAGAAAAUUUUUGAUAAGGCGUGCCCACGUCUUAACUAAUAAGUACUUCUGUGAUUUUUAAAGUAAAAUGGUUUUAAGGCGUGCCCACGUGCUUAUUAGAAAAGUACUUCUGAAAUUUUUAGUGUUUCAAGUGAUUCAUCACUAAAAAAAAAAAAAAAAAUUGUUUUCUUUCGCAGCAACAGCCGCUCUAGCCUUCACCGAGCAGCCCGUGCGCAACUAUCUCACCAUUUCCGCCAAGCCCAUAGACGUUAUGAGGAUCAAAGCUCACAAUUCAGGGAAGUUUUUGCCUUUAAUCUUUUAUCCUUACGAUUUAAUUUUUAUGUGAGCUUUGAUUAUCUUACAUUGGGGACAAUGUAAGUUCCUGGUGUGGGGGAGGGAUUUUUGCAUUAUUGAUGUCUGGAAUUAUUAUUUUCACUCUGCUCAUCUAUUUUCACUCUACUCAUCCUUAAAUGAUUUUGGAGUUAGUAUGCUUCAUAUAUUAUUAAUUUUCUUUUCCUUUCUCUCUCACUACUCUUUUCCCAUCUAUCUCAAAUUAUUUACAUCUAUUUUUUUUUUCUCUAUCAUACUCUUUCAUCACUCACAUUUUAUCUUUCAUUUUUUUUAAUACAUACAUCUUUCUCGCUUAUUAUCCUUUUUACCUUUCCUUUUAUAUCUCACUCAUACCUUCUUCUCAUUCUACACCACUAUUGAUGGUUGAUUCAUUUGAAGAGUGUACAUGAUUUGAUGGCAAUUUUACCAACUUUGUGAGGAUUUGAGCCUAUGAGCAACCACUUUGCUCUAAUUAUUUUUGUUAUGUGAAUAUCAUUCCUAGUUUGUUUAUUCUAGAACUUGCUUUGUUAUGCAUGUUGAAGCCACAUUACGGGAUUUUAUGCAUUAAAAUGAUAAGGGCAAACCAUUUACCAUUUUUCUAUUCUCGCAUUUUCCUUUUUCUCUACCUGAAGACCUUUAUUUGCUACCUUUGUUUGAGCCUUACCCAUUACCCAUCUAAUUCUCUCCGUCUACUUAACCAUUUUUCUUCUUUUUGAGCCUCAAUUUAAGGAGAUUUUUGGACUCAUUGUGUGGAUAUAUUUUGUUGCUUUUUCUACCUUGUAUUAAAGUUUCUCAAUUAGAUCAACAAGCAUUAUGCUUGAAUUAAAUUGUGCAAGGUUCGUUUCUUUUGUUUGAUUCAAAAAAAAAAAACAAAAAACAAAAAAAAACAAAAAAAAAGGAAAAAGAAAAAAAAGAGAAAAAAGAAAAAUCGAAAAAAAAAAAGUUUACAUUCUUGGUGACUUGAGUAGAAAUAAGCAUUUUGAUAUCAUAAGUUCAUUCAAUGAGUUCAUUCUUCUCGUUUUGAUCUCUUUUUCUUUCGUAAACCUUUCUUUUUCAUUUAACCCCAUUACAAACCUUUUAAGACCCUUAUAUUUUUGCAUUUUAUUCAUGUUUUGUGGAUUGAGAUGUGAUAUAUGAGCAAGCUUAUGGUAAUAGCAUUCUUUGAUUUGAUUUGAGUGCAUAAAUGAUACCCUAAACACUUUGAGUGCAUGGAGUGAAGUUAUUGAGAGGGCUAUUAAAUCUUGUUGCACUUGAAUUUUGAAUGGAUCUUCUUGGUGGUUGAAUGUUCUUAUUCUAUCUUAUGAAAUUCUAUGCUUUAAAAUCCUUGUCUCUUGAAUGUUGAUCGACUUAAUUUCUUGAGGUAUGCUUGCUUAAAAUUGUUUUUGGAUGAGUUGAGAUGAGAAUUGAGUGGAGAUUUGAGAUUAAUCUUGAGUUAUAUGCUUGAGGACAAGCAUCAUCUUGGUGUGGGGGAAUUUGUUAGAGUGCAAUUUAUGCACUAGUUUUGCAUUGUUUACUUCCCUUAAUAUCGAUGUUUUGCAUUUAAUAAUAGUGAUUUACUUGUGUUUUACUUUUGUAGGUGCAAUUCUAUUGAUUGGUGAUAAAAUUGAGCUAUAAGAUGAUGUUUAAGGAUGAUUGUUCUUUUGGAGAAAUUAUGAGCGGCAGAAGAACUUUGUCGAUAAGGCGUGGGCGCGUGCUGUCAACUGCGGACCUGCAGUUUUUAGUUUAACGUGUUUUGUAUUUUUGGCUAUUUUUUUAAUUACAAAUUUAAUAUUUCAAAUAUUAGUAUUUUAUUUUAAAUAGAACUCUAAAAGAGAAGAGAGAGAGAGUAUUUAAGGGAGGAAUCUAUUGUGAAAAAGGGGGAUUUGGAGAUUGGAGAAAAGAAAGAAACCCUAGAUCUAAUUUUUCUCUUCUCUCUAUGAGGAACUAAACCUAUUUUUCUGGUUGAAGGAUAACGAAGCUUUGAUUCAUCACUACUGUGAGAUCUUUCUUAUGCUUUAAUUGUUUUAUUACUUUUUGGGUAUUUGUUUAUUCUCUGAAUUAGUUUCAUGAUUAUGUUUGUUAAUUAGGUAAUUGGCCACUAUUUAAUUAUCAACUUAAUCUAUUGUCAAUUAAAGGAUUCAUCGUAUGAAGAAUUUAAUGUUUGUGCCAAAUAACAUAGCAGAGAGUUGUGUUGUGAGAAUAAACAAUCUAAUUUAAAUGAAUCAUCAUAUGUGUUGAUUAAGAUUUGGGUCUCUCUGGUUUUUCAGGCUGUCAAUUGAUUAAAUCCUAUGAUCGUAUCUAGGGUUGUCUAUUUGAUUAGGGAAAUAUCCAACGGUCGUACCUUGGUUAUCGACUAGUUAAGGAGAGAUUGGCUAUUAGAGGGUCUCAAUAGCUAUAACCGGUCUAUUCAUAAGUAAUAAUAAUCUAUAUUUGAAUCAACGAUCAGUAGUCGAAUCAAGCUGAGUUAAUUCCUUCAACCAGAGCUUUCUCAAAUUUGAAUCACAACUUUAAUUUACAUUCUCGUUAUUUUAAUUUGAUUUUUAUUAUUGUCAACAAUUCCCCCAUUUUACGUUUUACGUUUCAAAAGGAUUUAAAUAAUUACCGAUCUCUGUGGACACGACCCUACUCAAUCACUAUACACAAUUUAUUUAGAGUAGGAAUUUAUUUUUGUUGGCUUCGACACCCAUCACAACUAUCUAAGACUUAUAAAUUCUUAAAAACUCUUUCUCUUUGUAUAUGGUAAGGUAAGAAAUUUGAGAUCCAUCUUUAGUUCGAAAAAAAAUUAUGUCCAAACUCAAAGUCUUUCCUUAGUGAAGCAAAGAAAUUCGUACCAACAAUAUGAUCAUAUAAGCAAAUUAUUCGUGACCAACAAUAAGAAAAUUAUGUAUCAUACAUAAGUCAAUAAUGAGAUUUUUUAAAAAAGUUAAUUAUAGUAUAAUUGAAUGGUAACUUAAUUUUCUCCUACCCAUGUGAGCUAAGUGGUACAUAAGAAUGAGAGUUUUUUGAAUAAUAACAAAAAGUGUAAUAAAAUAUACUUAUCUAAACUAAACGCUGCAUAAAAAUUUCCUUUUAUAUACUACUCUCUCUCCCCCCCCCCCCCCCCCAACAAUCUAGGUAUUUUUUUAAAGUUCAUUUUUUAAAAGAUUGGAGAGUGGAUUAAAUCUAAAUCGAUUUUUUUUAGCCUUUACCUCCCUUAAAAUUCAAAAUCUAUUAGCUAGUUAAAUAAAAGUACUUGAAAAUUAUUUGACUAAAUCAUUGAGGGCAGAAUUUAGACACUGAUAAAUAGUUAAAAAUUUCAAUUAAAUAUGAUCAUCUAUUGGCAUUCUUAAAGUUCCGUAAUCACAGCCAGUACAAUGGUUCUAUCAAAUGAAAUAUUUCUAUCCAAAAUCAAUUUCUUUUUUAUCAUAUGGAAUUAAUCGAUUUGGAAUUGUGGAUUUUUAAUAGAUAUAAUAAAUACCCCAAGUAUGGGUGCUUUUCCAAUCAGGGAUCCCUGACUUUAAUAAAGUCAGGGAUUAGCUAAAAGAUAAAAAAGUUUAAAUUUUACUACACUACAUGAUAAAAUACAGUUUAUUGAAGUAUGUGUUUAUUUUGUCUUUUAGCUAAUCCCUGACUUUAUUAAAGUCAGGGAUCCCUGAUUAGAAAACUACUCCCCCAAGUAUUUUGAUAAUAUUCUAUAAUUAUCGUUGAGUUAGUGUGUGGCUUCGGGUCACCGUCAUGAACUUGGUCAGUCUAACAAAUAUAACGUAACCCAUGGUAUCAUCAAAAUAUGUGCAACGUUGCUCAGUAGAAACCAAAUCAGAUUAGGGAAAUUAUCUCUGUUGUCUUGGUCAAUCUUUUGUGACUUCAUCAAUAGACAUAACAUGUAGCCACGCCACAAUUUUUAAUUUUAAUUGGAAUGCUUAGAAGUCUAUUAAAAAUUAUAAUGUAACCUAACUAAGAAUAAUAUCAAUUUUUCUAUUUUAAUCUAAUAUUUAAUUAAACUAUUGCCAUUAUUGCACUUAGUCAUGGCUCAUAUGUGGAUCCACUAAUUGUUUCGCACCGUUGAUUGAUUGAGGGACGGUCAAGAUUUGAUUAAAUAUUGGAAUUGGUAUGCGAUCUCAUUAAAGUUGACUUCUAAAAUUGCAUUCUCAAUUAUUCAGAUUUAAAAAACAAGAAUGAUAAUAUGAUAGUUACGUUUUAAUAUUCUACGUUUGAAAUAUUAUGUUUCUUCUCAAAGCUGCAAAUCUCAUUUACAUUACCUGGUCAAAGACUUCUUGACAUAAAUUAUUUAUGCUAUUAAUUCAGUUAGUUAAGGAUAUACUUUAAAUGAUAUGACAUUUAAUCAACCAACGAUACAACAUAUAUCGAUUUAAUAUUAAGAUAUCUAAACAUAAUGAGACGACAAGAUCAAUACUCAACAUACAAUUUAAUUUUAAUACAAUUUCUUUCAUAAAUAUUGAUACAAUAAUAUUGAAUCAAUGUCAUGUCACUUGGCUUACUUUAUUUACUUAUUACUUAACUCUUUUAGUACCUAUACGUCACUCAUUAAACUCGUAUAUAUUUUGUAUGCAUCGAAUUAUUGAGAAUAGAAUUCACAGAGUUCAACUCUUGUGCAUGAACUGAGGAUUUCUCUAUUAAGUUUACUUGGAUAUGAUUAUAUUUUUGUUCUCUAAUUAUCAUUUGUUUUCAUUUUUUUUCUAUUACAUAUGAUUUUCAUUAAAUCACAACUCUAGUUGGCAUUUCACAUCACCCGCAAUUGAUUAGUUGCUUUCUAAUCCAACAAAAUUAAUAUGGAAAGAAAUAAAUGGCAACCGAUAAAUAUUCCAACAUUAUGUAUUACGCUGAAGAUUAAGCCAAUCCCACUACUACAAAACUGAAUUUCUUUGACAGAAUGCUUUUUCACAUGAUCAUGUAUGUGUCAAAGUUUUGUGACAAAUAUAUUAUUUUGCUGAUGUCGCAAACACAAUCCUUUCAAAAUCUUUAGAGGCCUUGAAAUUUUGAUUAUCUAUAAGAGAAUAGUUACAAAAUUCUGUCACUAAUAGUAAGUUAAGUGAUUCUUGAUAGAAUACUAUCAAAACAUUUAUAUAAAAUCUCACAUUUUAAUAUUUUACAAAAAUGUGUUUUAAAUAUUUUCAUUUUUUUGACAUAAUUCUAUCAAUGAACUUUCUUUUUAAAUUUUUAAUUCCACUUAGGCAUUGAAAAUGACAUAGUUUUAAAAGAUUUCAAUGACUUAACUGAUGUGAAUAUAUCUUUAAUAAGUCAACGACAAAAUUCUAUCAAAUAAAAUUCAUCACCUUAUCAGAUAAACAAAGGCCUGCUCAACCAAUAAGAAUUUGCCAUCUAAAGAGUUUAAUGGGUCUUUCAAAAAGCCUGACUUGAGUCUGAGCUUGAGUAUUUCAGGUCUAAUCUAAUAAGCAAGUUUAUAAAUUAUAAAUUUAUGAAAUACAAUGAAAAAGGUUUAAAAAAAAAAGAAAAAUGUUUUAAAAAAUUAAAGUAUAAAUAUGAGGUUUUACAAUUAAAAUAUCAAAUAGUGGCAAAAUGAGCGCCCAAAAAGUGCGGCAAAUUAAAAUUAUUCAAAAUUUAUCUCUUCAAUCCCUUUUUUUUUUUUAUUUUAGAGGGAAAAUUUUUUUAUGUACCACUGAAAUAAAAUUAACCCAAAAACAUUCUGUAAUUGAAAGCUUGGAACGAAUUUCACGCCUCUCGCCUUCUCUUUCACGCAUUUCGCAUUCCAUUUUCGCAUUAACACAUAAAAGGAGACACAAAUGGAAUAAUUAGAGAGAGGGAUGACCGGAUGAGAUUCCAUUUAUUGUUUGGUUAUAAAAUAAUUGAGUGUUUUUUUUUUUUUGUUAACUUAAAAAUACGUAUUUUUUUGUAUUUGAUAUUUAAUAGAAAGUUGAAAGUAAAAUCAAAUCCAUUUGUAAUAUAAGUUCACUUCAUUCAUAAAAUUAAACAUAUAGAAUAAAAUUUAUAAAUGUUACUUAUACAAAUACAUAUUACUAUUCAAAAUAAUAAAAAUUUUGCAUUGGAAACAAUUUUGAAAAAAAAAAUAAAAGUUUUUAAUGGAGAAAGGAAUUGUGGAGGGAAAGUUUGAUAGAAGAUGCACACUAGCUAGUUUUGGAAUUAUACCGUCAGGCGUCAGUCAUUUUAUAAAAAAAAAUGGAAAUAAUUUGAUCAGCCACCCGAGCUUUACUUCAGUGAUGCAUGUAUAUUCUAAGCUUCAUGACAUCAUAUUAAAAACGUAUUGCUAAGGUAAUUUGAAAUUCGUUUUAUCCAAUGAAUGUUACAUUUACUGGUAUGUUUAAUAUUUUGUUUUGGUUAAAAAUUUUGCUAUCUAACAGCUAAUAACUGAAUUUGACUCAUUUUUAUGUAAAUUUUAUAGACCCACCGAUUCACCAUUUUUAUGUUAUAAUCAUUGUAGGCAUGUUAUUUUUAAAUUAUGACUCCAUGUGAAACCAAAAUUUAAAUUUCACCAUCUUUUAUAGAGUUUGGUUAUGAUAAUCAAAUAAUACAAUAAACAAACACAAGGCAAAAAAAUUUACGUGGUUCGACGUAUUAAUUAAUAUGUCUACAUCCAUGGGUGGUGAUACCGAUAAGCCACUAUAUAAUGAAAAAGUGUACAAAUAAUAAUAAGCUCUCAGAUGCACCAAAAAAUUCAACAUUAUGUAUUACAUGCUCUGUCAUACCCUCCGCCCACAACAAACUCUCUCACCCUCCGAAGCCUGAUUAAUUCCCCAAUCCCUGCCGGCAAGUAUCUUAAAGAAUCAGUCCCCUCAUUGUGUAAAUACAUCAGCUUUCUUAACUUCCCAAUCCCUCGAGGUAAUUCUCUAAGAUUUUCACAAUCAUCAACGUUUAAACGUUCUAAAUUAUAUAACUCACACAACGUCUCGGGUAAUUUUUCUAUCUUCUUUUGACCUUUCAAAUUAAGGUAUUUCAAAUGUAACAAUUUUUCUAUAUUUGUUGGAAUUUCCUUGAUGAAAUUCUUACACAACCACGGUUCACAUACCUUUAAUUUUAAUGUCCUUAAACAAGUUAAUUUAUCAAAUAAUUGAGGUAGAACUUCACUAGACCAUGAAUAUUCAUCACUUUUAACUAAGAGGCUACGCAAUCCUCGCAAUCCUGUAACAUUACCCCAAAUGGAGAUCGGAACCGAAGCCCCCCUACGUAGAGUUAACAGUAAAUGGAUUUUUUUCUCCCCGAAAGAGCUAAUAGCUAACUCUUCACCACUAUGAAUUUCUACUGUUAAACAUUCAUUACUACAUAAAUAUUGGGCAAAGUCGUGCACGAUAUCGUGCAUUUUGCAAUUAGAGAUUUCACCAUCAUCACCUUUGUCAAAAUCCUGAAAGAAUGAAUGGCUAGCUAAGAUGUUGAAAUACUCUUCACCAAUAUCCUCCAUCUCUUUGGCUCCUUUCUCACUAAGAUAACCUUGUGCCAUCCAUAGUUCAAUUAACUUAUGCUUCUGUAUUUCAUAGUCUUUCGGAAAGACGGCACAAUAUGAGAAACAACGCUUUACCUUGGAGGGUAAUUCUUUGUAACUCAACAAUAGAGGGGCUAAAAGGCCUUUCUCAAUUGCUUCUAGUUCCCAUAUCUCACUCUCUAAGAUAUUUUGCCAUUCUUUUUCAGUGUUUUUAGACCGCAAGAGACUAGCAAUUGUCUUUGCAGCUAAAGGUAAGCCCUUGCACUUUUUUACAAUUUCUCUACCAAUUUUUUCUAAAUUUUCACGUUUUCCUAUGGUCUUACCAGAAAUUGCCAACGACUGAAACACCGACCAGCAUUCCAUUUCAGACAAUACAUUGACAGAGAUAACAUGAGUUGAUCCCAUAAUACGGGCAACUGUUUCUUUACGUGUGGUAAUUAAAAUUUUACUUCCAUGGAGACUAUUCUUUAAACAUUUGUAGAAUGGUUCCCACUUAUAGUAAUCUUCAUUCCACACGUCGUCUAAGACAAGAAGAAAUUUCUUCCCGGCAACACAUUCUUGAAUAUGUUGCAUGAGAGAUUGAAACUCUACAAGGUCUUUGGCAGAACCUGGCUUCAGAGACUCAAUGAUUGCUCUGGCGAUCCUGAACUCAUCAAAUGGCUCUGACACACAGACCCAUGUUCUUUUCUCAAAAUUUCUUUCAACAUCACCGUUGUUGUAGGCAAAUUGAGCAAGAGUAGUUUUGCCUAUUCCCCCCAUCCCAACAAGUGAGAUGAUAGAGGGGCCUUUCUGUUCUUUACUACCCUCACAUAACAACCUAUCAACGAGUUCGUUCUUCUCUUUUUCUCUACCAAAUAUCUCGGACUCAUCAAUUGAGGAGAUACUUGGUACUCGUUGAUCCGCUCUCUCAUUAGUAACAUUCACAACAAAACCAAACAUGUCUUUCUGUUUGGCAAUAUCAUCAAGAGUUUCGUUGAUUUCUUUUAUCUUCAGAGCAAUGUCACGACGUAAGACAAGUGGUUUGCAGGCAAAGCAAGAUGCAGUAGGAAAGAAGGAACAUACCUUCUUCUUAGGCACUCCGUCGAUCUGCAGUUUGAGCCUUGCAGUGUUCCACUCACCCAACACGUCUUCCAUGUCGUAACAUGUGCAUCUGAGUUGAUCGAGCCAGAGUCUGACAGUUUCCUCCUUCACUUGCCUUUUCUCUGCAUCAUGGAGCACAGCUUCAAUGACGCGGAGACUGCUGGUCAGCUUCUUCACUUCCUUUCCGACACCCGUUACUAGCCUCACUUGUUCCUUCGCCUCUUCAACAGCCAUUGAAGUCAGCUGCUCCAAGAUAGGGGAAAGGAUCGCAUCAACCAUGGUGAAAAAGAAAAAAGAGAGAGAGAAGAAAUUGAUGGUGAAUUGUUGCAAAUGUAAGUAGCUAAUGCUGAAAGAAAUGAAGGAGCUGAUAAUGUGGUGAAAAUGUUGCCGUAUUCUUUCAAUUCUUAUAGUACUGCAAGCAAAAUUCUAAUUUAGAAAUAUUUCAUUUCAGCCCCUUGUGAAAGAAGCUACGGUUAUUAUUAUUACUUUUUUUUUUUAAUAACAGCAAAGAGUGAAAAUGACGUACAGUUGUGGACAGGAAAAAAUAAAUUGUUAGGUCCUACAUCGGCGAUUCAGGCGGUAUAUGAAGAAACUGACAAAGUUUUCUAUGAUCUCUUUUUAAAUAAUUGAACAAGUUGUUAGAUAAUAUUUUUGAUCGUGUCGUCAUAUUGAGAUUUGGAAGCAUUUGCUUUACAAUCACCUAUGAACUUGAUAUUUUUUAGAUUGUUUGAUCUGAAUUAUAAGUGUUUUAUUAGCUUAGAAACACCUUGACCAUCUCUUUCUUAUUUUCUUCUUCUUCUUUUUUUUUUUUUUUUUAAUUUGACUCGUUUGCAUAACUAGUUGAAAGGAAAGAAUGAACAUACUAAUAAACUAGGAAAACGCUGCCACAUAAUAUUCUAAGAUUCAUAUGGAACCACUUUAUUUAGAUUUUUUCAUUUUAGCAGAUGUCUGAUUGUGGGAGUUUAGAGUUUAAUCUCUAACUUUGCUUGUGAAGUGUGAAAAAUCAAAUAAUCUUUUCAACUCGUUUUUCAACAAAACUAGAUCACAAUUCAUCAUCAGUUAUUUCUCAUUAUGUAUAAAAUGAUCAAUCUGGAGCUGGAUAUUCACAUAUUUUUCUAUUUCUAAUCAUCUCAAAAUAUAUAAUAUGAACUUUUAAAAAAAAAUAAUCAAAUUGUAAUAAAGUGACAUAAAUAUUAAAAAAUAAAAGAAAAAGUCAAAAAUGUAAUGUGGAAAAAAGACAAAACCUUUUUGUUUGUUCUAUUCAUGGCAUCAUCUAAAUAUGAGAAAUGAUGGGUUGAUUGUCAUUGUGAACAACCAUAUAAUUGCAAGACGUGAAUGCCAUCAAAGUUAUAAUAAUUCAUGGACCCAUGCAUCCUCUGUUUGUCUAAUACCAUCAAAGUUAUAAUAACGUGUGAUUCUCAAAUUCAUUGUCAAGUGAUUUGAACGUUUUAACGGACAGCGCUUACUUUUCUUUUUGAAGGAGCACUGAAGAUUCCUGGAAGUUGCCUGCAGUUCAAAUAUUUUCUACAGACGAAAACCGUCAAUAAUUUCCAAACUUAGAAGAUAUUUAUAAUUUUCCCAUAACCCACCAAAAACUUUUUCAUUUAGUGUAAUUUUGUAAUUUUCUUAGAUGAUACUUAAAACUGCUAAUAUCUUCUAAUUAUUGUUUUAAAAAUCUAAAUAAUUGUAUGCCCAAUUAACGGAUCAGUAGUCUCAGUUCGACAUAUUUAUUUAAAAAAAAAAAAAGAAAUACACAGUUGUUUGAUGACUCUGGAAUUGAACAUCAGGAAAUAAAGAGAAAAAAUAACACACUUUAUGACGAUCAUUGCGGAUGGCAUAACAGAUGUAAGUAUUUAUUGCCAAUUAAUUGGCAUUCUUAUUAUCAAGUAAUUGUUUUAGACUCGAAUUCAAAAGCUCAGCUCUGCUCUGCUCUGCCCUUCGGUAAUCCCCCUGUUCAAAAAAUAAUAUUGUUUUAAAAAUCUCAAUAACAACAUGCCCAAUCGAUCACACAACGACUUUGUUGAAAUUGAAACAUUAUUGGGAAAUUAAUGAAGAGUAGAGAGCAAUUAGAGAACUUUAAUAUUCUCUAAAAAUAUAUAUUUUACCUCAUGUUUAUAAAAUAAAAAAUUUACAACAAAAAAAAAACAUAAUGGUUAAAAAAAAAUCUAAUUUGUUAAGAGUUUUUUCAUUAUGAUACUUUUUUUUCACUCUCAUUCAAUGUCUUUACUUUUUCAAAUAAAAAAUCAACAAUGUUUUUGUUUUUUCAUAUCUAAACACUAUUUUAGAAACAAUCAAAUAAACAUAUUCUUAUUUUCACUUGAAAACUAAUUACUUCUAAUUUAUAAAAUAAAAAUAAAAAUAUCAUGUGAAAAACAAUACCGAGCACACUCUUAAUAUUUAAGCUUUACAUAAAUUAAAAUAUUAUGUGUCACUCAUUUAUUAAAUAAUAAAUUAAAUUAUUUAUUAUUUAAUUUUUUACUUUUCUAUUCUUUCAAAAUUCUAACAUAAAUAAUGAAUUAAAGAAAUAUCUUUUAAAGGGAGCUGGUAAGUAAUUUACAACCCUUCAAAGUUAUGUGAACAGAAAUAAUAAGUGGCGGGAUCUACAUGAAUUUUGGUGGAACUGUAAAUUACUUAACAAAAUCCUAUUUUAAAAUGAUUGUGCCAUGUCUUUAUCCGAGUUUAAGCUUUAUCAUUGCCAACCCGGGCCUUAUCCGAGUUGAAGCUUUAUCAUUGCCAUGUAUUUUCACUAUUCAUAUAUGUAGGGCCUUAUCUUUCUUUUUAAUUUUUUGACCGGUGUGGACUGGAAAUAUUGUCAGGUCCUACAUCCGCAAUUCACGCGGUGCAUGAACUUGACAAAGUUGUUGUAUAAUAUAUGUUGUCUCUUUUCAAUAAUUGAACGAGUUGUUGUAUAAUAUACGGGUCUUACUAUGGUUAGUAUGUAACGGCCCAUGACGUGACAAAUAAUUUACUAAGAAUACACCAUGUGUAAAAAUUUUUAAUGAUUUGAUAACUGCCUCCUCGUAUCCAAAUCGGUAACAGAAUUCAAUUAUUAUUAAUUGGUAAAAAGAUUCUUUUUACCCAUUAUUAUUAAUCGGUUGCAGAUGAUUUACUGAAAUUACAGUUACGUUUUGACUGUAAAGUUUGAAAAAUCAAAUAAUCUUUAUUAUUAGUUUUGCAAUAAUAAUAAACAACAAAUCAUUAUUAAUUAUUUCUUAUUUAUUAUGUAUAAAUUGAUCUAUCCAGAAUUGGAUAUUUAUAUAUUCUUCUAUAUCCUAAUCAUUUUGAAAUUUAAUAGAAAUUAAAAAAAAAAUCAAUUUGUAAUAAAGUGUCAUAGAUAUUAAAGAAUGAAAAUGGAAAGUCAAAAUUGUAAUGCUCAAAAAAGACAAAACCUUUUUCUUUUUUUUUUUUUCUUUUCACGGCAUACAAAUUUGUCACAGGUAAUGGAAUUUAUAGCCCACAAAGAGAAUUUUGUUCGACAAAUGAUAUGAGAAUGUCGGGUGAAACGUGUGAACAUUUUAUUGCGAAACUGCCUUACGAUUGCAGCAUGUGAACACUUGAAUUUCUUUUUGACAAAGCAUAAUGAUAACUUACAUGUACUGCAAUAUUGCAUGAAGUGAUGAAGAUUCCAGGAAGUAGCCUUAGCUGCAGUUCAAAUACUUUUCUUUUGGACAAAACCCACCCACCAAAAACUUUUUUUCAUUUAGUGCAACUUUAAUUUGUAGUUUUCUUAGAACCGCCAAUAUCUUCUAAUUAUUGUUAUAAAAAUCCCAGUUGCGGGCCCAAUUAACAAAUCAGUAACCUCAGUUAGACAUAUUAAAAAAAAAAAAUCACACAGUGGUUUGAUGACUUUGUAAUUUAUAUACAUCAGGAAAUGAAGAGAAAAAGGAACACGCUGAUGACCAUCAUUGCAGAAAAUAUAACAUAUGAGCUGUUAAGGGGUUUGGAAGCUGUAGGCACAGAGCUGGUAAAAUUUGACACGACUUAAUUAUCCGAUAAGAACACAACACAAAUAAAUGAGUAUGGGUCAUCGAAUUUAGCACGAUUAUUAAAUGGGUUGGGUCUGAGUCGACACAAUUUUUUUUCGUGUUGGGUUAGGGUUAAAGUUUUUGACCCAUUUAACCAAUCAAUGAUCCGAUUAUAUUUUCUAUUUUAAAAUAAUUUGUAGGUUCUUAUUAUAAAAACUCAAAUAUUAAAGAUGAUUCUCUUUUUUAUUUUUUGAAAAGAUGAAUAAAAACACAAUAUUUUAUUUAUAAAAUUUUAUGUACAUUUAGAGCUUCAAUAAUGUAAAUGUGUAAAAUAUUAGUGCACAAGUAUAUUUUAUAAUAUCGAUAUAUGAUAUUAUUUAUAUAUAUAAUUAAAAUUUCAAUAGUGUAAAUGUGUAAUAUUUUGGUAGAUAUGUACAUUUUAUAAUAUCAAUAAAUUUUGUAUGUAUUUAUGUAUGUAUGACAGUGUGUAAAUGUUUGAUAUAAAUUUUGAUUAAUAUAUAGAUCUUAAGUGGGUUAUUGGGCAACCCGAUUAUUUUUUCGUGUCGGGUUAGGUUGACCUAAAUUUAACACGACACGAACAUGACCCGAUAACAUGUUUUGCCAGCUCUAGAUGUAGCCUUUAGUUGGCUUAGGGAGAUAUAGUUUGUAAUUAUGGUUUAAAAGUUACUAAGGAGAUUUUCAUUUAUUCCAUGUACAAUAGUUUAAUGAAAAAUUUAUCACAAUUUUAUUAUUUUUGUUAAAAUUAUUACUUAAAAGUAAUGUCCAUCGAACGUGUGGGUGUCAAUAGUUUUUCAAAACUAUUGCUUUAAAAAUCUCAGUAGUUGAACAUGCCCAAUUGGUCAGUCUCAAAGUUUGACGUAUUACAAAAACGAUCAACCGUACAAGAGUUCGAUGAUUAUGCAUAAUUGAACAUUUGCAAACGAAGAGCAGAGCACAAUGAGAAAGCAUAACUAACCAUAUAAUUUUGUUCCUUUUUGGCACCAUUUCUGAGUCUUUGUCCCCUCAUCGGUUUCAUCUCAGGACUAAUGCUUGAAGUAAUGAGAUAUCUAAUCUGUAAAUUCCAAGCUCCUGAUAGUUACUAUCUUGUUCUGAAUCAGGUACUAUCUGUGAAUGAUAUUACUCUGCAUUUCUAACUGUCUAAUACUAAUUCUUUGAUCCAACAUUUGAGAUGUUGAAGUGAACCCAAGAACUUCAAGCAUUAGAAGCAACUAUGUCUAAUUAAACUGCGAAUAAAAUCAAUCAAACAAUACGGAACGGAUCAGCAACACUAAAAACACACACAAUUCCUGCUCUGCCCUGACCCCUCACGAACGUAGUUCCUCUGCUAAAAAAUAUUGCUUUGAAAAUCUCACUAGCCUAUGCAUGCCCUGCAAACCAGUGGUUUGAUGACUUUGUAAUUGAACAUUAGAAUACGAAGUAUAGAGAACAAUGGGAAAACGUAAUUAACUAACCAAUCUGAUUCCUCUGAUCGCUUUCAUCCAAGGACUGUCAUCUGUCUUCCCAUCUUUCAUUCUGCAAGACACUUCACUGGGCAAAAGAAUAUGUUUUUCUUGAAAAGUUUGCUGAAAAUGGAAAGUUUCUUCCAGGGCAGAAAUCAGAGAAAGCAACACAUAUGUGCCCAUCACAGCCGAGGGUGUCCUAGAAAAGUAUUUUGCAGCAAACUUAUCAUACUUAUCAAGCAUCCAGUAAUUUCUAAUUUAAAAAGUGAAUAAAUUAGGUAUCUAGCUAAUCCAUAAAUGCAAGAUAUUAAAACUCUUGACAAUGACAUAAAACUUUUUGUACUUCUUAAGUAGAUUCCAGUUCUUCUUGUUCUGAGAUUACCAAAAGCAUUAUAGCAGACGAAACCAAGCCAGCCUAGUUUCCAGUAUGGAGCCACCGUUUAGUGCUUCGCUUCCCAAUCAGUAAAGGCAACAGCCCUAUGCUAUGCUAGCCUUUCUGUCUGAGUUGGCCCAUUUACACAAUUACACCCUUAUGAACACAAUGCCUUUUUGGUCAUCCAUCAGACAAGGUUGAAAAAGGAACUAAAACUGAACAGUAGAACAGAUUACCUGGAGGUGAUGGUAUAUGCAGCCGUUUGAGGUCUCCUAAAAGACUUCUCCUGAUCCCUUGAAAGUUAUGAUUUAAGACAUUAGGUCUGCACUUGCUCCCUUUCUGUAAACUUUCAUUUAAAAUUGGUCAAUUUCAGUAAGUGAGCCUUGAAAAGUCAUCAAACAGCUUAAAAGCCAAAUGAGUUUGGACUUGUGAUUGGUAUAAUGGUUAAAAGAAUAUAGUAAGCAAUCCCCACUCAAAGCCAAAGUAAGUAAAAGAAUAUGCUAAUUAACCUCAAUCGACAUCAACUUAAUUUUGAUCGGCGACCAAAGCCUUAGUGGUCUCCUCAAUACCACCCCUGGUAAAUAGAAUGGGAUCUGCACCAGCUGCUACCACCUGAAUGAGUACCAAAUAAGCAACACAAACCUAGCAUAAUUGUUAAUAUUAAUCCAAGGCAUCUAUAUUUGUACAAAUUUUAGUAACAUGAUGUUACCAAUAUUCACACCUUUAGCAUUCAGAACUCGCUCUAGAACAAUUACUGUGGCCGGUCCUAUUGCAGACGAUAAAUUUGAUCUUUGAAGCGGCCUUCCUUUUACCAACCUAGCUCCGAAUAAAUUUUUCGACAUGCCUUGAAAAUCUGUAAUAUUUUAUCCAAAUAAAGUAUAUAUCAAGUAUUCAAAAAUGGGCCGGGUGUAAAAAAAUUAUGUGACGUUAAAUUCAAUGGGUCCGUACAAAUUUAGUAACCACUAACACUUAUCUUGUUCUUAUUACUCCACAGAAUGAUCAAGGCUAACAUUCAAUGACACAAUCACAUAAACUUGUGCUUGUGGCUGCAAAAUGUUUAUAUGGUUAAACUAACAUAAAUUUUGUAUUACAUGCCCAAAAAAUAUGUUUCAGUUUAACAUAUCAAAAAAGAGGAAAAAAAAUCACGGAGUGCUGUGCUGACAUUGUAAUUUAAUAUCAAUGAAGAGAAAAUGUAACAUACUUAUGACCAUCAAAGCAGAUGAUGUAGUAGAUGAGUAUUUUGCAGCAAGCUUAACAUACUUAUCAAGUGAUUAGUAAAUUGUAUUUUAAAAAGUAAUUUUGGAAGUCAUUAGAUAUCUUAUCUGUAAAUUCAAACUACUGAGCCCUAAUAAUUACAUAACACUUGUUCCACUUCUUAGUGAGAUUCUAGUUCUUCUUCUCAGAUUACCAAUAAUAAAAGAGCAGACGAAAGAGACAUGUGAGGGGAAGGUUUCAUUCACAACCUUGUCAUUACUUGGUUUUUAACUUGCAGAAGAAGCCAAAGCUGAAGAACUGAAAUUAAAAAAAUAAAAAGUAAAAAUUUAAAGAAAAAUGAUUAAUGAGAUAGAAUUAGUGUUGGCGAAAAUCCAUCUCUAUGUUUUUCACACAGUGGGAAUUGUGGGGAGGAAAAUUAAUUGCUUUCUUGUUCUAAAUCAGAUACUAUCUGUGAAUGAUAUAACUCAAUACCCCACUUCAUGCAAGCUUUGAUAUAUUAUUCCUUCCUGCGAUAUAUCCACUGCUAAUUGUUUUAUCAAAAAGUUGGUGUACUGAAGUGAACCCAAUAACUUCUAGCUAGAAGCAACAAUGUCCAAUUAAACCGCUAAUGCAAGCAAUCAAACAGCAAGGAAAGGAUCAACAACACAAAAAGCACACACAGGGCACAAAGAUUUACAUGAUAUGUCCACGGGUGGUGAUGCUGGUAUCCACGAUACGCGUGAUGAAAACAAGUGCGUAUAUAUAAAGAACACCACCUGUCUCCUCACAAUAACCCUCUAGAAUACAAGCACAAAUGAAAAUAAGCCAAUUCCUGCUCUGCACUGCCCUCAUGUACGUAAUUCCUCUGCUAAGAAAUAUCGCCUUAAAAUCUCGGUAGCAUAUGCAUGCAUGCCCACCAAUCAGUUAGACAUGUGAAAUUAUCAACCACACAGCAAAUCAGCAAAUCAGUGUUUUCAUGAAUUUGUAAUUGAACAUCAGAACAUGAAGAGUACAGAGCAAUGGGAAAAACUAAUUAACUAACCAAAGAAUUUUAAAUCCAAAUAAUAUAAUUAACGUGUGAAAGCAAGGUUGAAGCCCACCUUAGAAGUUUCUGUCUAUAAAGGCCAAUAAAUCUCCUGCUAUCUGCUUGCUUAUAUCUUCAUGUAUUUCCAUACACCUUUUACUCUACUCUGUUGUUCAACCUUCCUUGGUUUUAUGUAUCUAUUUUAUGUGUAUUGAGAAGGCUAGUUACUAGGUGUCAACUCUUCUCUUUAAAAGAUAAUGUUUUGACAAAUGGAAAGAAAGACACCCACGGCCAACUACCAAAUCCAAGGCAAAAUUGGUCUUCCCGAUUGAGUGAGCGAGCCCUGAAACUUCAUCAUCUAGCUUAAAAGCCAAAUGAAUGUAGUCUUGUGAUUGGUGUAAUUGGUUUUAAAGAAACUAGCAUGAAUCGCCACUCAAAGCCAGUAAAUAGAGUCGAAGAAGAUGCUAAUGUACCACAGCUAACAUAAACAUAAUUUGAUCAGCCGAAUGACUACCAAAUGAAAAAUCAACAUAAACUUAACAUAACCGUUAGGAUUUAAUCCAAGCCAUACAUAUCGGUAGACAUGUUAGCAACAUGAUGUUACCAAUCUUUAACACCUUUAGCAUUCAAACCUUGCUCAAGGACAACUGCUGUGGUCCGGUGCUGCAGGCCAAAAAUUUGAUCUUUGAAGCAACCUCACUCACCUACCUAGCUGCAAAAAAAUUUUUUGAAAUGCCUUGAAAACCUGUAACAUUAUAUCCGAAUAAUUAUCACAUAACUUGUGCUUGUAACGUAAUGCGAUUGCAGUGCAGUCGUUAAGUGUACACUUAUCUGGCCAUUUCGUCGGAACAAAUUCUUUUGCUUCUCUCAAAAUGUGCAUAAUAAAUAGUAAUAUGAACAAAUACCUAUUCAUGAGUGUUGAGAUAUUUUUGCAUAUCUUUUUUUUUAAGGACUAAAAGUGAUAAAUGGAGAAUGGAAUUGAGCAGGGAAAGUUUGGUAGAAGAUGCACACACUAGUUGUGGAAUUAUACCGUUAGUCAUUUUAUUAAAAAAAAUAAAAUAAAAAUAAAAACCUCGUUGAAUGAUUAUUUGCUAGGAUUAGAAAAAUUUAUGUGAUAAGCAAAACGAGAUGAAACCACAAUCUCGUUUAUAAAUAUUAAUGUACCUCAAUUUUUUAAACCAACUUUAAUUUUGUGAUCCUUGAUGUGUUUUUCGACAAUAUCGAGCCAUUUGGGUCUGUGUAAUAAGUGGUUAGUAUUAUAUUUAUUAUUUGGCUCGUAAGCCAAAUGGGGUUGUUGUUUAGGUUUGAAUGACAAAGCGACAAGGAAAAGCGAGAAGGAGAGGAGAAGAAGAGAGAUCAUGAAGAGCUUUUGACUGAAAUUUGUGGGUUUGUUGGAAGCAGGUGGUGAAGAUGACGAUGAAGCUGCAGCCAUUUGAUUGAAUUUUGCUUCACGUCUUUGUUGAAAGUUGAAAUAUUUGUUUUGAGUCGACAUUUUGUUUUAAGAUUGCAUGGCAGCACGUUGAGCGUUGUCAAAUUGUUUUCUUAUGUGUAGGUAUUUUAUUUUCACUCGCAUUUGAUGCGCGUGGGUAGAUUUAUUAAAUGCACUUCAUUUUUUUUUAUUAAGAUGAAAAUGUUUCUCAGUUGUCAAAUUAUGCUCUUGUUAUCUUAUAUAACAAGGUACACUUGUCACCCAUUUCCAACUCUCUCACAAAUUUCCACGGCCAUUAGAUUUUUAUUAAACAACUGUUAUUUACUUUAUAUUUGUUAUCUUAUUAUGCAAGAUAACAAAACCCAUCAAAUUAUAAAUAAAAUAUUUUACACUACACAAAAAUUUACACUACAUAGGAAUAAGGUUUUUGAAAUAAUAAUAAAAAGUACAAGUAAAUAAAAUAUACUUAUUUAAGCUAAACACUACAUAAAAAGUUUUUUUUAUAUUCUAAUCUCUCUCUCUCUCUCUCUCUCUCUAUAUAUAUAUAUAUAUGUGUGUGUGUGUGCGUGUGUGUGUGUGUGCAAUCUAGGUAUUUCUUUAAGUUCUUUUUUAAAAAAAUUGGAGAGUGGAUUAAAUUUAAAUUGAUUUUUUUUUUAGCUCAUACCUCCGCUAAAAUUCAAAAUCUAUUAGCUAACUAAAUAAAAGUAACUAAGGUGGCGUUUGUUUUUUAACUUAAUGACUUAAAGUGACUUAACUUAAUUAAUUAAGUUAAUUAGAGGUGUUUGUUUUUAUAACUUAAUGAGACUUUUUAGAUAAUUUUGACUUAAUAAAAUAAGCCAAUUUUUUUGGCUUUUUACUUAAUGGAGAAAUCUGAAUUAAGUCAAUUACUUGCUAAUGUCAAAAAUAUCCUUGUUUUAUAAUUUAUUUUUCAUGUCUAUCCCAAAACUCACCUAUAGAUAUUUACCGCACAUAAAAAUAUCCAUGUUUUUUUCUUUCUUAUAUUAUAUAUGAUAAAAUUUGAAAUUUAUGGUAUUUUAUAUAUUAAAAUUCUAAAAUAAUUAUGUAUUCACUUGAAUAUAGUUUUACUUAUAAAUGUUAAAAUAUUGUGGUAUUUAAUAUAUUAUUUAUUUGACAUUCAAAUUUAACAAGGAUACAAAUGUAAAAGUACAUAUUUUCAGCUUUUUAAGUUGAAAAAAACAAACAACUUAAUACUUAUUUUUCGAGAUUCAGACGAAAAAACAAACAUAUUAUUCAGAUUCAGACAUUCAGACCUAUUCAGAAUUCAGACUAAUUCAGGUCUAUUCAGAUUUCAGACAAAAAAACAAACGCCACCUAAGUCAUUGAGAGUAUAAUUUAGACACUAAUAGAUAGUUGAAAAUUAAUAUAGAUUAGUUGAUUGGUUGCUUUCUAAUCCAACAAAAUUAAUAUAGAAAGAAAUAAAUGACGACCGAUAAAUAUUCCAACAUUAUGUAUUGCGCCGAAGAUUAAUCUCCCUACUACAAAACUGAAUUUCUUUGCCAGAAUGCUUUUUCACGUGGUCAUGUAUGUAUCAAAGUUUUGUGACAAAUAUAUUAUUUUGCUGAUGUGGCAAACACAAUCGUUUCAAAACCUUAGAGGUCUUUCUAUAAGAGAAUAGUUGCAAAAUUCUGUCACAAAUAGUAAGUUAAGUGAUUUUUGACAUAAUACUAUCAAAAGGUUUAAGUAAAAUCUCACUUUUUAAUAUUUUACAAAAAUGUGUUUUAAAUAUUUUAAUUUUGUUUGACAUAAUUUUAUCAAUGAACUUUUUUUUUAAAAUUUGUAAUUCCACGUAGGCAUUGAAAAAUGACAUAAUUUUAAAAGAUUUCAAUGACUUAACUGAUGUGAAUAUGACUUUAAAAAGUCAAUGAUAAAAUUCUAUCAAUCAAAAUUUACUAUUUUAAUUAUCUUAGAUUGCCAAGUUUGCCACCUCAUCAUAUUAAAAAGGCAUGCUCAACCAAUAAGAAUGAGUGCUGCUAGGUAGCGAGAGGAACGAGAGAAUGACGAGAGAAACAACAUCCUCUUCUAUCGUUUCACUUCUCGUUCCUCUCGCUAAAGAAUGAAUAAAAAAUAAUAAAGAAAGACUGCUUUUAUCAUUUCGUGCAGAGAGAAAUUUUAGCAUUUUGUCUCCAACCCUCACUCUUCCUCUCUCCCUCACCAGCUUCUCUCCCUGACGCUUCCAGAAGCUCCGUCACGGAUUCCGGCGUGCCUCACGCUUCCAGAUCCCUCACGGCUUCCUUUCGGCGUGCCUCACGCUUCCAGAAGCUCCCUCACGGCUACCGGCGUGCCUCACGCUUCCAGAUCCCUCACGGCUAAAGUUCUCGGCUAAAGUUCUUGAUUACCUUUGCUUCGUACAAAAAGGGAAGGCUUUGCACUAGUAAUUUUUUUUUUUCUCGGCUAAAGUUCUUUAACGAAGGGGAAGGCUUUGCACUAGUAGUUUUUUUUCUCGGCUUUGCACUAGCAAAGACAUUCUCUCGAUCAUUUCUCACCUUAUGUAAGCGGCCCCUCUCUCUCCCUAUUCCUCUAAAGUUAUUCAUAUUUCCUAAAUUCCAUUUUUCUCUUUUCUUCCCCAUUUUUUUUCUAUGUAUAUAUCUCUGAAUAUGCUGAAUUACUCGAUAGUUUAAUUUUUCCAUUUUUUUUUUACAGCAGUAGAUUUUUUAAAAUCCUCCUGAUAAAUUAUUAAAUGAAGCAUUUUUUUUUAAUUUUCGAAUAGAAAUGUAAAAUUAAUGUGAAUUUGGCUUAGUCAUACUUAGUUAGCAUUGUUAAUUGCAGGAUCACCAUUGGUUUGAGCAGCGAUAUUAUGAAUUACUUGACCACUUUCGAUCUUCGGAUGGACCUAUUUUUUUGAGGAUUUGUGGUGAAUAUACUUGCGAUGGCAUACCAAAUGAUUAUCUUGGUGUAAGUUUUAAUUGUAUCCUUAACUAAUAUAAUUAAAAAAAAAAGAACAUUCAUGGUUAUUGUUGAGUGGCUAGAAUAGUUUGAGGAAUAUUUGGACACAUGUAUCAUUGGGCAGGUUCUGGCAAAGAAGUUUGGAGCAGCUGUGGUUUCACUUGAACAUCGUUCCUAUGGGAAGAGCUCACCAUUUAAAUCAUUAUCGACAGAAAAUUUGAAAUAUCUUUCAUCUAAGCAGGCACUCUUUAAUGGUAGCUUGCAAUUAUGUAUGUGGAACAGGAUGUAGAGUCUUGAUCAUCUUUCUGUUGGCUACUAAUUCUUAUUUCAUGGCAAGACUUCAUUUGUUCGCAAGUGGCGUUGCUAAAUGGAGUCUCUUUAGUUUUAUAUUCUUUAUCUCCUCUCGUUUGUGGAUAAUUUGUAUAAUUGUAAUAUUUACCAAAAUCUUAAUUCCAUUAAACAAAAACAACACAAUAACCGAACAUUUUGUUUGAUUUUUUAAUUUGCCACUUUUUCUAACUUAAAUUUCAAUUCUGAAAGUUCAAAGAUAAAUCUAACUGAAAUAAUAAUGAAAAUAAUCGAAACAAAUAUAAAUCAAACAUCAAUUGUUGUCUUCAUUACAUUAUUGAUGUAACAAUUGUUAAAAAUAAAUAAUAUUGAAAUAAAUUUUGCAUAUCAUAACAUAACCCACAACAAAAUUCACAACAUAAACACCAAAGUUAAAAUAAAACAAAAUUCAUAACAUAACCCGCAACAAUUUACUAAAUUCCAGAAGCUUAAAUUACAACAAGAUCCAGCAACAACACCAAAAGAAAAAAAAAACUUAACUUCCACAAUACACUUAAAUUCCACGCCAGAUCUUUCACAUAACAAAAAAUUAAAACAAAAAGAACUUAACUUCCACAAUACACUUAAAUUCUACGCCAGAUCUUUCACAUAACAAAAAAUUAAAAUAAAAAGAACAAGCUGAAAAAGCCCACUGCUCACUUAAUCUUUGCCGAGAGAGCCGAGAGAGGGGAAGAUGGAGGAGGUCGUGAAGCUGCGUGAGAAGAAGCCUGAAAGUGAAGCUGCGUGAGAACUGACGAAAUGGAGGAAAAUGAAAGUGAAAGAGAAAAAUGAAAGUGAAAGAGAGAGGAAAGUUUUGGGGGAAAAUGAAAAAGUCAAGGACAGAGGAAAGUGAAAUCGUGGGGAAGUGAAAAAGUGAAAGAGGGAGCAAAGCAUUCCAACGCCAUUUGUUUAUUCAUUUGAUCAUUUCUUUUAUUUUUUUUAUGUUUAAAGAGUGAGAGGAAAUGAGAAGAGAAACGACAGGAAAGAUUGCCGUUUUGGUCGUCCUUCUCUCAUCCCUCUCGCUACUUAGCAUUUUCCAAUAAGAAUUUGCCAUCUAUAAUGUUCGGUGGGUCUUUCGAAAAUCUUGGCUCGAGUUUGAAAUUGAGUGUUUCAGGUUGGACUCAGCCUAAUGUCACGGACCGCAAUCGUGGCACCCAAGAUAUGCGCUUGUACGCUAGUGUCGAUGAUGGUUGUGCUGAUUGUUGGAGACGUGCUUCAGGAAUGUGUGUGUGGGGAAUACAAUGCCCUAGACCCUUUGGAGUUCAGGCAGGCCGACCCGGUUGAGUUUGGGGAGCUUGUCGCUAGUCGAGGACUUAAUGCUGAAGAGGGGUCUAGGAAAAUCCUGACGCACACUGGUUGGGAACUGAAGCCGUUCUCCUGACGAGCCCACGGUAGGGCGAAACCAGUCGACAUUGUGCCGCUUCCACUAGGCUUACUCUCGUAGUAUGGGAUGCGGGAGUGCCGCACGGGCUCGAAACCUCUCGUCCCGUGACAAAUGGUAUCAGAGCCGCGCUUGUCAUCUCUCGAAGCCCUCGUUGCGAGCUCGCCAAGCACUCCAAUGCCGCACCACGCAGGUCCCCACCCUUUUGGGCGCAAGGGUCGACAAGCGGGACGAACAGGCGGGUUCUCACACCCCCAAGCGUUCGCACUAAGUGGACAGUGUCUGCACGCGGGUCCUCUCCCCGGAUUGAGGACGAGUAGGCCGGGAGUUCAUGGGUGAGAUUGGCAAGUCGAUCUUCACGUUUUCGCGCGGAAGUGCACAUUUGCGAGGCGUACUCUUCAUGCACGAGGACGUGCAUGGUCAUGGCGGUGGGAGAAUGUCACGGACCGCAAUCGUGGCACCCAAGAUAUGCGCUUGUACGCUAGUGUCGAUGAUGGUUGUGCUGAUUGUUGGAGACGUGCUUCAGGAAUGUGUGUGUGGGGAAUACAAUGCCCUAGACCCUUUGGAGUUCAGGCAGGCCGACCCAGUUGAGUUUGGGGAGCUUGUCGCUAGUCGAGGACUUAAUGUUGAAGAGGGGUCUAGGAAAAUCCUUACGCACACUGGUUGGGAACUGAAGCCGUUCUCCUGACGAUCCCACGGCAGGGCGAAACCAAUCGACAUUGUGCCGCUUCCACUAGGCUUACUCUCGUAGUAUGGGAUGCGGAAGUGCCGCACGGGCUCGAAACCUCUCGUCCCGUGACACUAAGCUCAGUGAAAAAAACCCAAUAAGUGCUCAAAAAAUAAAAGAAUAUAUAUAUUUUUUAUUUUAAUUUGAAAUACACUUUUAAUAUUUGUUUAACCUAUCCAUAACAUAUAUUUAAAGUUUUAAAUUUUAAUUAACUUUCAAUACGUAAUCUAAUAAGAAAGCUUAGAAAUUAUAAAUUUAUAAAAUAUAAUGAAAAAGGUUUAAAAAAAUUAAAGUAUAAACCUAGGGAUGGCAAUGGGGCAGAUAUGGGUUGGAUCUACUCUGCUCCAAAUCCAAAUCCAUAAUAAAAAUUAAGAUCCGUAUCUGCUCCAGAUCUGUUAUGAAUCCAUAUUUUUCGCUCCAUAUCCAGAUCCAAAAGAGAAAUAAAUAUCUAUAUCUGCUCCAAAUCCGAAAAAAAAUUAAUAUCCAAAUCUGCUCUAGAUCCGUCAUGAAUUCUAAAAUUCCGUAAUAAAAAAGUAAUAAUUUUUUAGAUUGAAAAUUGAAGGCUAAAAUGUAUUGAUAACAAAUAAAUUAUAUAAUUUUUCUCAAAAAUAUAAUAAAUAUUGUAGCUUAUACUUCUACACCAAAACAACAAAUAAGAAAGAUAAUAAAAUAUCAUUCAGAAGUAAUUGCAGGAGUAAGAUCAAUAUAAUAUUCUAUUGUCUCCUUCAUCAUUCUAGUAUCCACGAUAUACCUACCUCCAUUCCUACAACAUUAGAUAAUGACAUAUAAAUUAAAUAUAAUUUAUAUUCAGUUCUUUAUUAUUUUUAUUAUGACCAUAUUUGACUAAAUAUAUGAAUAUCUAUAUUCCUUAAAAAUUAUUUGGCCAAUAUGAUAAAAUAAAUUACCAGGUUAUAUUACUUGGAUUGCCAUUUGAAUAUUGCAUGUACAUGCUUUGAGGCUGGCUGACCUUUAAAUUUACAAAACUAACCUUUAAGUUUUAAGAGUUUAAAUUCAUGGUAAAUACUACUAAUAUGCUAUGAAUAAAAUUUAUUAUCAUUAUCAUUCCACAAUUAUUAAGAAACUUUUAAAAUAAAAUAAAAGUAAAAGAUGAGUGGAUAUGGAUAUGGAUUUAGAUAUUAAGAUAGAUCCAUAUCUGCUCCAGAUCCGUCUUAGAUUCGUACAUCGAUAUCCAAAUCCGAUCCAAAUCCAUUUUAAACCGACCCAAAUCCGAUCCGAUUGGAUUUGGAUCACAUGGAUCUUGGAUCAAAUCCAAUCCAUUGCCAUCCCUAUAUAAACCUGAGGUUUUACAAUUAAAAUAUCAAAUAGUGGCAGAUUGGGCGCCCAAAAAGUGCGCCAAAUCAAAAUAAUUCAAAAUUCUUAUCUUCAAUCCCCCUUUUAUUUUAUGUGCCGCUGAAAUAAAAUUAACACAAAAACAUUCUGAAAUUGAAAGGUUGGAACGAAUCUCACGCCUCUCGCCUUCUCUUUCUCGCAUUUCGCCUUCCUCUUUGACUCAUUGGCUCUCUAUCUCUCUCUCUCUCUCAAAGUGACGUAAAAAAAUUAUUUUUCUUGAUCUAGUCCUCAGAAAUAAGCCGUUUACUUUACUUUGUUCUUUGUUCAUUAUAAAUUUAAUCACGCUUUCUACAUUAUAAUUUACGGUCUCUGUUUACUUUUAUUAAAAAUUAUGAUAUAUGAAUGAUAAUAUUCGCUUGUUUGCAUAAUUGUCUUCGAUAUUGACUGUGUUUACAAGAUUUUUUUGGUUGCAAUCUUUCUUAUUGAGAUUGUUUAACUAGUCGCGAUUGCAAUUUUAACAAGAUUUAAUGAAUGUUAAAAUUUAAAUAACAAUUUAAAAUUUGUACACCAGGUGUUUGUUAUAAUGCCAUGUGUUAUUUUCAAUAGAUUUUUUUUUAACAUGUAGUAUAGGCUUGUCAAUGUUUUAUAACAUUCAUUAAAUCUAAUUCUCAUGAUGAAAUUAGAAUAGGUUAAUUGGCCUAAACCUAAAUACUAUGUAAUAUUUACUUUUAAAAGACCUAUGGCAUUAGAUUCAACUUGCUAAGAUAUUGGAGAAGUGUUGAUGCAAUUUUCUGUCAUGCCUGCGGAUUCAACUUGCUAAGGUUUUGGUUAUGCCUUCAGGUUCAAGCAUUGUUGCUGAUUAUGUGAGCUGUUGAGAUUUUAGUAUUGAGCACGGCUGCUUUAGAUUCAAUUUGAGCAAAUGUAAUUGUUCCUUUUAAAGCGAUGUAAUUGGCGUCGGGAGAGGAUUGUAAUCUCCAAUGAUUUAUGGUUCUGGCAAAAAGAAAUUUUCUUUACGUUAACCUGCGAUAAAAAUGUAUGUAAUUUUUUAUGAUAUCAGCAAACAUUCAAUAACAGAAUAGUUGAAAUAU
rnacentral:lncRNA from 1 species